GGAAGGUCAAUAACAAAAGCAUUGACUUGAAUGUUAGCAGUGUCAUUUACACUGGCCAUAAGAACCAGAGGUAAUGCGUACAGUUGGUAAGUGGGGAGGAGGGGAUGAGAAAUUGCAAAGUCUUGAAUUUAAUUGUUUCAUGCAAUUCCGUUUUCCAAUACUCUAUAUGAUAAUAUACAUUGUACGGAACAAAAAUAGGGUUGUUUUAAAAUUUUGAACAAAUAAAAAUUUCAUAUCAAUAUCUAAUAUUUAAUAAAAAAGAAUGAAACAAGAGUAAGUACAUUCUCUUCUCCUUAACAUGGUAUUAAAGCAGUCUCCAAACUCUUAACUCCUAGUUGCAAACUUGAUUUCCACUGGAAGUUGCAGUUUGCUUAUUUUGUUAUUCAAGUAAGUUACUUCAAUCUAUCAUAGUUUAAAUGACUUGGGAUGGUAGUUGUCAUGGGCACGAAUUUUCCCACAAAUUUUUUGCAUCCACGCAGCGCUUAGAAGCCCUCUGAGCCAACAUACUCAAACCCACAUGAGAUUGCAAUCAAGAAAAAACUCACAAAGACACACAAGGCUAUGGAGCUCAAUCCCUAACUUGUAUUUUAUUUCUUCUCUAAAUAACAAUACAAGACAUAGCUCAACAAGACUUCCACAAUCUCUUUGGUGAGUUCAUGCUCUCUCUCAAGCUAUGUUUUAAGAAAGUUCUCCCUCUCAAUAUACCUCUGUAUAUUCUCUAUGAUCUCCAGAUUGCACGAUAAUUCAAAGGGCACUCCAGUCCUCCUUUUAUAGGUGUGACACCAACCACUCCCUAUUCGAUAAGGAGCAAUACAUCUUCCUUAAGCUUGUCCCAAUGCCAAGACAUCUUUGUUGUGUUCUGCCUGAAGUCUACCCACUCUUGUGCCUUGAGUCAGUUCAUUCAUGCAUUUGAAUCAGCUGAUGCAUCCGAUCAGCUUGCUAUAGAGUCUCUAGGCAGCCUACUACAUGUGUCUCUAUGCAACUAGUGUGCAUGCCAAGCCCUCUCUUAGCCUACAGAUCUAGCAAUUUUCCUUGGUGCCAAUCUUUUCUUUGGUUCUAGCUCCUUGUUGUUCCUUGAGCGUGUCAGUCAUGCUCAUAUGUGUUCCCGCAUCUGGAUCACGUCCAUGCCGAGGCAACCUGCCCAUGUUUGCUCUGCCUAGUUGUUGCUAUAGCAUCAUGCCAUGCCCAAGCCCUCUUCUUGGUGCAGCAACGAGUCAUGGCAUUGCACCCAUGACUCCUCAUCUCUACGCACAAGGCAUUGUGCCUUUGUGCUAAGCAUUAGGCAUCACAUCUGAGUCGGCUUCCCUUAUCUCUAUGCACAAGCCUCAAGGCAUUGUGCCCUUGUGCCAAGCCACCUUAUUGCACAAGGCAUUUCCCCCUCAUGCUACCGUUGGGAAGGGAAGACUGCAUAGCACCCCAAGUCGUUGCAACCAUGAGUUGCACACCAUCACAUGUCAUGGAGCCCAUGUAUGGCUGCUAGCAAGGCGUUGCCCAUGUGCCUUGCUCAUGUCUGAGGACUUGCACUGAAGCCCCUAAGUGUGGCCAUGCCCAUGCCACCUCGUCUCCCUUGAGUCACCCCCACCCUCGCCCCCCUUAAAAGAGCAUUUUAAGCCCUUUUAAUUAAUUCAGGAAAAUCUAGAAAAUUCCCUUCCACUUGGAGUCUCCCUUUUGAAGGUUCCUAUAAAUCUUUUAUCUCUAAGCAAAUUAACCAAGUCACUUAAUUGUUUUGCAACAUUCCUUCCCUUCCCAUAGUGUAUUUCAAGAUCUCUUAAUGAACAAGACAAUUGGUGGAGGGCAUGAAGUAAAUGGAAUUUAUCACCAUAUCGGCCCACCUCUUACUCCAAUUGCUCUACAUACUUCCAUUUCUUCUAUGUAGUGGCACACCUUUCACUUCGCAUCUUUAGCAUAUGGGACUUCUAGUUAUAUUGGACUCCAAGUUAAAGCACCAAGUUUGCGAGUCAAGAAAAUAGCUUCAUCAUAGUGUUGUUCUAGUCCUUUUUGUGCUAUAAUCAAUAAGAGGAGUACUAGUCCUUUUCAUCUUGUUCAUUUAGACAUUUACAGUUUAUGUUGUGUUGUUCCUAAUGUUGAACUAAACUUUCUUAUUGCUAUUUUAUUAAUUAGAUCAAUGAAAAUGGUAUGAGCAUAAAGAGGCUGAAUAAUAGGUACUAAUCUCUUAAAAAAAAAAUUUUAAAAAUAAUCUUAUAGAAACAUCAUCAGGUGACUAUGCACAAGUAAAUGGUCUGACAAGGCGUGAGAAAAACAUUCAUUUUUGUGCAAGAACCAAGUAUUUGCAUCUUAAUCAACCAAAGAAUAAAUGGCUGAAGACAAUAAAUGACUGAACAAAAAGAAAAUCAUAAGUUUUAGGCCAGACACUUUUUUCAUCAAUUAUAUACAACAACAAUAAAUCAAAUAGUCCUAAAUUUCAAGAGAAUAAUGCUCAGCAGCUAUGCAUACUCACAAGUCACAAAUACCUCAUCCUUAACUAAUUUACAUGAAUGAAUUAUUUACUUACCAUACCAAGAGAAACGUUGUAAGAUAGUAUGCAGUAUUCAGGAGUCCAUAGGAUAAUAUUCCAGAAAUUCCAUAUCUCUUCAGUUUCUUUAGAAGACUGAAAGGUUAAGCAAGAGUGAGCUCUCAAUGUAAGUAGACAUGCAUUUAUGCAUACAAAGGGCAAAAGGAUUGAGGUAUCACUUCUUACAGAUUGUUUGCAUGAAAUUCAGUAGUAGAAGAGAAAUUAAUAUGAUUGGGACAAGAUCACUCAUCCAAACAAUAGUUUAUUUACUGAGAAAAGGUCUACAGCAUACUCAUGCAGUAGACAAAAUGAAUCUUUUGUGUCAUGUUCCAAUAAUGUUAACAAACUACAUUAAAUUCAUAAGGUUACAUAGAAAAAGAAAGAAAAGACAUUGUUGCAAUAGUUUGUCUGUUACACUGCUAGCACCCAGACUACGACCAAAUCCUUGCAUUCAAAUUGAAUUUCAAACUCCCAAUGUGAAAAAGGAAGAUACAAAAAAGAAAAGAAAAAAAAGAAGAAAAAAAAAAGUGGGAAAGAAAAGAGACAUGGGAUUUCUAUGUAUAAUAAAUACAUAUUAUAUGUAUAGAUAAAUGCAUGUAUGUGCAUAUGUGAUAGAGGCUGGUCAGACACAUUUCAAGAAGUUUCACAACUUGCUUUGGAAUGACAAACACCUGGAUCAAUAAAUGGCUUGUCUCCAUUAUUGAGAAAUUGCAGAUAAAUUUCAUCCACUACGGGCAUGGGGUGGCUGGACAAAGUUAUGCCAUUUGGUGGGAUGUAGUGGACUUAAGACAGAAAAUUCUCAAUCAUUCUUCUGUCCCUUGUGCAGUGUUGAAGCUGACAAUAUUAUUGAGCAUACAAGGAAUGUGAUGUAAAACAUCAUUGAGGAGCCAUGAGCUGCGAAUGCAUGGAGAAAUUAAGUUAUGAUUAAGUUUUGGUGAGGGAUUUUCAGAUGCAGAUCAUAUGGCAAAUUAUCAACUUCAGAGAAUUGCACGUUUUUAUUCAUUUCCAUACACAUUGAAUAAUCAUAUUUAAAAUCUCUCAUUCACUUGUUUCGCUUCCAUUAGUGCUCCUUCCACAUGCCUAUUAGCAGCACAGACCUCAUGAUAGUUUGGUAAAGGUAAGACAAUAAAAUUGAAAAAUACAGCUAAAGCCUAAAAUAUUGGCUAAUAAAGAGAGAAACCAUCCAAGUUCUAUCUUAAAUGACUCUACAAGUUCUAAACAGGGAGACAAGGACUUCAACCUGGUCCAUCAAUGCAUAUAAAUGGGUAAACAUUCCAACAGCCAUUACGUUAGAAGUACACUAAAAGAAAAUUAUUAAACAAUGUUGUUUCCAAAAAAAUUCCAUGUUAAAGAAUAGAAGAACAUACUGCUAUAAAUGAAAUUCAUUCAAAAUCAGUUCAAACAGUAAAGUUAAGAAUUGUGACUGCAAUUUUUUUCUAAGAAAGAAACAACAAUUGUGACUGCAUAUCACCCACACUUGUUUUAUUUACAAUCCACACAAUGUAUUCUUCCCUAGCAUGUUAUCCCAUUAAGUAGCCUCCAGAUAAAAUUCCCUUUCCAACUCUGUCAAUCAGUCAAAAAAUUUCAUGUAAAAUGUAAAAUACAUGGGUACACAAAAACAACUAUAUAAACUGCCAUCCCAUCAUUAAUAAAUCAGUUGUCUAUAACAUAGACUAAUAGCAUUGUAAGGCAAGUAGGAAGUACUCUUUUGAUGUGUGCAGUUCUCCUUCACCAUUUUCGCCCUUUGCACUUGAGUCUAUAAAAAUAUGUAUAAGUAGAUUUUUAGAAAUAUCAAGUUUAUCAAAUGUAAAAUAUGGUAUCACAAAAAGCUACACCAUUUUUCCAGUUAUCAUUUGAAAGAUAUUGAUACCUUCAUGGUUGGCAGAGUAGUCAUGACCAUUUGACAUGCCAGAAGCCUAACCUACAACAAAGGCAAUGUUGAAAAAGCAAUAUUCAAAAUUCAAUGAAAAAAAUAGAAGACAAACAAAUGAACAAAUAGCAUAUCAUCACACUCAAUUGUUUUCCACAUAUGAUAAACUAAAUGAAAGAAACAAGGAAUAUAUUGAGAAAAAACCCUAUGAUCAAUGGAUAUGCAGUCGCAUUCCAGCACAGAUAUAGGAUCAAACAAGUAACUAAUCUAGACAUAGCUGCAGCAAAUUUGUGUAUCUCUGAAUGUGUGUCUGCUUUUUGUGGGGGUAUUUAUUAUGACAUGUUCUUGGUGCAGACAAACCAUCUGCAUUUACUUGAGGAUUAGGUAAAAAACAUACUUUUCAUUUAAAAUGAGGCCUUGAACAUCAAGCCACGGUGAGUUUUCAAAUAAGGAAAACGUAAUAGCUUUACAAUGAGUCCCAUAGCAAGAAGGCAUAUAAUUCCAUUCAUCAGCAUACCAGAAUAUAGAAUAGUGUGGACAUGUGGACACAUGCCAGAAUUAGCAUUGGACACACUAACAUGCCAGUCAUACAUAGAAAGAAUUUCCAAAGAUAUUAAAGUAAAACACUGGUAGUAAGCAAAUUAUACCCAGAAAAACAUGCAAGUAUAGGCCAAGAUCAAAUCUUAAUUUUAAUUUCUAGAAAAAAAAAAAUUUAUAUCAACCAAUAGAAAUGGUAUCACCAGCAAUUAACACCAAAACACACCAACAUAUCGGAAUGCAUAACACGUGUACCCAUCUCCAAUCAGCACUACACCUAUACAAGUUAGCCUGUAGCAGGUCAUAAUAGGUUCAGACUAUAAAACCUUCCAAAUCUUCCUUUGCAAGGCUUAGAAACCAUUUUCUAAGUAAUUUACAAUUUUAAAAGCCUGUGACAAGAUUUUGGAUGAAGAGCUUGAAUUAUAUACUCACAAACCCACUCCAAAAUUUCCUUAAGGUAAUACACAUUUUUUGAAGUCCUUUCCAAUGUCUUCUCUUAUUUGAGUUAGAAAAGCCAAUUUUUUUAUGAAUUGAUUACUACGUCUAUUGAGGUUUGAGGUGUAUAACUAAUUUCUUAAUAUAUCAUAAUUUACAUCAGUUAUUAGAAAUUAAGGUUCAAUCCUUUUACACUAAGAAAAUCCUGAGCAAUUAAAAAAUACCUUCUUUAAUAUUAUUAAAUUUAAGUUUCCUUCAGGUCUUUGAGUCAAAUAGAAAUUAGUGUAAAAGGAAUUUUAAUUUUCUUACACUAAGAAAAUUAAAAAAUAGGCAAAAUAAUUUUCAAAUUUUGGAACUUUAUAGGUAAUGCUUAUUAAAAUAAAGCAACAAAGUUUGUCAUUUGCCAUUGAAUGAACCAAUUGUAGAAAACUAUGCAAAAAAUUUUAUUAGUAUGGAUUUUUUUUUUCUACCGAUAAAUAGAAUUCAAUUUCAAACCUGCCCCUCCCAACCCACCACUUGCUGCUUGAGGCAAGCUUAGAGGCAGAAAACUAUUUACAAUUCUACGUAUGGAUAAAAAUUAUUCUUAGAUUUUAUGCCAAAUUCCAUAUUUAUAGGUAUCAAUUUAUUAUUCUACUGUUGUCAAAAGCUUCAAUUUUAGGCGUCCUCAUGGUUAUGCCACCCUUAAAUGAGAACAACUUUGGUCUUCUGUUUUUCUUUUUGAGCUCUUCAAAUUUUUGCAAGGUAUUUUUAUAAUCUUAUUAAGCUCAAUGGGAGAGAGAGAGAGAGAGAGGGCGAGAGAGAGAGAGAGGGCGUGAGGGAGUGUGAGAGCGCGUGCGACGGCGACGACGAUGAGUCCGGCGAGGCGAGUCGAAAGCGAAGCUUCACGGUGGAAUCCAAGACUUUCGAGCUUGCCUUGGAUGAUAGGAAAGGGAAACGCCAGAUUCGCAUUGUGGAGAAGAAGCGGGGGGUCUCGACAUGGGUUCGAUUAGGGCUGGAAAGCUUAGGGCUCUUCAAGGAGGGACUAAUCCAUUGUAUACGAGACGAAAAAGAAGGGAGAUGGGAAAAGGAGUGGAAAGAAAGAGGCAAGCUGUAUACAUUGGCUCGGGGUUUCAACAGAGCGGGUGGUUUUUUAAGGUUGGGGGUUGUGGAUCUGGAACGAAAAAGGUUUUGUAUCUUCUUACCGAGAGGUAGGAGGAACAAAAGAGGAUGGACGACUAUGGCGGAGAUGGUACAUCAAAUGGAAGAACUGGCUAGUGGAAGAACAAACUUGCAGGAGGUAAGGACCGUCGGAAAAGCUACUCCGGCGAAAUCAUACGCAGAAGCAGUCAUGAGAACAAAUUGGAAUGGCUUAAACGCAAUCAAGAUGAAGGUCACUAGGGAGGAGAUUGCUGGAAAUUUACAGAAGCUGGAGCACUGCCUCGUCGCGAGCUGGAAGUCCAACGAAAAGGAAGAAGAAGACUUGGAGAGAUUGGGAAGUCAUUGGGCGAAUUCUUGGGGUCUUAAAGGCAAGCUAGGGCUGGCCAAGUUGGAACAAGGUAGGGCACUGUUGGAGUUUGAAGAUCUAAGAGAGGCACACCGUGUGGUCUCCUCGGGGAGCAGAGUGAUGGGAGGAGCUCACUUAGGGUUGGAUCUAUGGAAUCCAAAGACGGGAUGUCGGGUAGAGGAGGAGAUGGAACAGGAAGCUUGGGUUAAAAUCUUCGGCCUUCCAAUUUCGCUAUGGAGCCCGGGGAUUCUGAAGAAAAUAGGGGAGGAAUGUGGGGGCUUUGUAGAUAUUGACGAGCGGACAAGGUCGAUGGGGGAGAUUCAAUGGGCUAGGAUACUGGUCAAAAUAAGAGGUGAUUUUAGACCAAGUAUGUUAGAAAUUGAGGUAGAGGAGGAGGUAUACACUGUGACACUGUGGUGGGAGAUUAGGCCGGUGGUGAGACGGAUCUUCUCUGCGACGGAAAACAGGAGGAGAAAGGAGGUCAGGGGUGACUCGUAUUCACGCGCGGAGAAGCGCGUGGGGAAGGAGCUGGUAGACGCGGGAAUCGAGGAACUGCACCUGCCAGAUGUUGGGAGUGAUCUGCAGGAGAAUAGGCCGGGUCUAGUGCCCGGGAACCAGAUCCAUGGCCCGGUGACCCGGGAUUGGGCCUAUCCAGAUGGAAGAGUGGCUGGGUCAACCGCAUGUGGCCCAAAUAUGGAUCUUAAUGAGUUGGAGAAGGAUGGUGGGCAGACUAAAAUAGACGGGCCUUUGGGCCGAAAGUUAAAAAAUAAGUCAAAGGUGGCUAGUGAUUCAGAGGCAGGCCCAUCGUCUAGUAGUUGGGCUGCUGAACUGGGCUGCCAUCCUUUAGUUGAGGUGGAAGGCCUGGAAAGGGAGGGCCCAACUGUUCCCCUAGAGAAGGCUGGUUUUUUGGGCCGUUUUAGCUCCAGAAAAGGACCCAUUUCAGAGGAUCCUUUGACGAGCUGGGUGCCAGAGGAGUUUAGAAGGGAACAGAGGGAUGAUGGCUUUUCAAUGACUGAUCGAGCGCUGUAAGAGGAAGCUAAAAGGUAUGUCCUGAUUUCCCAUCCUAAAGGAAAAUGGGUUAUGGGGACACCUCUUCUUCUCUCUUCUAAUUCUGAUCGGGCUCCGGAGGGGGAGUCUUUUGAUCGCCCAGGGGGAAUUGAGGAGGAAUUAAGGGGGGACAUGUCAACAUGGUUAACAGUCUAUGAGGGGAACGUUGAGAAUGAAAAUGGAUCUUGGAAGCUGGGAGAGGACAACAAAAGCAGAGACAAGGUUAAGGGCAAGGAGGAGAACACUGGGGUCUCUGGUUCUCAAGAUACCGAAAAUGAGAAAGAGGAUCUAUGAGAGGACUGUAGUCUUGCAAAAUUUAGCCAAUUCUUGGGAUUCUCUAUGAAGGGGCUGGAAAAGGAGAUAUUGAAUUUUCUGAUUAAAAUCAAAAAGAGGCGGGAAAAGAUUCACAGCAAAGAACUUUUGGAGAAGUCCAAGUUUGAAAGGGAACUAAAGAGGCUGGAAUGCUCUAUCAAUUACGAGGGGGGGAAUAAGCAGAAAGGUCCUUCACAGGGCAAAAGGAAUCAGUUGAUAGUUGCCCAAUGAAGCUGAAGAUUAUAACCUGGAAUGUGAGGGGAGCUAAUGACAGCUCUAAGAGGAAAAUUAUUAAGAGCUAUAUAAGGAACCAGAGGGUGGACCUAAUGUGUAUUCAGGAAACCAAGAUUCAGGAGAUGUCGGAGGGUAUUGUGAGAAGUCUGGGUUCGGGGAGAUUCUUAGAUUGGAGAGCCUUAAAUGUGGAGGGGGCUGCGGGUGGCAUUUUGAUAUGCUGGGACAAGCGGGUUCUGGAUAUUUUGGAUUGGGAGGAGGGUCAGUUCUCUUUGUCUUGUAGAUUCAAGACCACAGUAAAUGGGGCUACUUGGGUUUUUACGGGAGUGUAUGGUCCUUUUACCAAAGUGGAAAGGGAGGGUAUGUGGGAAGAACUUGGGGCAAUAAGAGGCCUUUGGGAUGAUCCCUGGUGUCUCGAUGGGGAUUUUAAUAUCACUCUGUUUCAACAAGAAAGGAGCAGCCAAAGAAGAAUCAGCUCAGCCAUGCGGAGAUUUGCAGAGACUGUGGAUGAUCUAGAGCUGGUGGACCUGCCCCUUCAGGGGGGAGAGUUCACAUGGAAUGGGGGGCUUAAUAAUCAGGCGUGGGUGAGACUAGACAGAUUUUUAGUUUCCCCUAGCUGGUUAGAUCAGUUUAGUGGAUUCACUCAGGGCAGGUUGUCUCGGCCAAUUUCUGAUCAUUUUCCAAUCGUGUUAGAGGGGGGUGGAAUAAGAGAGGCCCAACCCCGUUUAGAUUCGAAAAUAUGUGGCUUAACGUUGANGNUUUAAUGACAUUGUUAGAACCUGGUGGNNNNNNNNNNNNNNNNNNNNNNNNNNNNNNNNNNNNNNNNNNNNNNNNNNNNNNNNNNNNNNNNNNNNNNNNNNNNNNNNNNNNNNNNNNNNNNNNNNNNAGGAAGCUGAAUUAAAAAAGGAAGCUAAAGACUCCUUUAAGAAAUGGGUCCUGUUGGAGGAAGCCCAUUGGAGACAGCACUCAAGGGAGAUUUGGUUAAGGGAGGGGGAUAGAAACAUGGGGUUCUUCCAUAGAAUGGCAAGUGCUCAUCGAAGAAACAACGCUAUGGACAGAAUUAAGGUUAAUGGGGAGUGGCUAGUAGAGGAGCAGGAGGUGAGAGAAGGAGUUGAGAAUUCGUUUCAGCAGUUGCUUUCUGAAGAUAUGGGUUGGCAGGCGGAUAUUGGUAGAAUUCAGGUGGGUUGCAUCAUUCAGCAAGAAGCAGAGAGUCUGGAAAUCCCAUUUGCAGAGAUUGAGAUUCACUCGGCGCUGAUGGAGAUGAAUGGGGAUAAAGCCCUUGGCCCGGAUGGUUUUACUGUAGCCUUUUGGCAAAAUGCAUGGGAUUUUACCAAAGAGGAGAUCAUGGAGAUGUUUAAAGAAUUUCAUGAGCAUAAUUCCUUUAUUAGGAGCCUUAACAAUACUUUCUUGGUGUUGAUACCUAAGAAAAGCGGGGCUGAGGAUCUUGGAGACUUUAGACCUAUCAGCCUGUUGGGGGGGGGGCUCUAUAAACUUUUGGCUAAAAUCUUAGCUAAUAGGCUCAAAAAAGUGAUUGGUAAGGUGGUCUCUAUUGCUCAGAAUGCCUUUGUAAUGGGAAGACAAAUUCUGGAUGCGUCUUUAAUUGCUAAUGAGGUGAUAGAUUCGUGGCAGAAGAGAAAAGAAAAGGGUCUUAUUUGCAAAUUGGAUAUAGAAAAAGCUUAUAACAGCAUUAAUUGGAAUUUCUUAAUGAAGGUCCUUCAAAAAAUGGGCUUUGGGACCAAGUGGGUGGGAUGGAUGUGGAGUUGCGUGUCUUCUGCUAAAUUCUCUAUUCUUGUUAAUGGAGUGCCAGUUGGGUUUUUCCCUAGCACUAGAGGGCUUCGUCAAGGGGAUCCUCUAUCCCCUUACCUCUUUGUUAUGGGAAUGGAGGUUCUGGACAUCCUUAUCAGGAGAGCGGUGAAGGGGGGAUAUCUUUCAGGAUGCAACAUUCGGGGUGGUAGUAGAACUUCCUUGAAUAUCUCCCACCUAUUUUUUGCUGAUGACACAAUUGUGUUUUGUGAGGCGAGCAAAGAGCAAGUUUCUCACCUAAGCUGGAUUCUUUUUUGGUUUGAAGCGGCUUCGGGUCUUCGAAUUAAUCUAGCCAAAAGCGAAAUCAUUCCAGUUGGAGAAGUGGAGGAGAUUCUUGAGAUGGCAGUUGAGUUAGGGUGCAGGGUGGGGUCUCUGCCCUCUCAUUAUUUGGGUCUCCCCUUAGGGGUCCCCAAUAGGGCUACUUCUAUGUGGGAUGGAGUGGAAGAGAGGGUCAGAAGGAGACUUGCGCUUUGGAAAAGACAGUACAUUUCCAAAGGGGGGAGGAUCACUCUCAUAAAAAGCAUCUUGGCUAGCAUGUCAAUUUACCAAAUGUCUAUUUUCCGAAUGCCCAAGUCUGUUGCUAAAAGAGUGGAGAAAUCCCAAAGAGAUUUCCUAUGGGGGGGAGGAAACUUAGAGGGAAAAGUUCACUUAGUUAAAUGGGAUGCGGUCUGUACAGAAAAACACAAGGGAGGGCUAGGAUUAAGGAGAAUAGUCACUCUGAAUAGAGCCUUGCUGGGCAAGUGGAUUUGGAGGUUUGCUUGUGAAAAGGAUAACCUUUGGAAACAAGUGAUCACUAUGAAAUAUGGGCAAGAGGAUUAUGGUUGGAGGUCAAAGAAGGCUAGUGGGGCGGCCGGAGUAGGGGUCUGGAAGGAGAUUAUGAAAGAAUCUGUUUGGUGCUGGGAAAAUUUGGCUUUUAUAGUUGGGAAGGGUUCCAAAAUCAAAUUUUGGAAAGAUAGUUGGUGCACUGACACUCCGUUGUCCCAAUGCUUCAAUCAUCUCUUUGUCCUUGCCGUGCAUAGGGAUGCUACGAUUGAGGAGAUGUGGGAUCAGGACUCGGGCCAAGGAGAUUGGAAUUUUGUUUUUGUGAGGGACUUCAAUGAUUGGGAGUUGGAUAUGGUUGGGGAGCUGCUUCAUACUUUGAGGGGUCAUAGGCCCUCCCUGGAGGAUGAUUCAGUUAUGUGGAGGCAUGGAAGAAAUGGUCUAUUCAGGGUCAAAGAAGCUUACAAGCUGUUAGACAAGCCUAAUGUCACAGUAUUUCCCGCAAGGAGAAUAUGGGUGGAUAGGGUGCCAACUAAAGUCUGCUUUUUUGCUUGGGAGGCUACGUGGGGGAAGGUGCUCACUCUGGACAGACUCCAGAUAAGAGGGGUGCAACUCCCAAAUUGUUGCUUUUUGUGUGGUUGUGAAGAAGAGAAUGUAAAUCAUAUUCUUUUACACUGUAUAGUGACUAGAGCCCUAUGAGAUAUUAUUUUUGGGUUGAUAGAUGUUAAGUGGGUCCUCCCAGAAACUGUAAAUGAGACUUUAAUCUCUUGGAGGGGCUCAUUUGUAGGGAAGAAAAGGAAAAAGAUUUGGAAAUCCAUUCCGUUAUGUAUUUUUUGGACGGUUUGGAAGGAGAGGAAUAGGUUAGCCUUUAAGGGGGGUGCGUUGAAUAUUCAGAAAUUAAAGAAUUCUUUUGUCUGUAACUUGUGGAAUUGGGACAAAGUGUAUUUAGGUGAGGAGUCUUUCUCCCUUAUAGGUUUUUUGGAGUGGAUAGCUUCCACUUAAGGGGAGGUAGUUCUUUUUGUUCCUUUUUCUCUUUUUGAGGCAGUAGCCGUCUUGUAUACUCCCUGUAUGCUUUGUGGCGUUUAGCCUUUUCUAAUGCAUAUCUUGUUUACUUAUCAAAAAAAAAAAAAAUUUGCAAGGUACUUCUAUCCAGGUUCUAGGAAACACCCACUUUUUUAAAUCUCCAAUAAUUUAGUGUUCUGUGGCUGAGGGAAUAGACUUAUUUUUGGUUGAAACACAUAAAAUUCUUGGAUAUGUAUAUAUAUAUUUUUUGGCAUCAGGUCCUUUUAGGUUGAUUUUUCUACUUAUUUUUCACCCACCAAUUAACAUUGCCCUAACUCUAUUAUCUAACCGAGCAAAUGUUUAUGAACUAGCAAAUCAUACUAAAAUUUCUUACUAGUUGACAUGUGCAUCAUCUCAGCAUGUCAUUCCAACACCAAACUACAACCAUAAUCCCACUAACAUCCUAACUGCCUCAAUGAGUAUGGAUUACAGAAAUGCAAUUAAAAUAUACUUCCCUAUUUAAUUUCAUAAUUUUUAUAAUAAUAUUUCAGCAAUAUUUCCACAUAGUAGCUUAUGUGAGAAAUCCCCAUUUCUGUUUAAAAUCGAAAAACCCUAUAGCUUGCGCAAGUAAAUAGGAAAAAAAAAAAACAGAGGUUUUGCAGAAUUGGGAGAGCAGACUCACACCAGCAUGGCCAUUGAUUGAGCAGAAACGUAGAUGACGAUGAUGGUGGUGGAAUUGGGAGAAAUUGUUGAGUUUGGGAACCCUAGGAAAGCUGGGAUUGAAAGAAGAGGAUUGUGAGAGAGAAUUGGAAAUUUAAGAAACAAACACAAAAAAUAAAUCCAAGAAAUAAAUAAGAAGCGUAAAAAUGAAAUAGAGAAGAGUGUGUAUGACGCACCUGAUGAUGUGAAAGCAGCUUCAGCUGGUGAAGGCAAACUUUCGACGGGAGAGACAUCAGGAUACUGGCCUCUGACAACAAUCGCUCCAAAAUAUUCUUUCUAUACCAUUUAUUAUUAUUAUUAUUAUUAUUAUUAUUAUUUUAUUAUUAUUUUCAGGUUAUUGAAGUGUAAUGUCCACCGUACACCCUUACAUGAUGAAGCCUUUAGAACUCUCCAUGGAGCCUAAAUCUCACAUUGCUAAUCACCCUAUAAUAACCAGCAUAUAGUAAAUUCAAAGUAUCAUUAAUGAUAGAUUUCAAACUUAGGACCAUAUAUCAUUUAUUGAGACCACACUUCUUAAUGUUCAUCCUUAACGACACACUCAUAUAUAUCAAAUUACCCAAUGACCUACUUUUCCUAUUUUCUCAUUUUUAGAAAUAAAAAGAAAAAAUAAUAAUUUCUAUUUUUAAUUUUUUAAUUUUUUUUAUAAGUAAAUUUUUGUUCUCAUUAGGACCUGUGGAACCUCCCACAAGUCCUCCCGAAUCCUUUACCACUUGAGUCAUGCCUUAAUGGCUUGUUUUUUUAAAAAAAUUAAUAACAACUUUUAUAUAUAAAAAAAAUACUUAUAAAACAUACUUAUAAAAAAUAUACAUGUCAUUAAAAGUUUAAAGAAAUUUAAAUUUGAUAAUAAUUUUUUAAAUAAUUUAAUGUGUUAAUUGUUCUUAAAAACUUUAAAUAACCUAGAAAAGAAUAAUAUGGUUAUAAAUUGACCAAAUUGUUAUAUGGUUUUAAAUAGUCACCUUAACAAUGUUACAAGUGAGUUAAUUAAUUUAUGGUAGAGAAGAAUUACAAUAGAAUUCAAUUAGUUAUCGUAUUUGAAGUCUUUGAUUAUUUGUUGAAUAAUAUUUGCAGCCAGUUAGCUAGGGUUGGCUAACCCAAGCCAAACCUACUUACUAAUAUGUCCAACCUAUGCUAAACUCGAUUCAAAGUUAGAUUGGUAGUUACUAAACUCAUUGACAACUAAAGUUUCUAUGGAUUCCCACAAGUUUUCAUGGAUUAUCAAAUAAACCACAUAUAAUGGAAUCUCCUAAUAUAAAAAAGACAUAUUUCAAAAUUAUAAAUUAAACCAUAUUAUAAAAUAAAAUUUUAACAAAGUCAUAAAUUAUAUUACUAGUGACUAAUUUUAAUGGUAACAUGAAACACAAGUGUGAAUAUUUAAAAAUAUUUUAAUAAUUAAACAAAAAUGAUAAACUUAUAGUGUAAUGUAAUAAAACUAGCAAAAGUUAUAGUUUUUCCAUUAUCCCUUUUAUAAAUUUCAUAUUUUAAAUAAACUAAUAAAUAAUAUAAUAGUAAUGAAUUUGCUUAGUCUUCAUCAUGUAGAACCAAUGUGAAGAAAUUUUUUUUAAUAGGACUGAUUAAUGACUUAAUUAAGGGUAGGUUACAGCAUACACUAGGAGUCAAGAAAUAAGAUGUCAAGACUUGUACAUUCUGAAUAGGGAAGGGAAGAGUAUCCUAACAUAAGAGACCAAAAACAUGCUCAGGGAGAUUCUCGUUAGGAUCAAAUUGGGGGCAUAGAUGUAUCUCUUUGGUAAGAGUUCCCAUAAUUUAGGUAUUAAUGAAAUAGGUAUAAAAGAAUUAUAUAUCUUGAUAUGAUCAUGUUGUUAAUGAUGAUCUAAUGAGUUGAAAUAUUAUGUUUUCAACUGUGUAUAUCUAAUAAAUACAUCAAGUACUUAAACUUUAAUAUAGAAAUGCUCCAUAAUGGUUUGUAUGACUCAUCCUCUUAUAAACAUAUUAUUUAGAUUAGGCUAAAGUGGUCAAAGUAAGAAGAAAACUUGAUACUUGAUUUGAAGUAUGAAGAAUUCUUCUUAGACUUUGUGUGUAGUAUUGUUUGCUUAUUGUUGUGUUAAAGUCUAUUUUGAUGUAUUUUGGAAAGAAUGACCAACUAGAACCACUAUAAGAUGUUGCAAAACUUAUUUAAACAAGGGCUUGUGAGCAAGAUUUUUUUUUUUCCCUUUCAUGUACAAAUAGUAUGAUGAAUGAAAAUUUGAUUCUCAGUUGUAAUUAGUGUUUUCCUUAAGUUUUAAAUCAUGCAAUGAAUACUUAAAAUUAGUUUAAGAUGUCAAAGAAUGUAAGUAAACAAGGUUUUACAUGUUGGAUAUAUAAUUAAUGCAAAACCUUUACCUUCCACAUUGAAUGAUUACAUUUUUUCUUUAAGUGCCCUUUAAUCAUUCUCAUCUUGUUUAAUCAUUUUUCUCUAAUGUCUUGAGCAUAGUAGAUUUCUAUAAAUUUACAUGAGCAUUCCUUAACUCUUCUUGAGUGAUCCUAAACUUAGCAUUGAAACAAUCAUAAUUUAGGCGAAGAUGCUUACACGUCUUCAUAAUCAUCCUUGGUUGCUAGCCAUUUUUCCUUAAUUACUUUAGGAUGUUUAGCGAAGAUGAUUACAAAUAUUAACUAGUUCACUCACACAUUUUUGUAUGAGUGUAGAACAAUUUUGCAUUCUUUCCACAUCACUUAUGCAUCUUUGUUCCAAGAAAGAAGAUAUAGAACUCUUAUCUUUUGCUUACACCACUUGGUUCUCCAGCCCAUUAUGCUUAUGCGUCAUUUUUAUAUCACAUAUGCAACUUGUUUCUCAUUAAUAUAUUUCACUUACAUGUUCUUAUAUAAGCAUAAUUUAGGGAAAAACAUUUUAAAAAAAAAGAAGCAAAAUAGAUGUUAAUAUAUAUAUAUAUAUAUUUGGAACAAUUAAACUCAAACUAUGCAAAGUGACCUUGUCUACUAUAUAGGUGACUUUGUUUACCCCAUAGGUAGAGUAUAUGAUAGUGAUAGUCAAGGAAGCUAUGUAGUUGCAUGGUUUAGUGGAGAAUUUAAUGUUGCAAAACCGUUUUGUAUUUUUAAUAAAAUAAAAAUAUUUUAAAUUGUGGCCCAUUUAAAUAUUAUUUUCCCUAAAAUAAAUGAAACGUGGGAGCACAUCUCUUAUGGAGUAACCACCCAUGUCUACAAAUGUGGGACAUAUUACUCGGUUGAAAACUACCCAAAGUCUUUUUUGAUGGGAAGAAGAGAAAAUAAAUAGAUAGAUACAAGAUUAAUUCCAAAAGAGGGAAGAAGGGUCUCUGGUCUACAAGAAUAAGUCUGUGAUUAGUUUCAUCAGUCCCUAUUUUGUGUGAAUCUGAUUGCCAUGGCUGGAGGUACGAUCUUGGAUUUUCAUUUUAUUACUUGUAAUUAUCAGAGAUAUUUAUCUAACAUUUGGUAUCAGAGCCAAGGGUCUCUAGUUUGGCUUUCGAUUCAAUAUUUAUGGUCUUAAAUGAAUUAAGUUCUAUAUUCAUACAUGAUAAGAGAAAUUUAUCUCCAUAUUUAUUGGGUAUUUCUAAUUUAAUCCAAAUGAAGAAAAUUUAGUAGACUCCAUAUUUAUUGGAUAUUUUUUAUUUAAUCUAUACAGAUUUGUUUUUCUACAGUUGCAAUAGACAUUUCUCAUAUGACAUGUUAUGUUUCCUGCAAUUGAGACAACUUGAACCCGUGACCAUGGGUUACUUCCUUAACUAGAAUAGUCCUUGAACCAUUGGACUAAAGCCUAUGACUUGUUAGAGAUUGCCUCCUCUAAACUUAAAUGUUGGCUCCGUUAUUGUGAAAAACUUGUAUAAAUUAUUUUUAUAAAGUAGUAUUUAGAAACACUACUUAUAUUUGUUUACCAUUGAUUUGGUAAUUUUUUUGAUGUCAUACUGAGGUAACAUUUGAUUAAUUAAGUAAUAGCCACAACAUUCUUGAUUAUGAUAAUGUUAAGUGACAAAAGAAAGUUUCAUUUUUGUCACAUUAAAUUAAUGACAUCAAUAUUUGUAAAUAAUCAUAAAAAAUAAUAAUUUUACCCCACAGGGUAAUUAUUAUGUUUUGUGUUUAUUUAGGAUGGGAUGGUAAAAAAAAAAUAUGUUGCCCAUAGGCCUAAAAUUACUAGUUCCAUUAUAAAGUAAUUAAAAAAAAAACAUUUGCAUGUUGUAUUCUGUUUCCACAGGAAAGUUUAUGAUCACGUGUUGAUUUUUUGUUGAUUGAAUUAAUUUACAUGAGUAAAUUUUGUUUUUUGCUUCAUGGCAUAUUAGUAAGCUUUGUCAUUUAUUUUGUAGUUCAAUCUAUAUAUGUUCCAAAUUUUGAUUCAUCUCGUAUACCUUUCUUGAAUGGUGAUAAUUAUGCUAAUUGGUAGGAGAAAAUUCUCCUUACAUUGGGGUGCAUGGACCUUGAUUUAGCACUUUGUGUGGAUGAGCCAUUGGUUCCUAUGGAAUCAAGUACCCAAACUGAGAAAGCAUCAUAUGAACGUUGGGAGCGAUCUAAUUGCUUAAGUUUGAUGUUUAUCAAGUCUAGUAUUGGGAAAAGUAUUCGUGGUUCAAUUUCUGAAUGUGCUAAGGUGAAAGAAUAUCUCAAGGCUAUUGAGCAACAGUUUGAGGCUUCUGACAAGGCUUUGGCUAGCACCUUAAUGACAAAGAUGUGUUAGAUGAAGUUUAAUGGCACCAAAGGAGUACGUGAGCACAUAAUGGAAAUGAGAGAUAUUGCUACUCAACUUAAGUCAUUAGAGAUUGAGAUGUCUGAGUCAUUUCUGAUUCACUUCAUUCUUAAUUCUUUUCCAUCUGAGUAUGGACCUUUUAAGAUUUCAUACAACACACAUAAGGAAAAAUGGUCUAUUAAUGAACUUUUGACCAUGUGUGUGCAAGAAGAAGGAAGACUAAAUCAAGAAAGGAUUGAAAGUGCCCAUUUGGUGACUUAAGAAAAGAAACCAGGCAAGAAAGGUAAAAGAAAGCAAAAGACAUCUCUUAAUCAAGUUAAUAAGAGCGAUAUCAAGUGCUUCUUUUGCAAGAAGAAAGGACACAUUAAGAAGUGUUGUCCCAAAUUUAAAGCUUGGCUUGAAAAUAAAGGUAAUCUUAUCUCUUUAGUGUGUUAUGGAUCUAAUAUGGUUCAUAUUUCUUACAACACUUGGUGGAUUGAUUCUGGUACUAAAAUUCAUGUUGCCAAUACCAUGCAGGGCUUCUUAAACCAAAGGAAACCAACAGAAAGUGAAUGCUCUAUCUAUUCAGGAAAUCGGAUAAGUUCACAUGUGGAAGCGGUUGGGACCUACAGACUUGUUCUUAGAUCUGGUUUUGUUUUAAACCUUGAAAACUCUUUUUUUGUUCCAUCAUUUUCUAGGAAUCUUAUUUCAGUUUCGAGACUUUUACCAUAUGGUUUUAGUUUUAAAUUUGUUGUUAUUUCAUUUCAUUUGAUAAAAGACAAUGUCGUUGUUGGUGAUGGUAUUUUGGAUAAUGGUUUAUUCAAACUCAAUUUAAAUCCAAGUUUUAAUCAUAGACUUACAACUAUGCAUGGAAAUGUUGGCAUUAAGUGUGGUGUUAUAAAUAAGAAAUCUUCCACAUUAUGGCACAAGAGAUUAGAUCAUAUCUCUAUUGAAAUAAUUAAAAGAUUGGUAAAUGAUGGAGUCCUUGAGGCUCUUGAUUUUACUGAUUUUGAUAUUUGUGUGGGUUGCAUUAAGGGAAAGCAAACCAACAUGACUAAGAAUCAAAGUGCUAGGAGGACUUCUAAUGUUUUAGAAAUCAUACACACUGACAUUAGUGGUCUUUAUAAUAUGUGCUUAAAUGGUCAAAUAUAUUUUAACACUUUUAUCGAUGACUACUCACGAUAUAUGUAUCUUUUUUUGCUUUAUGAUAAGUGUGAAGCACUAGAUGCUUUCAAAAUCUAUAAUGCAGAGGUAGAGAAACAAUUGGGUAAACAAAUUAAGAUUGUGAAGUCAGAUAGAGUUGGUGAAUAUUAUGGUAGGUACACUGAAAAAGGACAAUUAUCUGGUCCAUUUGCAAGGUUUCUACAGGAACAUGGCAUUGUUGCCCAAUACACAAUGCCUUGCUCACCAUCCCAAAAUGGUGUGGCUGAAAGAUGAAACCAAACCCUAAAGGACAUGGUUAGUAACUCCAACCUCCUAUUAUCCUUGUGGAGUGAGGCCAUAAAGACAACAACAUAUUGAUUACUAUUCAAAAAGUGCUGUUUUGUAGCUUGUAAUUAACUCUUUUAAACACUUUUGAGUAGUAGUUAUUACCUUUUAACUCAAUUGGCAUGUUAAGGACCCUUGCAAUCGUUUCUAAUCAAAUUGUGUUAAGUUUUAGUGUUUUUGAUAUCUUUUUUAUCACCAAAGCAAUCUAAGAUGAGGGAGAGCUUUAUAUAAUCCAUGGCAAAGAAAAUAAAAGCUCAUUUACAAGAAGAAUCCAAGCUUUGGAGCUUUGAAGUCCUUUGCCAAAAGCAAAUCAUGAAUGCAAUGAGGGAAAGCAAAGAGAGAAAUCUAACAUGAAGAAUUCAAGAGGACAGCAACUGUUGAAGACAUUUUGAGUACUUCCUGAAGUCCAUUUCAUGCAUACUAUAUGUCGUUUCGAAGAUCGGGAAGUCAGAAGCCCAACGCUUCAAACGGUACAUGAAUUGGAGUUGAAAAGAAGAAGUUAUGGCCAUUUGAAGACAACCGCACAAAGUUGAGCGAAAAUUUCAUGGCCCAAAGCCCAUUUCGUACCUGCGAAAUAAGCUGCGAAAUGAAACCCACUUGCGAAAUUUUGUAAGGUGUUUUGCAGCUGCGAAACCACCUCCAAGCACACGUGUGCCACUUCGCAAGUUGAAACUCCAUCUUCGCAACUGCGAACCACGUUGCGAAAUCACCUCCAAGCUGCGAAACAAGUUGCAAAUCAUCUCCAAGUUGCGGAAUCACCUCCAAGUUGCAAAAUCACAAAUUCAACUUGCAAAAUCAAAGUUCAAACUUGCAAAAUGGACAAUUCAAAGUGUGAAAUCCACCUGUGCAAUCUCAGAUAUUUGCAACCGACUCAGUUAGAUUUUUUCUCAAGAUAUUUUGUAAAUUUCUAUUUUCUCCUUGUAAUCAGUCAAAGAUAUUAUUGGGAUAUUUCUUAGAAAAUAUCUUCUCUAUAUAUAUCUUUGAACCAAUGUAAAUAAUACGGAUAUAUCAUGUAGAUCAUAGAUCAUGGAUGUAAUUGACGAUAGUAAGAAAUAUAUUUUUACAGAGCACUUGCUCUGUUUUUCCUUCAUAUUUUUGUUUUCUCGUUAUUUUUAUUUCUAGCAAAUCAAACUCUGAGGAUGUUUCCUUAGAGGAUGAGUGGCUUGGCUCUUUGUCUCUUGGAGUGAAGAAAGCCAAGUAAGUUUCCAUAUGCAAAAAUUAGAAGUUUUGUUGUUUCAGUUUUUAAUGAAGAGAAAGUGUGACUCGUUAAUGGUUUUUAUCUUUUUAGUUAACUUAAAACGCCUUUAAGUUACCUAGGCUAACACUUGGUAAGGCAAGUGAUCUCCGUCCAUUGAGAUGCACUAGUUUACCUCUUGCGAGCCUUUGGGAGGUGACUUGAAGGUAGGAUUUUCUAGAAUAGCCAACACUUGGUAAGCUUUUGGACUCUAAGGAGACAUCCAUUAGUUAUCUCUUGCGAGCUUUUAAAGGGUAAUCCAAGGUUAAGGAUCACCUUGAAUGGCAAAUUCUAGGUGAGAGGCAUGAGCCAUUGCAAGAUGCAUCAGUGAGAGAGAUUUAGUGUUUGAACCCAUUAAGGGGAAACAUCUAUACCACAUCGAUUCGGGAAAUAACUAUAUGUUAAAUCCCCAAUGCGAGGAAAAGAUUCAAGUGACCAGAACUCCCUUUUUGUAUAAGGAACCUAAGCCUAGUGAUCUGAAACUCCAAGAAACAUUUUUCUUUGUAAUUAAAAUCAGUUACUAUUUUUGGUUAGCUUAAAACCAACCUUUUCAAACAUCUUUAUAUUUUCUUUUAGAGCUAACCUUGAAAUGAAAAAACACCAAUUCAGCUUUGAAUUAAUAUCAAUUGUGAAGUGAAAACCCAUCCCAGUGAACGAUCCUAGAGCCACUAUGCUAUGCUAGCUGAGGCUAUCCUAGUACAUGGUGUAAUAGGUUAUAAAUUUUGUUGAUUACUCCCGUCUGAGGACCACAAUCAAGGAAUACCAGCUGGACACGAAUCAAAUGACACCGUUGUUGGGGACCAUUGAGAGGACAUGAAUCAGCUGAUACACCAAUUGGGAAUGAAUCACAUAUGUACUAAACCGGGUUCCAACCAAGGUAGUUCCUAAAACGCCUUUUGAGUUAUGGAAAUGUUGCAAACCCAGUCUAAGGCAUGUACAUGUAUGGGGUUGCCUAGUUGAGGUUAGAAUUUAUAAUCCACAAGAGAAAAAGUUAGACUCAAGAAUAGUCAGUGGAUAUUUCAUUGGCUACAUAGAAAAGUCUAAGGAUACAAAUUUUUAUUAUCCUUCUUGUGCUACGAAAAUUGUAGAAUCUCAUAAUGCAAGGUUUUUGGAGAAUGAUGUGAUUAGUGGGAGCAAUGAAUCUUGACACUUAGUGUUUGAGGAACGCCACAAUAUUGAACCCACUCUUGAGUCUUCAAGUGGAUUAAUUAUUUUCCUGGAUAGUCAUCAAGAUUUGACAAUCCAAGAAACACCAGUUGUUAAUGAACCACAUCAUGAGGAUAUUCUGAUGGAUUUAGUUAUUCAACAUCCUCAACAAGGGAAUGUUGAUAUAACAUUAAGAAGAUCUACUACAGAAAGGAGGUCUACAAUUUCUUUUGAUUAUGUUGUGUACUUACAAGAAUAUGACAUUGAUAUUGGUGUUGAAGAUGACCCCAUUACGUUUUCACAAGCCGUGGGUGGAAGUGAAAAGAUGAGAUGAAUUCAAUGGCUAAUAAUCAAGUCUGGGAUCUUGUUGAGUUGCCUAAAGGUGCAAAGGUAAUUGGUUGUAAAUGGGUUUUUAAGACUAAAAGGGGUUCUUUGGGCAAUAUUGAAAGAUAUAAGGCAAGACUUGUAGCUAAAGGAUUCACUCAACAAGAAGGAAUUGAUUAUCAUGAUACCUUCUCUCCUAUUUCCAAGAAGGAUUUAUUUUGGAUAAUCAUGGCAUUGGUAGCUCAUUUUGAUAUGGAGUUACAUCAAAUGGAUGUGAAAACAGCAUUCCUUAAUGGGGAUUUAGAGGAAAAGGUUUACAUGAAACAACCAGAAUGGUUCAUCACAAAUGGAAAUGAUCACAUUGUUUGCAAGCUUAAAAAAUCUAUAUAUGGACUAAAACAAGCAUUCCGUCAAUGGUAUUUAAAGUUCCAUGAUGUUAUUUCUUCAUUUGGUUUUAUAGAAAAUGUUAUGGAUCAAUGUAUGUACCAUAAGGUUAGUAGGAGCAAAAUGAAUUUCUUAGUCUCAUAUGUGGAUGAUAUUUUGCUUGCUUCAAAUGAUUUGGGCUUACUUCAUGAGGUGAGGUGAGGCGAUUUCUCUUGCAACAAUUUGAUAUGAAAGAUAUGGGUGAAGCUUCUUAUGUCAUUGGCAUAAAGAUUGAGAGAGAGAGAUCUCAACGGAUAUUAGGAUUGUCUCAAGAAACCUAUAUCAAUAAAGUGCUUGAGAGAUUUCGCAUGAAGGAUUGUUCACCUGGUAUUGCACCGAUUGUCAAAGGUGACAAAUUUAGUUUGAACCAAUGCCUCAGUAAUGAUUUGGAAAAUAAAGAGAUGAAAAAUAUUCCUUAUGCUUUUUCAGUUGGGAGUUUAAUGUAUGCUCAGGUUAAUACAAGACCUGACAUUUCUUAUGCAGUUGGAAUGUUGGGCAGAUAUCAAAGUAAUCGAGGUCUGGAACACUAAAAAGCUGCAAAGAAAGUCAUGUGAUACUUUAAGGGGACUAGGGACUACAAACUUACAUACAUGCGAUCUGAUUAUUUGGAUGUGGUUGGAUAUUUGGAUUCUAACUUUGCUAGCUGCCUUGAUUCUAGAAAGUUGACAUCUGGAUAUGUCUUCUUAUUAGCUGGAGGGGCCAUUUCAUGGAAAAGUGCAAAACAAACAUUGGUUGCUACUUCGACCACAGAAGCGAAAUUUGUUUCAUGUUUUGAAGCAACGUCACAUGCUAUUUGGCUGAGGAGUUUUAUUUCAGGGCUUCAAGUUGUUGACUUAAUUUCUAAGCCAUUGAGGAUUUACUGUGAUAACUCUACCAUAGUGUUUUUAGCUAAGAAUAAUAAGAGUGGAAGUCAUAGUAAACACAUUGACAUAAAGUACUUAUCUAUUAGGGAACAUGUUAAGUCAAACAAGGUGGCUAUUGAGCAUAUUAGUACUGGAUUGAUGAUUGCGGAUCCUUUGACGAAAGGAUUGCCACCUAAGGCUUAUAAGGAACAGGUUGAACAUAUGGGACUCAAUUCUAUUUUUUAAAUUUUGUGUAAUUGAGACAUCUUUUGUGUUUCAUCGCAUUUUUUGGUUGAUAUGAAAACUCCAAUUAUUUCAAUCUUGUCUUCUCAUUUGGUUAUAUACAUAAAGUUUAGAGAAUGAAAAUAUGCAUGUUAUGAAUGUUAAGUAGACCUUGAAUGAGAAUUUUGGAAACUCAUUCAUAAAGGAAUGACUCACGUAUUGUUCUUAUUCAAAAGAGAAAGUUGCAUUGUAAUACAUGGAAGGUAAUACUUGUUCUUAGAGGACUUACUGACAUGAUUUAUGUGCUUUAAAUUCUUUUGAUUAAGUAUAAGGAUUUAGGGAAAAAUAUGUUAUGUAUUAAUUUAAUUAAUACAUAUUAAGUAAUUUUUAUGGGCUAAGUGGGAGAAAUGUUGGAAACCGUUUUGCAUUUUUAAUAAAAUAAAAAUAUUUUAAAUUGUGGCCCAUUUAAAUAUUAUUUUCCCUAAAAUAAAUGAAACGUGGGGGCACAUCUCUUAUGGAGUAACCACCCAUGUCUACAGACGUGAGACAUAUUACUCGGUUGAAAACUACCCGAAGUCUUCUUUGAUGGGAAGAAGAGAAAAUAAAUAGAUAGAUACAGGAUUAAUUCCAAAAGAGGGAAAAAGAGUCUCUGAUCUACAAGAAUAAGUCUAUGAGUUCCAUCGGUGCAUGGACAUAAGGUCUUGUAAGGACUAGCCAACUAAUCCCUAUUUUGUGUGAAUUUGAUUGCCAUGGCUGGAGGUAUGAUCUUGGAUUUUCAUUUUAUUACUUGUAAUUAUCAGAGAUAUUUAUCUAACAUUUAAGAGUUAAGCAUGAUCACAUUGUGAUUUAUUAUGAUAAUGGGAGUGCCCUACAUUUAUUUAAGAAUAAAGUUCAUCACUCAUUGGUAAGGCAUAUUGAUGUCUAAUUUCAUUUUAUUUAAGAGAUUCUAGAAGAAAGUCAUAUCUUGUUUUAGAAAGAUUGCUAAUGUUAAUGAGGUAGGUCAUAUUUUAAGAAAGAUUUUUCCUAAAGUCAAGUUUAGCCAUUGUUUAAAUGUGAUCCAUGUAGAAAGGAUCAAUGUACCUUUAGGUGUGUAGUAGCAAAAUCCUUAAAGAUUGUUUGGUUAGCUUCAUUUACAUUACUUAGUUAAAUAUUACAUAGUCAAUUACAUAGUCCUUUAUUAUUAUUUUUCAUUCUUAGUUGGUUUUUGUCUUGAAUUUAGAGUGAAGAAGAUGUAAUCAAUGAGUAGGGAAAGAGGAACAAAAAUGAAAAUAACAUUAGAACUAGGAAUUGGAGAAGAGGAAGAAGAUGAGGACAUUUCUAGCAAUGUUGCAUGUCAAUUUUUUGUUUAAUGAUUUCCUUAUAAUAGUUUUCAUAUUUCAUUAUCUCUCUCUAAACUAAACAACAUAUUUCUUAAAUAUUUUGAAUUCUUAUUUAUUUUUAAACUCUUUCAUUCUCUACCCUUUCACCAUUUUCACAUACCUAAAAUUUGCUCUCAAUUUAUUUCAAUAAUGUUGACAUAAAAGUAAAUAGCUAAAAUAGAUAAGUUAACCUUCAACCUAUUUUUUAUUUAUUUAUUUAUUUACAAACCAAAAUCUAGUAUUUUUGUUUAGAAACUAAAAUUGAACAAAAAUGUAUAAACUAAGAGAAAGAAAAAGUAAAAACUAGAGACUUGUAAUUAUAUAAAUGUUAAGAUUUCAAGUUAGUAAUUUAUGUUAGUAUUUGUAUUUUUUUCUUUUUUUUUUCUUGAUUUUUAUAUACCAUUUUAAUUAAUAUUUUCAAUUUUGUGAUUGAAGUCUCAAAUUUUUUAAUUUGUGUUAUGCUUAUUUUAUUGUUUCCAUGUUAAAAACCAAUGUGCAAUUAGUAUGACAUGUACACUUAUUAUUUCGAAGUGUAAUGUUGAUAUCUUAUUUUGUAAAGCCCAUGGCGAUCAAUCAUUGUCUCUCAUGUGUCUCAUUGAUGAUGUGUGAGUUUGACUAAUUAUUUAGCAUCAUGCCUCAAAGAUUAAUGUUACAUAUCGAAGACAUCUCUCUAAUAAACAUGACAUUCAAUACACUUUUCUUGGCCUUAAUCUUUGAUACAUGAUAGGUCCAUGUUCUACCUUCAUAUCUCCUAUGCCAUAGUGCUACAUUAUUUGAAAAUGAAUAUUUAUCUUCAAUAAGACCCUAAGUCACAUGGAUGCCUAUGAAGCAUGGAUGUUGCCCAUAGUGAAUGCCAGGGAGGGGGGUAAAGGUGUUUCUUACUCUAUUCUUCCUUAAGAUGGUAUCAUGUGCUUCUGAUAAUUGUUUUAUUCUUAUUCUAGAAAAUACAUGCUUCCUAAAAACUAAUAGUUUUUAUUGGUUUAUGAUCUUUUAUACCUCCUUCUAAUGUGUCAGCCUUACCAUAAUGCCUUGAUGUUAAUAAAUCUACCUAGUUCAUGAGCAAAGCUCAAGGUUUUGGAAUGGACUUUGUGUCCUUAGUGGUAAAUCUAGUUUCCCUACCCAUUAGCAUUUCAAGAUUAGUUUGAGCAUCUUGGUUUAGCAAUUAGAUCUUAUACUUACCAAGGUUGGAUUAACACACAUUGAUCUCAUUUUAGCUUAAAUGAAAGAGGUGACAAGUGUGUCUUCAUUAUAGGUGUCAUAUGAAGAAGUUUGUAUAUCCUUAUAGAAUAACUAAUAUUCAAAAUACUAUUUUAGAGCAUCAAUAAAAACUUCAUUUCUAUCCAAAUGAAAAAAAGAAGUGAUAUUGUUGUUCUCCUUGAUCUUACUGCCACCAUCUCUACCCAAUCAUCUACUCUCACUUUGUUUUGCUCUCAUUUUAAACUCUUGGGACAUUUAAAACUUUUAAGUUUUAGUUGUAAACUUAUAGAUACUUUUUUAGGAAAAAAAAAAUGGAAGUGAGAUCUAAGAUUUUGUUUUGAGAAAAGUAUUGAAAAAGCCCCAGGCUUAGAAACUUUUAUUUGCCUAUGUCUAAUAUGAACUUUUGAAUGAAAAAAACAAUGUUAUAUAAUUUAAUACUUGAAAGGAGUUAGAAGGUUUUUUCUAAUUUUGGAGCAUGAUGUACAUUAUGAGCCUAAAUCAUGACAACUUAAGUUGUUAGGAAGAUCAGUUGCUUAACAUGCCAAUAGUGUCUUGUUUAGUGGGGGGUUGUGUGUUUGAAUCUCACCUCAUUAUUUCCAUGAUUUACUAAAAUGAGGUUAGUUGCAUAGGAAAAUUUUUCUCUUCAUACGUGGGUAUGGGGUUGCAGUGAAAGAGAGUGUUAAAGAAUGGGAUCAAAUCUUAAUAGUUUAAGCUUUUAGAAAAAUCAAAAGUUCAAUAUGGCAUUAGAGUCUUAUUUAUUCGAAGGUUAUUAGUUUGGACCUAAAGACAUUAUUUCCCUAAUUUAUUGAGUAAAAAAAAGGCUAGAUAUGAGGUUGCUAAUGAGAAGUUAAUAGGGGUCCUGAGUCCAAGUCCUUCCCUCAUUAUUUAUCUAUCUAAUUAUUUAUGACCAUAAAGUGCUCCCCAUGAUAGGUAUGGGCUCACAUAUGAGGAGAGGAGGGGUGUUGGACCAUUAUAUAUGUUAUGUGCUCAAAUUCUAACAACUUAAUUAAGCUUUUAGGAAAAUUUAUUAUUUAACAUUAAUAUUGUUUUGUAAUCAAAGUAAAAUCUGUUGAGGAGAAGAAAAAUGGUAUUCUUCUAUAUAUUGAAAGAUACAGCAGAUGAGGGUUAUAUAUAACCUGUACAUGAAGUUAAUUUGGAAGAAACUAAUCACACUAAUCUAGGCUACAAUCUUGGAUGAUUUACAAUCAAAUAAAACUAACUUGGUAACUAGAAUAUUUUUAUUUCUAUAAUUGCUCCUUCAACAACUCACGUCAAUACUCCCCCUCAAGUUGGUGCAUAGAUAUCAUCAAUGCCCAAUUUGUCAAGUGAGUUGUGAAAUAUUUUGCUAGAGACAGCCUUUGUAAGAAUAUUUGCUAGUUGAUCUUCUGACUUCACAAAAGGAAAUUGAAUGACCUUGUCUUCGAGCUUCUGCUUGAUAAAAUGUCGAUCCACUUCAACAUGUUUGGUGCGGUCAUGUUGAACUGGGUUAUGCGCGAUUGCUAUGGCUGCCUUAUUAUCACAAAACAAGUUCAUUGUAUUCUGAGAUGAACACUUAAUUUCCUCUAAUAAUCUUUUUAACCAAAGUAGCUCACACAAUCCUUUAGUCAUGCCUCUAAACUCAGCCUCUGCACUAGAUAAAGCAACUACCUUAUGUUUUUUACUCCUCCAAGUGACCAGAUUGCCUCCCACAAAUGUGAAGUAGCCCGAUGUGGAUUUUCUAUCAGUAAUGUUCCAUGCCCAGUCUGCGUCCGUAUAACCGUCAAUGUGCAGAUGUUGGUUUUUCGUGAACAUCAGUCCUCUUCUUGGAGAAGACUUCAAGUACCGUAAAAUACGAACCACUGCACUCAUAUGAUCUUCGCUAGGACAAUGCAUGAAUUGACUCACCAAGCUCACCGCAUAAGCAAUAUCAGGUCGUGUGUGAGAUAAGUAUAUCAGCUUUCCCACAAGGCGUUGAUACCUUUCUUUAUUGGUAGGGGUCUGGUUAGGAAAUUCUCCCAAGCCAUGGUUUUGAACAACUGGUGUAUCAGCAGGUCUACAAUCAAGCAUUCCUAUUUCAGACAACAAGUCAAGCACGUACUUCCUUUGGGAUAGAAAUAUGCCUUGUUUUGAUCGAGCUACUUCAAUCCCCAAAAAAUACUUCAACCCUCCAAGAUUUUUCAUCUCAAAUUCAAUUGCUAAAUGCUCUUGUAAUUUAGAGAUUUCUUCCUCGUCAUUUCUUGUAAUUAUCAUAUCAUCAACAUAGAUUAUUAGAGUUGUUACCUUCCCCCGUUGGUGCUUUAAGAAGAGAGUAUGAUCUAAAUUACUUUGCUUGAAACCGUGCUUUCUCAUGGCAAGGCUAAAUCGUCCAAACCAUGCUCUAGAAGACUGUUUCAAUCCGUAUAAUGCCUUUUGUAACUUGCAAACAUCCUUCCCCUGUGUCGAAGAAACAAAACCCGGUGGAAUGUCCAUGUACACCUCCUUUUUAAGAUCCCUAUGGAGAAAGGCAUUUUUGACGUCAAAUUGGUGCAAUGGCCAGUCCAAGUUUGCAGCAAGAGAGAUUAGUACUCUCACAGUAUUUAAUUUUGCUAUAGGUGAAAAAGUUUCUUGAUAAUCUACCCCAUAUGUCUGAGUAUAUCCCUUCGCAACGAGCCUUGCUUUAUAUCUUUCAACUGAUCCAUCUACUUUGUGUUUGAUAGAGAACACCCAUCGACAUCCCACAGUUUUCUUUCCCUUAGGCAAUGGCACAAGCGCCCAAGUAUCAUUUUUUUGUAAUGCUUUCAUCUCUUCCUCUAUCACUUGGAUCCAUUUGGGAUUAUUCAUGGCUUCACUCACUGUAUCAGGAACACUAUCUGCAGAUAAUUUAUGAACCAAUGCCUUGAGAGGUUCAGACAAUUUUUGAGUUGAGAUAUGGUUGGCAAUUGGGUACUUUGACUUGCUCGUUCCAUGAUCGGGUGAAUAGCGGUUUGGUGGUUGCCCGCGGUUAUGCCUGAAAGGUAGUUUAUAGCCAGAAAAAAUAUUGUGAGGAGAGUUUAGAACUUGUACCUCAGGAAUAUUCUCAAGAGAUUGGUCUAAUUGUGGUACUGUCAAGUCAUGGAAGGGUUGUUCACUUUCAAUUUCCCUAACUUCUCCAUUUUGAUAUACUCUUGUUGGUUGUUGUUCGAUCUCUGCUUCGACAUGCUCAACAUUUUCAACUUCUCCUCUUUGAUCUAUCAGUAUUGCCAUUGGUUCUCUUGGCUGAACCUCCCUUAUAUCAUUUGAAGUUUCUUCGAAGCCUGGCCAAUUUUCCCAAUUCUGCUCUUCACUCGUCAUCUCCCCCUGAAGAGAGAAGUGGGAAGAUUGAGAAGUGAAGAAAUUCUCCUAUUCAAUAAAGGUGACAUCCAUGGUGGUAUAGAGUCGCCUUGUAGCUGGAUCAUAACAUCGGUAUCCUUUCUUGUGAGUUGCAUAGCCAAGAAAAACACAAUGGACAGCACAUGGAUCAAGCUUUGUCCGUUGAUUCUUGUGUAGAUGAACAUAUGUAACACAACCAAACUUUCUUGGAGGAAGCAUUAGAACUGAUGGUAAUGUCACAUGUUGUGCGAGAACUUGAAGAGGGGUUUUGUAGUGCAAAACUCGUGAUGGCAAUCGAUUCAUUAAGUAUACAGCAGUCAUUAUUGCAUCUAGCCAAAAUCGUUUAGGAACAUAAGCAGCAGUCAAGAAAGCUCGAGUGAUUUCCAAGAUAUGUCUAUUCUUGCGCUCUGCAACACCGUUCUGUUGCGGUGUUUGAGAACAAGAUGUCUCAUGAUGCAAACCAUGUUCCUGAAAGUAUCUGUGAAAUUGUGCAUUAUCAUAUUCCCCACCAUUAUCAGAUCAAAGAAUUUGAAGUUUAGCAGAAAAUUGUGUUCGAAUCAUAUUAUGAAAUGAUCGAAAUAUUUCAAACACUUCAUGUUUAUUUUUCAUCACAUAAAGCCAAGUCAUUCGUGUACAAUCAUCGACAAAGGUUACAAACCAACGAACACUAGAAGAAAUAGUAAUAGGAGCAGGGCCCCAAACGUCAGAAUGAACAAUCAAAAAAUGAGUGUCACAUUUAUUCAAACUGAUUGAAUAAGGUACCUGAUGACUCUUAGCCUGAAUACAAGCUUCACACUUAAAAUCUGACUCAUUAAACUUCGUAAAUAAAUCUAGAAAUAAACAUCUCAAAUACCGAAAUGAGGGAUGCCCCAACCGAUUAUGCCAUAACCAUAUCUGUCUUUCCUUAACUCCAGCAGAAUGCAUAUUAUUUGCUCGACCAUAACUAAAAUCAUCCAUGUAAUACAACCCUUCCCUUUUAGUACCACGACCAAUAAUCUCCUUGGUGAGAAUAUCCUUAAACAAACAAAAGUUAGGGUACAUUAGAGCAUAACAAUUCAAUUCCUCAGUCACUUGUCCAAUAGAUAACAAUUAAUUGGAAAGUGAUGGAACUAGUAAGGUAUUUGGUAAUGUAAAAGAAGGAGAAAGAGCCACUGUUCCAACCCCUGUUACUGGAUAUGUUACUCCAUUAGCAUUGGCAAUGCAUAUUCGUUUUGGUUGGGUGGCUUUAGAGAAGUCACAAGGGUCAAAGGUCAUGUGGUCUGUUGCCCCAAAGUCAAUGAUCCAGCCAUCAUGGUUCCCCGUUUUCGAGCAAGAAAAAACAUAACCUUGGUUACCUGAGUCAUUCUGAGCAAUCUGUUCACUAGUGGAGAUAGAAUAUUCUUGUUGUGGUACGAGAGAUAGUUGAGGCUCUACGCUCAUAAGAGCUGCACAACCAAGAUUGUCGCCUCCACUUGCUUCACGCUUUUUCUUUGCCUUGAGUUCAUGCCACCAAUCUGGAUAACCAUGUAGUUUGAAGCAUGUUUCUUUGGUGUGUUUUGUAUUCCCACAAUGUGUGCAGCCUCCUCCUUCCCCUUUUGGUUUUGUGGUUGUGUUAGGCUUUCCAUUUGAUGGCGUUUGAAAAGAUAAUUGGUGUUGAGGUUUAUGUUCUCCUCUUGAAAGCAUAGCACCACCAGAUAUGGUAUCUUCAUUCAUCAUCAUUACGGAUUGCCUCAAAUCCUCUAUUCAAACUUGCGCAUAAGCUUGUUCCACUGUUGGGAAUGGUUGUAUCUACAGCACAUCUGCUCAGAUCUUGUCAAGCCGAUCAUCAAGUCCGUCUACGAAAGUGUAGACUCUAUCCUCCUAUAAAAUAGAGUUAUAUUUUUGUAUAUUAAUAUCACAUUCCAUAGGAUUUGGUCAACGAAAGUCGAUUUCCCUCCACAAGCCUUGCAGAUUGUUGUAGUGUGUCUCGAUAGAUCCUCCUUCUUGUUUGAAUCUGGUUACUCUUCUUUUGAGAUCAUAUACUUGUGAUGUAUCAGUGCCAUCAAAGUACGUAAUAGCAAUAUUAUCCCAAACAGCCUUAGCCAUUGAGAAUUUGAUAAAGUUACUGACUAACUUUGGAUCCAUAGAAUUGAUUAGCCAUCCCUUCACCACUGCGUUUUCGGUUCUCCAUUUUCUGAAUGCAGGAUCUGUUUGCAGGGGCUGUGGAAAAUCUCCAUUUAUGUAUCCCAACUUGUCUUUACCUGAGAUAUACAUCUCGACAAUUUGGGACCAUAGUGCAUAAUUGGUACCAUCUAACUUGAUUCCAAUCUGUGUAGCAGGUUCAUGACUUGUGAUAUGGUUCUGAGUUUGGUUGUGGUUCAGUACUUGUGUCAUUCUUGUCAUAAGAUCUGCGAGAAUUGAACUCUCCCCUUCGUGUUUUUCCACCCUAAUAGGAGGUGUUUCCAUUUUCCUCUUUCUGUUUUUUUUUUUUUUCUGAAAUUCUAUGGCCCUAGAAUCUCUGCUCUGAUACCAUGUUGAAGAGAAGAAAAAUGGUAUUCUUCUAUAUAUUGAAAGAUACAGCAGAUGAGGGCUAUAUAUAACCUAUACAUGAAGUUAAUUUGGAAGAAACUAAUCACACUAAUCUAGGCUACAAUCUUGGAUGAUUUACAAUAAAAUAAAACUAACUUGGUAACUAGAAUAUUUUUAUUUCUAUAAUUGCUCAUUCAACAACUCACGUCAAUAAAAUCAACCCUAGUUAUUCAACAUAAUAAAAAACAUUAGUUUCCUUAUUGAAAAUGGUAAGGACUAAGUAAAUUGAUAUAAAAUAGAAUGCUUUAUAGUUUAUGAGGUGAAGUAUUAGCACUAUAAAGUUAAGUAACUAAUUUGCUAAAAUUACUAGCUAAAACUUGAAAAAUCUUAUCUAAGUGAAAAAUAAAAUAAAAUAAAACUCUUUAUUUUACAUAAUAGCAUAUCUAUAUCCCCUUAAAUUAUGAAAUUCAUGUUGUUUUUUCAACAAAAAAAAAAAAGAUAGAAAAAGAAAAAGAAAAAACCUAGAAAUGCCUACUCAAAAAGAAUAGAUUGAUACACUCCCUAACCAUAAAAUUGAGUUGUAAAUAUAAAUUAUAGUUCAUCCAAGUCUAUAUGCGACUUUUAGAAAUCAAUAGCUAGUUUCAUUUACACCAUUGGUUCGCAUUUUUUUAUUCCAUUGAAAAGAAAGCAAUAAAAAUGAAUUGAGACAAAAAUGAUAAUACAAUCCAUAAAACAUCAAUAGAUUUGUAAACUCAUUAUAAAGUUCAUAAAUUUUUAGAUAAAAAGAAAAACAAUAUAAAGAGGAAAAAAAAUUAGGAACUAUCAAGUUCAAAAAUAGAAUUUAUGGUAAAAAAUAAAAAAUAAAAAGAUAUAACAAACAACAUUUUAAAGUAAGGGUACAAUAGUUAUUAAAAAGAAUCUCAAUAAAAGUUUUCUAAAAAUUGAAAAGAGAGAGAAAAAGUUUUUGGUAUGCUUUUAUGGUUUAGGGGGUAAAAGUUCAUAAUACUCGUCAUUUUAUCAUCUUUAUAGGAAAAAAAAAUUAGACUCAACUUUAUCACAACUCAUAUGAGUUAAAAAUCUCUUGAAUGUAUUUUCUCUCAAGUUUCUAAUGGAUACCCCUUUAUCAAAGGUAUGGACAUUGAGCUAAAUUCACCAUUAAAAUUCAUCAAGUUCCUUUUUUCCUUUUCCUAAUUCAUCAAGCUAUAUUUAUGAAAUAUCCUAAUUAUUCACUUGUAAUAUCAUAUUGUCAACAAAUCCCUUAACAGAUCUACACCUAUCACUAGUUAAUAGAUAAAAUAACUUAAUAAUUAGUUUUAAGUUUUAAGGACUUUACAAGACAAGCCAAGAACCUCAGAUUGCUUGCACACAAUUGACAAAUUGAUUUGUUUUAAAAAGUCAAAUGCUAAAGAAAAUCCACAACACAUAUUGUUUUAAAAAUAUUUGUAUUUAUAUGACAAAAAAAAAAAAAAAACCAAUAGUUUAAAUUGGAAAAGUUUAUGCAAAUUAGAUGAGGAAAAUGCAAGCCAUAAAAUAACAUUAAACUGUUAUCAUUCUCUAAGAAACAUCAAGAACAUAUUGAGAGAACCAUUGCUUGACAUAAUAAAUUGGUCUUGAAAGGAAAAGAAAAUCAUCAAAGCAAUUAUAUUUGUGAUGCAUUCCUAUUUGCAAUAGGUUCCAAUAUUUGAAGCUCACAAAUUCUUCACAUUUGGAUGAACCUUUUUAUUGCAAACAUAGAUCAACCUUGUGGUGCUUACCAAUGGGAAAACAAUUAUAGUAAGAUAUGUAUUGCAAAUGGUGCAUGCUUGCUGUAAAAAUAAAAAAUAAACAAUGAUGAUUGGAUAAGGGAUAGAAAUGGAACAAAAGACAUUGAAUUGUUAUAUGAAUUAAUAUAUUUUAUGUACUCAAAUACAAAAGCAUAUUAUAAUAAUAUUCAUAAGGCAAAAACCACUAUUUUUUUUAUUGGGAAACCCAUAUGAGAACAUGGCAUGGGGCUCAUCAUUGCACACACCACAUUCUCCACAAAAAACCAUAGGACUAACACCAUGAAAACCCAUCAUUGGCACCAUCCUCUUGACUCUCAAUCCCUUAACCCUACACAUUUUCAAACCAAUGUCAUCAACCACUCAUAUCACACAACUCAUAACCCAUCUCUAAUUCCACAACUUUCACCACUGUUGUACUACCAUUCACAUCAUCUCUAUCUCUAAAAACCUACACUCACACCUCUACAAAAUGUCACACUUCCUCACCUUAUACAACACCACCGCCUUAUUAAUUCAUCCAUGCCUAUGGCUAACAUAAAAAAACCCACCAGCACCCUCAUAAAAAAACAAUACUAUUUCAAAGUUACACCACAUUAAUGUCACCAUGCACCUUUCCCUCCAUUGAAUAUCCCAUACAAUCUCUCAUUAUCACCCUCGUCAAAUUCGCAAUGUCUCUCCUAAAUCCUGUAUGACUCUUAGUUUUACCAUUUAUUAGGUUAGCGUCCUCUAGUUCUAAUCGCAACCACUCUAACUUCCAAAGAAAUAAAAUGAUAAAUGAGCAAGUCAUGGAGAUUUCUCUUCCUUACAACCUUUUGCUCCAAGUGUUUUGGUACCCUACUAUUUGCACAUAUAUGUCUUGACAUUAACUUCUACUCAAAUAUAAUCUCUUCUUGUUUUCAUGCUUACCUAUUUUAUACAUCUUUUUUUGUAGAUUUUUUAAUUAUUUAACAUCUUAAGGUUUGCUUUGGUCAUGUUGUAUUGUUUACUUUGCACACUAACCAAAUGUCAAGGCCCUUUUACAUACAACUGGUUCUACCUUAGUCUUUGCAAUACCUUCCUAAGGUAGACCAAGUGAUCUUGUAGAGUGUAGUUGUAGAUCACUAUAUCGUCCAAAUAAUACACCACAAACGAGUCUAGGAAGUCAAAUAAGAUGUUGUUUAUGAGGUUGCAGAAAGCGGCAAGGGCAUUAAUCAACCCGCAAUGCAUGACCAAGAAUUCAUAGCUACCAUACCAAGUCAAACAAGUUGUCUUUGCAUCAUCUCUUUAAGCAAUGAAAACCUGUCAAUACCCUAAUCAUAGGUUUAUCUUGGUAAAAUACUCCACUUCACAAAUUGAAGAAGUUUGUGUGUGUGUGUGUGUGUUUGUAUAUAUAUAUAUAUUAUGCCAUAGCUUUACAUGCCAUCUACUUGUCUCCAUUUCAACAUUUGAUCAUCACCCAUGGAUGCAUUAUUCUAACUAAAUCCACUUCUCCUUCUUUCAUCCUCUUUCCAUUUUGCAUUAGAAUUAAUCCAAUUAACACCACAUAUUGCUUCUCCGUUACCCCACAUUGGUAUAUAUGCAAUGAACUUUUUGGUUUUAGCUCCAAUGUUUUAGCUACAAUUAGGGCCAACUUUAUAUUAUUAUGUACCUCAAAAUUAAGCAUUGAAUAAUGCACCCUACUCAUCUCCAUUUGGUUCAAAUGGCUUGUUGUUGUUCAAAUUCAUAGUCUCUUCAAUAUCUUGUAGUUUUCAUGAAUUCCAUUUGGAAGACCAAACUACACAUGUAUUUUACAAAUAGUAAGCCUGAAUUUACAACCAACGAUCUAACAACUACACAAAGAUUUAUAAUUUCAAUAAAAUCACACAAUAUUUAUGCCACCUAAUUCAAUAUUUUGAGCACCAGGGAGUGAGAAUUAAUGGUAUUAGAAUAUUUAGGUAUCUUGCAGUAUGGUUACAAGUUAGUUAAAUAAUUGUUAGCUUGUUAAAUAAUCGUUAGUUGCUUUUUCUAUUUUUUUUUUUUUUGUUUGCAACUGGUAAACUAGUAGGUUGUGAUAGCUUUUUUACCAAUCUUUAUUAUAAAGGCUUUCUUUGUAUUACUAAAACAUCAAGUGAGAAUAUUCUAAAAUUAUCAGAGAACUCAUUUUCUCUUCUUUCCUUUCUCUAGUCAAUUUUCUAAUAUGGUAUUAGAGUCAUUUCUUUUGUCUCUGUGACUUCUCUAACUUUCCCCUCCCAUUUAUCUAAUGGCUUGCGGUGGUGGCAAUGUUAAUGCCAAUCGAGCAGUAGUUAGUACUCCUAAUUCCUCUAUAAUGGAAUAUUCGAGCAGUCCAUUUUUCAUCCAUAGUAAAUAUCACCAAGGCUUGGUUCUUGUCUCAUAUCAACUUACUGGAGCUAACUAUAAUUCCUAGAGUAGAUCUAAGCACAUGGCUCUUAUAGCUAAGAACAAGAUCAGCUUGGUUGAUGACGCUUUUCUUCAACCUCCAACAGACAAUCUCAUUUCCUUUGUUUGAAUCCAUUGUGAUAGUAUGGUUACAUUUUAGAUCUUGAACUCUAUUUUUAAAGAUAUUGUUGAUAGUCUUCUCUAUGCUAAUAGCACUUUUAAUGCUUGGGUUGAUCUUUAUGAUUGAUUCCACCAAAGCAAUGUCCCACAAAUCUUCUAAAUCAAGAAGCACGUAGUUGUUCUUGAGCAAAGAUCUAUGGAUGUCAACACAUACUACACUAAGCUCAAGGUCCUCUAGGAUGAGCUCAAAAAUUAUCAACCCAUUCUUGUCUAUCACUAUGGAGGCACAAAGUCUUGGUUAGACACCAACAAUAGGAGUACAUCAUGCAAUUUCUUAUGGGUUUGAUUGAGUCAAAUGCUCAAACUUGAACACAGAUCUUAAUGAUGUCUUUGCAUUAGUUGUUCAAGAAGAAUGCCAAUGUACUAUCAAUUAAGGCUUUUUUUUACUUACCGAUUCUCUUAUUCCCAACAUUUCAAAUUCCUUUACUUUUGUUGCAACAACAAAUUUUUCUCGAAAUUCAACUUUAAAACCUAAGCGUGAGUGACCCUAAUGUUCCCAUUGUGGCUUGCAAGGACAUAUUGUAAAUAAAUGCUAUUAGUUACAUGGCUAUCAUCCUGGCUAUAAGUCAAAAUCAAAGAAACCUGAAGUAAAAAAUUCAAGCCACCUAGGCCAAUGCAACUAUUAAUGAGACUAUUAACUUUGAUUCAUCCCUUGGAUCUCUUACUUUAGCUCAGUGUCAUCAAUUGCUUGCAUUCUUGAGCUCUCAACUUCAUACCAACUUUCUUAUUAUGCUAGAAUCUCAAUAGCUAGAACCCUUUGUUUCCCAGUUCAAUGGUAUACUAUCUUUUUCUUCUAUAUCAUAAUUUUCCAAUUUCUUUUUCCAUCUGGAUUUUGGACAUAGAAGUCGCACAUCAUGUUUGUUGUUACUUAAGCACAUUUACACAAUCUACUCCAGCACAAAAUUCUUUUGUAACUUUGCCUAAUAGUCAAUCUGUUGUUAUUAAUCGUAUUGGUUAUGUAUUUUUGUCUCCUGAUCUCAUCCUUAAUAAUGUCAUGUUUGUUCCUAAUUUCCAUUUCAAUCUUCUCUCUAUUAGUUCUCUCACUCAGAGUUAUAAAUCUUCUAUUAAUUUUAUGGUUGAUUCUUGUACUAAAGGCCAUACAUGGACCAAAACGAUUGGGAUGAGUAGAAGACAUGGCAGCCUAUACUUCUUAAAUAUAGUCAAUUUUCAUGCCACUACACCACAAAUUUUCAGUCCUUGUAAUAAUGUUUCUUUGUCUCAAAAUGAAAUUUGGCUUUACUGUUUAGGUCACCUUUCUUAUGUAACGUUACAAACACUCAAAGAUGAAAUAGAAGUUAAACCAAAUUUUGGUGAUUCAAGUCAUUGUUUAGUUUUGCAUUUAGUCAAACAAUGCAAAUUACAUUUAUUUCUCACAAUUAUUUGUCUGUUUUGCCUUUUCAACUCAUACAUUGUGAUGUUUAGGGUCUCCUUCACACAUUUACCAUUGAAGGUUAUAGAUAUUUUUUACUAUUGUUAAUGAUUGUACUCAUUUUAUUUGGGUGUAUCUUUUGCGUGCUAAGCCUGAUGUUACCGAAGUUAUUCCUAAUUUUUUUUUUCUCAUUGAUUCAAACUCAGUUUAGAACACAAAUAAAAUUAGUUCACUCAGAUAAUGCUCCUGAAUUGGCAUUUUUUUUACUUCUUUCAUUCAAAAUGAGUCAUCUCAUUUCAUUCUUGUGUUGAUUAGCCUCAACGGAAUUCAAUAGCAGAAAGAAAGCAUCAACAUAUCUUAAAUGUUGUAUGGUAUUUAUGUUUCCAAUCGCAUAUUCCAUUGGUUUAUUAGGGGGAUUGCAUUCUUAUUAUUGUACACUUAAUAAAUAAAACUCCAUUCCCACUUUUGUCCAACAAAACAACAUUUGAACUUCUUUGGAAAAAGAAGCUUGCAUAUUCACAUCUUCGUAAUUUUGGUUGCCUAUGUUAUGCAUCUACUUUAGAUCGUCAUAGGACAAAUUUCUCACCUCAUGUCAUUCCUUUUGUCUUUCUUAGGUACCCACCUGGUUAUAAAGAAUACAAAUUAUUGAAUCUAGUCACUAAUUCUGUGUUUAUCUCCCAUAAUGUGGUAUUUCAUGAGUCUAUAUUUUCUUUCAAAACUACUCAAACUUAUUCUCCUCUUCCAGAUAUUUUCUCCGGCUAUUGGGUGCAAAUAGGUGUACAAAAAUAAGUAUAGAGUUGAUGGAACUAUUGAACAAUACAAAGCUCACCUUGUAGCUAAAGGCUGCACACAACAAGAGGGCAUAGACUAUCUAGGUACCUUCUCUCAUGUUGUCAAAUUGGUUACUGUUAAGGUUUUGCUUGCUUUGGCUACCAUUAAUGGUUGGAGUCUUCCUUAGUUGGAUGUCAAUAAUGCGUUCUUACAUGGUGAUCUUUUUAAGGAAGUUUAUAUGACUAUGCCUCCUAGUUAUCACUUAAAGGAAAAUCAUUAUCCUCACACUCUGUUUACAAAAUUCAGAAGUCCUUGUAUGGCUUGAAACAAGCAUCACGACAAUGGUUUUCCAAACUCUCCAAUUUCUUACUUGUUAAAGGUUUUUAAACAUUCUAAUGCAAAUCACUCUCUUUUUGUCAAAGUUGUUAGUACUUACUUCAUUGCUCUAUUAGUUUAUGUGGAUGACAUUGUCAUUGUUAGUAAUAGUGAUGAGCAAGUUGAGAAAUUAAAAGUUCUAUUUAGGAAAGCUUAAAUACUUCUAGGGCCUUGAGGUGGUGAGGUUUAAUAAGGGAAUUUCCCUUAGUUAGCACCAUUAUGCCUUACAAUUACUAUCAGAUGUAGGCUAUGUUGGUUGUAAAACAAGGAAAACACUUAUAAAUCCAUAGAAGAUCUUUUAUUUUACGGAAGAAUGAUAGGCAAAUUGGUUUAUCUAACCAUAGCAAACCCAGAUUUAUCAUUUUCAGUACAUAAAUUCAAUCAAUUUCUUGCAAAGCCUAGAGUUCUUCAUAUGUGGGCAAUACAACAUGUGCUUCAGUACUUGAAAGCAUGGUUUGAAAUAUUGGUAAACACGGAUAUAUCGAUACUUGGAUUUUAUGGAUAUAUUGGAAAUAUUGGUAAAAUAUCGGUAAAUAUUAAUAAAAUAUCGGUAAAUAUUGGUAAAAUAUCGGUGGAUAUUUUGACAAAAAUAUUAGUGAAACAAAAAUUAUUCAAAAUUCAUGGAAAUGUUUGGAAAACUCUAAAAAAAAAAUGAUAAAAUAAGCAAGAAUACAUAUGUUAAAGUUAUUGUAAGUGGAAUUGACAUAAGUAUGGUCAAUGAGAAAAAUAUUGAGGGAUAUAUCAGUCUUAAUAAUUUAUUAUUUAUCUUAUCAAAUUAAUUUUAUUUUAUAAAAUAUUAGAAGUUCAUUAUUUUUUUAUUUUAGUAAUUUUUUGAAUAAAUUUAUAUUUUUAAUAUUUUUAAAAUAAAAAAAUUCAAAAUCAAUAAAAUUAAAAGGAUAAACAUAAAAAAAAAAAAAAGUGAAAUGAUAGUAAUUUCUAAAAAUAAGAUUAAUGAGAUAAAUGAUGAUACAUUUAAUAUUAAAACUAUAAUUUAUUUAAUUCAAAUACAUUCAACAAUGUAAAAUAAAUUAUGAUGCAUAUAUAAUUUUUUUUAUAUUUAUAUUUAUUUUUAUAUAAUUGUCAUAUAAAUGAUAUAAAAUAAAAUAAAAUAAAAGACUUAUUAAGAAAAUUAUAAUGAUGGUUUUAUACUUUUAUCAAUUAAUUAAAUUAAAUAAUUAGAAUUAAUUUAUUUAUUCUUUUAAUGAUGAAUUUUAACAUAUUUAUUGUGAACAUAUAUUUACAUAUGUGGACUUGGCCCAAUAGUAGCCAGGCUUCACCCAAGCCUUUUGGCCUGGGUUUGAAUCCCCUUGGAUGCAAUAGAAAAAAAUUUGAAGGAAUUUACACGAAUAUCGGCAUCUUUUCGAUAAAGUCGAUUGACUUUCAGUGUGCAAUAUCAUGUCAACUCUCCUUGAUAUUUUGACGAUUGACUUUCAGUGUGGAAUAUCUUGUUAGCUCUCCCUAAUAAGCAAAAUAUCGACAAUAUUUCACCAAAAUUUUGCAACAUUUCAAUGUGGAAUAUCAUGUUGACUCUCCCCAAUAUUUCAACAAUUGACUUUCAGUGUGAAAUAUUGUGUUAGCUCUCCCUGAUAAGCAAAAUAUCGACAAUAUUUCACCAAAAUUUUACAACAUUUCAAACCGUGCUUGAAAGUUAUGCAGGACAAGGUUUAUUUUAUUUUAUUUAUUUAUUUUUUUCAUUAAUAGAGUUGAAAGGGUUUGUUGAUUCAAAUUGGGCAACUUGUGUGGUCUGUUAGUGGGUUUUGCUUUUUUUUUUUUUUUUUUUUUAAUUAUUGGUGAUUCCUUAAUUUCCCAGAAAUAAAAAGGCAGCAUAUAGUUUCAAGAUCUUUUGUUGAAGUUGAGGACAGAUUUAUGGCAAAUGCAACAUGUGAAUUGAUGUGAUUACUUUCUUUAUUUAGAGAUUUGCAUGUAUCUCAUCCUAAGCCUGCCUUGCUAUUUUGCAACAAUCAAGCAACUCUUUAUAUUGUAGCUAAUCCAAUUUUUCACAAGCACACUAAGCACAUUGAGAUCGAUUAUCACUUGGUUAGAAAGAAACUGUAAAAUGGAAGCUUGAAGACACUACAUAUUUCAUUUAAACAUCAAGUGGGGGACUUGUUGACCAAACCUUUUUCUUCACCUCAAUUUCAUUUUCUUCUUAGUAAAAUGGGAAUUCACAACAUUCAUUCUCCAUUUUGAGGGGGAGUAUUAGAAUAUUUGGGUAUCUUGCAGUAUGGUUACAAGUUAAGUAAAUAAUUGUUAGUUUGCUAAAUAAUUGUUAGCUUCUUUUUCUAUUUUUUUUUUGUUUGCAACUAGAUGUGUCUAUUCAAUAACUUCAUAUGGUUAUAGUUAAUUAAGAAUCCUUUACGUAAUAACUAUUAAAAUAAUUUGUUUCCAACUUUCCUAUUAAAUUUUCUUCUGCUUAGUAUUUCAAAAAUUAUAGUUCAAGAAAGCUCUUUCGAUUUCUAUGUUGCACUGUAUCUUCUUAUAUGUUAGUACAAAUCAUACUCCUCUUUUUACCUCUUCAAUGAAUCCUUUUAGGAGUAAGACCACCAAGUGAGCACCCUUAUAUCGAUCCACAAGCUUUUUAUUACAUAUUUUUGGUUUGUGCACACCACCUCAAAUUUAAGUGGCCCAUAAAUUUUAUACUUUGGAUACCUUACCAUCCAAUCAUAAGCAUAAACUAAAUUUGAAAGGAUAAGUUUAGUUUAUUUUAGAGAAACUGAGCUCCAAGUCCCCUAGCCAAACAUGAAGUUUUGAAGCAUGAAAUUUUUGUGAUGGAACAUAUUUGCAAUCCUUAUUAAAUUGACCAAUUGUGUUAUGCUAAGAAUGCAAAUUAUGCAUGGCAAAGUGGUUAGAAAGUGUACAAAUGCACCAUCUUUUUACUUGUUUUUUUACUCAAAUUUCUCUGUCAAUUUUUUUUUCAUUCUUAUCCUUCUUAAUUGAGGCAAACAUGUUUUGGCUAGUGCUUUCAAAUGCCUUAAAUAUAUUCUUUUCAAUAUUGUAAACAUUUGGCUUGGUCAUUGUUAUAGUUAUCAAUUGUGUCAACUUUUACUUUCUCUCAUCCCCAAUUACAUAUGCACUUUGUAGUUUUAAAUUUUUUUUAGUGAUUAAUCUUAGUUUUUAUCUAAUUGUUUGCCCUAUAGUCUCUGACAUAACUAUAAGUGGAACAUGCACCUCUCACAAACCAAAAGACAUCACUUGUCUUCUUUAAUUUAAACAUUUUUGCAUCUGUGUAAGAUUUGAAACUAGAAUUUCACAAUAUCUCAUAGUCAUCUUCUCUAGUUGUUUCUCAAAGCUCUCUUCAAGAUUUAGUUCAUGUUCAAUUACCAACUUUGAGUUUUCAAUUUUAUUUUAUUUUUUCCUACAAGUCAUGAGGAAAUGAAUUUCAACUGUGUUUCAUCUAUCCAUCUCUCUUAAAUUGUUUUAUUCAAUAGUUACCAAUUGUAGAAUUGUUUUUAUAUAUUCUUUUCAUAGAUAUUGUUAAUAAAUUAUGCUAAAUGAGUAGCUUCCUGAUGUGGUGAGAGCUAAUUUUAUUAUUGCUAGGAUAAUAUAUUUUUAACUUUCUUGACUUUUUCCGAAUUAUAAACCACUCAUGCUUUGACCAAUCUCCAUGUGUUUUUCAUUUGUUUGGAUUUAUGGGCUUUUGAUUCUAUUUAGUGAAUAGAUAAUAAGGAAUUAAGGAUCUGAGAUUGACAUUAUUUUAAGGAUGUUUGAAGAUGGCAUAGUGAAGUAUAGAAUAUUGUUUUGGGUUGUAUCUCCUCGUUUCUCAUACUUAUGGUGGACAUUGAUGAGUUGGAUUAUUUGAAUGAAAUGAGCUUUGGAAAAAUACUAGUAAUUACAUGAAUUGUUGCAAUAUAUUUGAGUGAAAAUAUUAUGUUAGUGUCUCUCCAUGUCACUAAUUCAAACCUGUGACUUUCCAUUGUAAGUGGUAGAAAUAUAUCUUUUAUUUUCUAGAAAACAUUACUCUAACUUGUGAAAAAGGUUCUUAUGCCUCCAUGUUAAAUGUUAUAUGAUGGAAAAAACCUGAAUCUCUCUGUUUCCUCAAUCUGGAUCAAGUUAGGAAUAUGCAUAACUAUCCUAGGCUUUUUCUAAAUUCUAUGCACAACAAAAAAUUAAUUUUUUUUUAUACUUUAUAAGGAUCUAGAAAGUGCUAACGAAAACUAUACCUCAAAUUCGAAUGUUCCCGAGUCUUUCGCCCGAUGACUCAAACCUUGAUCUUGGCACACUUCUAAUGGGGAGGAAAUAAGGGUGGAGGCUAUAGUUCUCUAUCUCUCUGGAUGGUGGAAGAUAAAAUCCAUGGAAACCCUAACCUCUAGGGGGUAUUUAUAGGGUUCCUAAGUUGGCUUAAGUGACUUGAGCCCAUACAGACUUAGGUCACUUAAUCUAACCAAAAAUGAGUUCUAAUUAAUUAAUUAACCCAAUAAGGCCUACUAAUUAAUCAAUUAGCCCAAUCAAGAGACCUUGUUCACUUACCCCUAUACAACCUUGCGUAAUUAUCAAAAUGCCCUUAUACACAAAAGUGAACUUAGAGUCAAUUCAACCCUCAUAACCCAUGCUAACAAGGUGUAUGAGUUCAAAGCGGGGACCAUUGGGACCCAUAGAAAUACUGACUCCCUCAAAAUCCAAUUCUAAAGUUGAUUCAAUAUCACACUACAGAGAAUCAACUAAACUUCAAUAUCCUAUGUAAAUAACAACGAGACACUAAGUGAUCGGGUCUAUGACUUGCUAUCCAUUGUGUUCAGUCUCCCCAUGAACUAAUGUCUGUCGUUUAAUAAGGUGAAAGCUAUUAGUCUUUCAAGACUACCUCUACCUCCUAUUUUGUGUUCAAUUGACAUAUCUUAGUUCUCAAAUUGCCUAUGUCAAGUUCCAUUUAAUGAACUACAUGACCAUAGUUUCCAUGAAUAUACCUCCUUAAGAUCACCCAAGGGGACACACUGUCUCAAUCCCAAGAGAUAUCAUAGUGCCUCUAUUGAAAAUACCUAUUACUACCAGCUUCUACCAAUAAUGAUCUAAUCCAUAUGGAAUAUAUGAUCAACUUCCGAUUUCACCCGUAGGUCAAAGUCAUUGCCAACUUUAGCACAAGCUCAAUAUUCUCUCAAGGUUGAGAGACAACACAAUGAAACAGCUUGGUGAGGUCAUGACUCAAUAAUAGCCUUAAGUCAUGACUCACCAUAGGUCUUGUCCAAUGUGUAACCAUACACACUAGUGCACUCACCAUAGGAAACCCAUCCCGAUAACCAAGACCAGUGAUCCCUCCAAUUAGGAGGUGGUGCACUACAACCUUUAAUGGGUUGCCUAGACCCAUGAACCAGUUGUGAACAAGUCAUCUAUUUGCAAAGAACCCAUGACUUAGAUCUCCUGUGCAACUCCUAAUGCACCUAAGUCACGUACAAUAGAAAAAAUGCAGACAAAAAGGCUCAUAAAGUAUAAUAUAUGGAAUAAGAAUAUAUAAAAGUGAAACUGGAACAUCAUUAAAUAAAUAAUGAAUUCUAAGUUUAUUACAUCAUGUCAUGCUUUUAAGGGCUUUAUCCUAACAUUAUGUAUUUGAGAUAAACAUGAUAUAAUGAGAUUUAUAUUUCUCUGUUAUAAUAUUUCAAUAAGUAAUUGUGUUUUAAUUUUAAUAAACUAUGCUUGCAUGAAACAAUUCAAGUAUCAUUGGCAUCAUUGUGAGACAAAAGUUUCUCUUAUUACAUAUUAAAGAGAUUUAAGUUAUCAAAAAGUGAAAACGGUUUUAUCUAGGCUAGUUUCAAGUUGACAACUUUUAAAUUGUUUAUCAUGUGAUAAAGAACUUUUCCCCACAAAUGAUACUUGAAUUGUCUAAUUAAACAGUGUAGGAAAACAUAAUAUCUAUGAAGUUAAUUGUUUGUUCUUAAUUCAAUUUUUAUAAAUUUUGGUAGUCUUUUCUCUUAUUCUCUGGGUGCAUAUUUGGAUAAAGUUGCAUAGUAUGUCUUGUCCAUUUUACAUACUUAGAGAACUAUAGGGAAAUUCUACUAAAAUUUCUUUAAAAUGAAAUUGACCACAUUGGUCAUUGACACAUAGAGAUUAUGUAUUUCUAUAUGGGAUAGGAACUACUACUGAAUUUAGGAUGUUGGAGAUGUUAGAAUGCAUAAAACAUGCAUCGAAAUUUGACAUACUCAAAUGAUUUUCUUGUGUUGCUUAAGGAGUUUAUUGAGAAAAUUGGUAUAGACAAUGUUUGAUGCAAAGGUCAUGGACAAACCCAAUAUAAUAAUAUUAAUAUGAACUAGUUUUAUUGAGGUUAUACAUCCCUUUUAAUGCAAGUAUUCAUGGUCAACAACAUUUAUAACUUAUUAGUCACUACUACAAAUAAGAUAUACCAUGACCUUGUUUUUUCCCUGGCACUUUUAAAAAUGUUAAUAAUUAGCGUGAUAUUUGAAAAGUGUAGAUCUAUCUUCAUAGAUCAAAAUGGUUAGAACAAUGCUUACUCUUUUUCUUUUAAAUUUGGCAUCUUAACAAAUGUUAAACUACAUUUUCUUGAUUAUUAUUUGAACAAAAAAAAAAAAAGAGGUUGUUAAACGAAUAGCAUAGAAAAUGUUGUUAUUUUCUUCAAUUUGAAGUUUGAUCACUAUUGAAAGUUUGUUCUUAAAAAAUGGAUCGUUUGUGGAUUUCAAAUGAUAGAGGAUUAAAGGAGUAUGAGGAUGGGGUAGAACAUUUUUAUCACAUUUGCAAUAUAAAAUUCUGCAUAUAAAAACUCCAUUAAGUGUCCAUGCUUGUAGAGUGGUAAUAUGAUAUUUCAUACUCCUCAAAGAUUUCCUCAAAAGAUUAGAGAGCAUAUGUUUUUCUAUAGAAUUAAUUAGAAUUACCAUAUAUGGUAUUGGCAUGGGGAAGCAACUCCAAGUGAACCGCCAACUAGAAGGGUAGAACAUUAUAAUAUGGUUCAAUUUAAUGAUGUAGAUAGUACAAUAGAAAUGGUUGAAGUUGUACAAGUUGAAUGUCAAAAUGACCUAAAAUUGCUUAAAAGAUUACUUCAAAUUGUUGAAAAACCUUUUUAUAUCAUAGUUGUAGAAAAUUCACACAAUUGUUUGCAUUGGUUAAAUUAUACAACUUGAAAACACACUAUGAGUAGUCUGCUAAAAGUUUUUCAGAGCUUUUAAAAAUGCGUAGAUAUAUGCUGCCUCUAAAUAAUGAGUUACCCUUAUCUAUGUAUGAGGCAAAAAUGGCAUUGAAUACAUUAGGAAUGGAAUAUGAAAAAAUACACACAUGCCCCAUGAUUGUAUACUUUAUAAGAAUAAGUUGAAAGAUGCAUUUCAUGUCCUAUCUAUGGAACUUCAAGGUGAAAGGUAGAUAAUAUAGGAACUAAAAAAAUGACGAGAGCUCCUGGGAAAGUAAUGUGGUAUUUUCUUCCAAUUCCAAGAUUUAUAAGAAGGUUUCAAUCAUCAAAAAUCGUAAAAGACCUCUUAUGGCAUACCUAAGGAAGAGAUUUAGAUGACAAAAUGUGUCAUCCGGCUGACUCUCUAUCAUGGCUAAUUGACCAUAAAUGGCCCAACUUUGUUUCAAAACCUAGAAACUUGAGACUUCCCAUUUUAGCAAAUGGUAUAAAUCCUCACAAUUCAUUGAUUAGCAAAUAUAGUUGUUUGUCCUAAAGAGCUUGAAGCAGUAACUAUGGACAAUGUUUUUUUUUUAUCAUAAAGAGCAAGUUAUGGGCUACACUAUGGCUGCAGAUAGAGGUAAAACCUUUAACUUGUUUUUAGUUUGAUUUUUGUUUUCUUUCAUAAUGGAAAUAGAAAAUCAUCUAAACGAAUAGGACCUUAAUAAUUUAUUUUUUAUUCUACAAUUUAUUUUUGAAUAAAAUAAUUUAAAAGAUUUCAUUCUUAUAUUUGUUAGACUUUUUUUUUAAUGAAGAAAAAAAUAGUCUCCCUUUUAGCAUAUAUAUUAUAUAUGAUUAACAAUGGGUAUAAUAAAAUUUAUUUAAUAAAUAAUUGAUGUGACAUUCUAAAUUGAAAGUCAUAAAUUAGCUCAUUUGUUUGAUGUUGUCCCUAAAACUACAAGACCUGAUUACAUACUUAGAUUUUGUUCUUGAAAUUUAAGAGAUAAUUGAUGUGACAUCUUGAAUUGAAAGUCAUAAAUUAGCUUAUUAGUUUGAUGUUGGCACUAAAACUACAAUUCCCAAUGACAUAAAUUUUGUUCUUGAGAAAUGUCAUUAUGGUUCAUAGUAAGGCUUAGUUUGGUGUGUCAGACCAUGCAUGCAUGAUAUCUUUUCACAUUCUCUUGCUUUUUGACAAACAUGCUACCAUACUCAAGGUGUUUGUCAAGGCUCAUCUUGGACUACUCAAAACUUUAGGGUCCUUUCUUUGAGUUCACAAGCUUCUUUCCCCUAGUGUUAACCCCAACUCCCAAAAUCCACUCCUUAUUAGUGCACUGACGAAAUCUACAAAUGCACCAUAAAGUGAGAAUGACAUCAUGAAAAUGUAUUAAUGCAUCUUAGAUAUGGGAACUUAAAAAAAAAAAAAAAAUCUAGAGUUUAGACUUGUUUCUGUUAAUUAGAAAUUACUAAGCAAUGAAUCUUGCUAGUGUGGAAAGCACCAAUAGAUUGACCAAGGAAGGUAUAUAUAAAAAAGAUUGACAUUGUCAAUUGGGAAAAUUCCUCUGCAAACGCCAAUCCUAUCUUUCUAACCAUCAUGGAUGUUGAGAAGUAGAUAUCGAUGACUAUGAUGAGGAUCACAAAGGAUUAUCAUACCAAGGAGUUAGACAUUUGUUGGGUUAUCAACAAUUUUAAUGAAGGUGGUAUUAACUAUUUGGUUGUUGAUAGUGUAUUGCGUAGUUCAACCAAGCCAAUCUGCUCCUACAUUGAGAUCAAUCUCGAUGAAAAGGUAGCAUAUAUUUUUCAUUUCCUAAUUAUAUCAACUGCUUCAUGGUGCCUUUGUCUGAUAAGCUUAACAGGUUCUUCUACAUUUCCACCCUCUAAUUCUCUAAAGUUCAUCAUGAUAGGGUUGAAAUUUCAUCAUCAAAUCAAAACACAUCCUCCUAUAAGAGGCCUUUGAAUUCUGAAAUAAUCAAUUCACUUGAUUCUCAUAUUGGCAAAGACAAGCUUACACUAUUGGAAAGACUACCCAUCACCUUUGCCUUCCCAAAUAGAAAAGAUGAGAGAUAACAUUUCACAAAAUCACAAGAAUUAUUCAAGUUUGGAAUUCAUAGGCAUUGUUAUUGAAUUUCAUUUGUAUAAAAUUGGUGUGUUGUGUUUAUUUUGUUGGUAUUAAAAUUGAAUUUUUUUAAUUGCAAAUUGAUGAUUUUUUUUUCUCACAUUUAUACCCAUUAGAGUUUCUUAUUAGGGUUUGUGUUUGAAAUUUGGAGAAAGUAUGGUGCAAUUGUUCACCAGUGUGGUGUACCAUUUUGUUUGUUGUAUCUGAUCUUUGGGUAUUUGAUUUAAUUUUAUUGUUGUUGAAAUUGAAAGUUGAAAUCCAAGUUAAAUGUUUAACUAGAUAUUUGUAGUUGACUUGUUUGCACCGAUCUUGAUUGCCCAUUUCAUGGGAAUAAUUCAUUCCAAUUUUCCUUCAUGAUUACUAAAAAUAUAUUGUAGGUGAAGGACUAUUAUGGAGUAUAUUUAAUUCACAAGAUUGAAUAUUGAACAAAGAUAUGCCUUAGGUCUAGCUUAUAUGGAAUAGCAUAUCUUACAUUUAGUUAAUUAAAUAUACUAUACAAAUUUUGGUUAUAUAUAAUAUCUAUGUUACAAAUUUGGAUAAUUCGAAGUCUAAGUGACUUCAUAUAAUUAUUGUUACAUCUUAAAAAUGAUUUCACAAAUUAGAAUUACAAUGACUCCUACAUAUCUUAGAUUCUAACUCAAAUUCUCACUUGAUUUUAUUUUAUUUUUAUUUUUUUGUUUUCAAUCAAUUAAUAAUAUGUUAUGGGCUAGUUUAGCUUAUAGUUGAGAUGAAUUUUAUCUAAGAGCACCUCAAUUUGAACCAAAUUGAAGAAAAAAAUGACUUAUUAUACCUUAUGAAAGAUAAUAUUAUUAAUUUCCAUGUUUUUUUUUCAAAUAACCUUUUCAUGACAUGAACUUAUAUGGAACAUUGUUGUAUUAAUUGAUUAGGAAAUCACUAAGCCUAAGAAAGUGAGAAAAUUUAAAAGGGAAGGAAUGUCACCAUUGCAUUUUAGCACAAAGGAAGAUGAUCUCUAGCUAUGACGAAAAUUCAAGAAAUGAACAAGUUCCAUUAAAGAUGAAGGCACAAUUGGGUGACAUUUAAAAAAAAUGUCAAAGGAAGUUAUUGUUUUAGCUACGGAUAUGUUCUUUUUUUUUUUUUUUUUUAGACUUCUUGUGUUACUCAUAUAUGUAAUAUGCAAUGUGAUUUCUCUUUUAUAUUAUAAAUUUAUUACUCUUAGCACUUCAUUUAUGGGAUAGAUGAAUAAUAAUUACUUUAAUUUUAUUUAAUUGUUGGAUAGUUGUUGGAUGGAUAAAUAAUUGUCAUUUCUUUAUAUUUGAGUUAUUUCAAUAUCAAAUGCCAAUUAAAAUAAAAGAGCAAUAGGUGAAGCUAAUUUUAGAUUGUCACAAUCCUUGGCACUUCCACUAAGUGUCAAGGUUUAGAGCAAUCAACAAUGGAAAAGGUGAACGAUGAUGCUUCCAAAAAGCGUCAAGGUUAUUUCAUCUUCAACAAUACCAGUUUUUGUAAGUGUCAUUAUUUACAAAAUCAACAAUAACAUUGGCAAAUUGGUACGCCUCAAUGCUUCUAAAAAACAUCAUUAUUUGUUCCAUAUUUACAAUGACGCUUUUAAAAGUGUCAACAUCGCUAAACACUCUUUACAAUGACACUCGAUUUCAUGGUGCUUUUAAGAAGUGUAAUUGUUUGUAAAAACUUAUUAUGACAAGCUAAGAGAUGACACUGCGGAGAAGUGUCAUUGUUUGUCUUUCUUGACAUUGUUUGUCUUUCUUAACAGGUAAAAAGUGUCAUUAUUGAUCGAUUUUUCUUAUAAUGAAUCCAAUUGGUUGUGAUUGAGUUAAUGAAAUGAUCACCAACUUUUUUGCAACCAUACAACACUACAUAACCUUAAUACCUAUUGUUCAUUAUGAUGUUGUAAGAACAUAUGCCUUUAUGUGACCUAUUAAAUAAACUGGUCUUAUCAACUGAAAAAUGUUCCUCUAGUUAGUAAAAACUUCAUUCAUGUGGUCAUUUAUUAGCAUCAUAAUAAUCCAUAUUACAAAUAUUUAAAAACAUUAAUGCACUAAAACAUUGAUUUCAUCAACAAAAAUACACUCAUUCUUUUAACUUAUAGCAUUCAAAGAUGUUUAAAAAUAUAUAUGUACAAUAAAACAUCAUCAAAUUUAUUAACAAUUAAACUUUUAACCCCAAAACAAUCCGUUACUUUAGUAGAUAAGACACUAUUUGGAAUAACAUUAUUUUUAGCUCAAGUUAGAAGUUAAAAUGAUAAGGUUAAAAGAACAAAACCAACAAAAAAAAAAGUUAUUUUUUGUCAAACUUGACACUAGUUCAAGUUAGAUAAUGUAGCUCAAUGCCCUAUUGAAUUGAGUCAUAUAACUAAACUCCCUAAUUAUUUAUUAUGAUACACACACAACCUUUGGUUUAGUAUACAUGAUUAAAUUAAAUGCCCAACCUAGUUUGCAAAGCUAAAUUGGAAUCCCAAAUCUAGUUCAUCAUAAAUACUCUUCAACUGACUUGCUAUGGCAUUCAAAUAAGACAAUGACAAUGAUAGAAAACCAAAAAAAAUACCUAAUAUAUAAUUGAAAACUCCUUCCUAAAGGAGGUAAAAAAAAAUCAUGAAGUAACUUUCUUCUAUUAAUAAAAAAUGGGAAUACAAUGAUCUAUAUAGUGUUUUAACUCGAAACUUAUGGUACUACAAAUAUUAAAGAAGAAAUUUAAAACACACACACACACAACAAGCAUGUUGUCAAGCUUAUAAAAGUUGGAGAAAUCUCUGCAUACAAGUGUUCAAAACAUGAUGGAGAGUAACCUUGAUAUUUAAGUCAACAAUAUACAAGGAAAGACAACCCAAAAAGGUACAACUUUGAGAACAAACUCUCCUUUUUGCUUUUUCACAUAACCCCUUCUUUUUUUCUUUUUGAAAACUUCUCUCAUUUCCUCUAAUUGUUACACUAUACAACAAUCCUAAAAAAAUAGAGUUUAAAGGUCUGUUUGAUAAUCGUUUUUAAAAAUAAUUCUGAAAAAUAGUUUUUGAAAAUUAUUCUCUAAUGUUUAAUUUGUAGAACAAAAGUUUGUUUGGAAACCUAAAAUAUUUUUAACAUGUUUUUAAUGUUGUUAAAUAUGUUUUAAAAAUAAUUUUAUGUCUAGUAUUUUAUUUUUAAUCAUUCUACAUGUUUAUAUAAUUAUUUUUUAAAACAACUCUAAAAAAAUAAGUGAAAAUAACAUAAAACAAUUAAAAGAUGUUAUCUGAAAACACCUUAUUUUAUUAUAACAAAAAAUAAAAAGCGGUUUUUGGUUGUCAAACAUGUUUUCUUAGUUUUUUAUUCUGAAGAAUAGAAAAUUGUUCUUGAAAAUAGUUGUAAAACAAGAAUCUUUUCAUAUUAGUCUAGGUAUCACAUUAGUUAUUGCCCAUUUUAUGAUUUUAAUUAUUGCUUAAAAACUAGUCUUUCAACUAAAAAAGAAGGUCCACUACUUAUGGGUCAAACCUUCAACUUUCAAACCCCAACACAAAGUUAUAGUCAAGACUAAUAUUCACAUAUUAGUAUUAAUAUAGUUCAUUAAAUAUGAAUUUCUAUAGAAGGCAAAAUCAAGUUUUUAGGGGAAGUAACAUUCACUUUCAUAUUAAGCACUUUUUAACUCAUAAGUUAGUACUUGUAACAAAAUUUCUUAAUAGAGACUUUAAUUGAGUUUUAAGAAAAAAAAAAUUGUUUGUAAAAAACCAAUUCAAACAAAAUCUAAAACUAAUAUUAUUAUCUAAAAGGCAUAAUGAACAAAAUAAACCAUAAACUAAAGUGGUAGUGACAACCAGUAUGUAGCGUCCAUGAAUAAUUGAAAAUAGCCUCAUUUUCUAAUGACCUCGGACCUAGAAGCUCUAAAAUCCUUGCCUAAUUCUUUGUGAUGACUUUAGUUUAACCUUAAUGGCGAGGGCAAAAUUCUAAAUAAUUUUUGUCACAACUCAUAAAUUUAGAAGAAAAAAAUGAGAAUAAAUGGAAUCCCAAACAAGAAAUUGUUAUUUUUCUCUUUUAUGACAAAAAUCUACUACUAUUAUUUAAUAACGUGGGAAUUGUUCUUUCAACUUUAAUACCAUGUAUGACAUAACUUUAACAACCUUAAUUUAUAAGAUUAUUGAAUUUAAAAGGAUAAAACAAUUACAUAUUCAUAAGAAUCACUUCUAUUUUUUAACAACAAUAAAUUUCAUUUUUUGGACAAAAAUACCCUCCAUUGUUUUUAUCAACAUUUCACAAUCGAACACUUAUUGGAAAAAAAAAAAGGUAUAAGGGUAGCUAUAUUAAAAUGAGGUUAUAAUUAUAAUACUCAAUAAGUGGAGAUUGUUUUUCCAAAUAUUGGGAUCAUCUUAUCCAUUUGACACAAAUAUUUCUAAUUUAUAUUAUAAUUACUCUUAUAGUAAGAGAAAAAGAGUAAUUUCACAUGAAAUGGACCCAUAAACAUAGAUUUAUUAUGAGGCAUGUUACUAUAAUAAUAAUAGGAAAUAAGACGAGACAUGUUACCAUAAUAAUAGAAAAUAAGAUAAGUAAUUCAAUACUUAAUAAAGGUCUAAAACAAUUAUGCUUCUCAUUAAAUGAUAUUAAUGAUGGAAAAAAACUAAGGGGUGGUUAAUAAAACUUAAUAUUUAUUACUUAAGGAUUUAAGUUGACUUUAAAUUAAAUUAUGCUUAAAUUGUUAAUUUAAAACUUAUUAAUUCUUAUUUUAAGUAUUAAGACUAUUUAAUAAAAUUAACUUGAAAUUUAUUAAGACUAUUUAAUAAAAUUAACUUAAAAUUUCUUUUAAAUUGUCAAAUCGAUAUAUUUAUUUUCUUAAAUUAUAAUUAAAGUAAAGGACAUCAAGUAACAAUGGAUGUCAUGGAAUAGUGAAAGAGAUCUUAGAGGUAACGAGACAAAUUAUGGUAAAAAAAUGUUAAAUAAAAAUAUGAACUUAAAAAUAAAUUAAUUAUUUAUAUUUAUUACUUAAAGUUGUUUUUUAUUUUAUAUUAUUAAAUUAUUAAAUUAUUUUACUAAAUGUGUUUAAUUUAUUUAAUGACUUACAUUAAAUUACUUUAGGCUAUUAAAUCGGUUUACAAAUAAUAUCGAGUAGGCCCACAGACUGGAGAAUAUUGCUAUCAUAUGUUUUAUCACUACUUUCAUGUAUUAAGGUGCCAAGAAUAAUUCACCACAAAAUAUAUGAUAAGUUGAUAGUAUAGGAUACAAUCUAAAAAAUGCACUUGAUUUCAUCAUCUAAAUAAAUGCUCUUGGCAAAAUGGAUCAUCCUAGCUGAAACCAGAGCACAAGCCGUCAUGGACAGGAGGCAACGGAGAAACCCUUCUGCUUCUUCUUCUGCCUUUUCAUCUCCAACUUCAUCCUCAUCGCGUUUCCGCUCAGAGAAAUUCUCCUCGAAUCCCCCAAAAACUAGUAACUCCCUGGAGGAUGCUCACCAAUUGAAAAGCAAAUGUGGGAAGCCACAAAGACCAGAGCAAGAGGAGGAAGGAGAGCAAGAUCCGAACAAUCUUCUCUCCUUAGUUGGAACUUGCCCAUUCAUGUGCCCUGGUAAAAAUGCGUGCUUAUUUUUCCAUUUUUUUUAAUUCUAUUUUCCUGUUAUUCUGUGUUUGGUUUCCGAGAAAUUGGAGGAAAACAGUAGAAAAGAGAAGUGAAUCUGGAAUUUCUGUGUCAUUUUUGUUGCUUUUACAUAAAUUUUACAAAUAAAAUUGAUAUUUCCCCCCUUUAUUAGAUACCAAUCUGAAGAAGACGUAGGAAUCCCAAAAAAAAAUUCGCUUUUGCCUUUACUUCCCCCAAAUCUUUCAUAAUGGAAAAUGGACUUACCACCUCUUUUAUCACUUUUCCUUUACCAUGUCAGGUUUACAUGUAAUCAAACACUGUAUUUGGAGUAGAGCAUUUAUUCUAAUGUCAAAUGGUGUUGAAAACUUGAAUUACUGGAUCUUAAGACUCCAGAAGAAAUUUGAUUGUUUAUGAUUAUUGCUCCAUGAGAAGGGAAAGGGAUUUCUUUUGUUUUUGCUCACAUACAUGGCCAAAUUGAUUUAUCUCCUUCUCAUACGAACAAAAUAAGGACAUUUCUUGUCUUGCUGCCUUUUAUGCCACCGGUUCCACAUGCUGAUGUGACAACCCUUGUGCUAUUCUGUACAAAUGGUAGGAAAAUUCUGGUAAGACUGGUGGCCAGCCUAUCAUGUUCAGAGAAUAAAUUCAUUGUAUAUCUGGAAUUCACUCUAUAUCAGCAUAGGGUGUUGAUAUUGAUUAUAAAUGACUAAAUUCAAUUUAUUAUCCUUACAUUAGGGAGUGCUAAAAGGAUGCAAAUUGUUCAUGUUAUACCCAAAGACAUACAAGUGAUGCUAGAGAUUUUCACAAUGUAGAUAAUCAUAGAGUAGAGAUGAACACUAUGGAGUCUUUUGGCAUGUGUUCAUUCCAUGUAUGGGAACAUGCAUUGGAAGAUUAUGUUUCCUCCUCCCUCCCCUCCCCUCCCCAAAGUAAGUACUAUGUUGUCAUGGCAAGAACUUUGGUGACAUGCUUCUGAGUGGAAUAGCCUCCUAGAAGUCCAUUUAUGUGGCAAUUGGCAAGUUCUUCCAGUCAAUGAGAACUUUGUGACUGUCUGAUUGUUGUACUAAUCAUCAUCAGAUUUUUUUUAAGUUCAAGUUGCAAAUAGCCUUUCACAGUUGAAGGUAGCAAUGAAGAGGCCUGUUGACAUAAUUAUUUCUUCUGCUUGAAUGGAUUAAAAUCAGAUACCACACCUUCAGCCUAGAAAACUAUGGACUUUCCUAUGUACCUGCAAUUGGCUGAAUACUGGUGUGACACUGACCAAAGGCUCUCUGAUGCUGUUAUUAAUUUCCCGAGCAAAUAAGAGAAAACAGAGAGGUCAUAAUGUGAAUCAGUUACCUCUUGAGUAGGGAUGAAGGCUUUUUAUACCUUUUUACUUUCUGGUUAGGCCUUGGAAGCACUUCUGUGAACCAUGAUUUUGUACUGUAAAAUUAGAUGGGAUGGAUAGGUCACCUUAACUCUACUUUUGGAAGUGAUUGGGGAGUGCAUGACCGUAUGAAUAUUGAUGUAUUCUCCCCAUACAGAGCCCAACUUCUUUUUGAACUAGGAAGCAUGAAGGGUGGGUGCAUGUGGGCUGAGGAAGGAAGAUUUGACUUGUGUGCUGCAGGCCUGCAGUACCAAUUUGUUCCAGAACUUGAUAAGGCCCAUAAACUGGUAGGCAAGUUUCAUUAUUUGGUCACCACUGAAUUUCGGCAGUAUGGCCACAAGGAAGGUAGGAAGGAGAGGGAGAAGAGAAAGCCCCAAUUGCCAAUUGCAAUCUUCCGGUUGGCACAGUGCUCAUUUGCUGACAUUUCCAUUUGAUUUUAACCUUGAAACAGAUACAGCUUAACGUGAUGGACCAGUUUUUCACAAUCUUGUGAUUCAUUACCCAACUUCUAGUAACAGUUUCUCAGCAGAUGACUCACCCAUGACAGGCUGAUGAUGUCUGCACACAACUUGAAAGGUAUUUAUGCCAAGGUGUGAAAGGUAAUAUUGUGACACCAUUUUUCCUAUUCCAGAAAAUGUACCAAAUGUAUGGCUGGUUCUUGACCAAAAAAUGCUGGCAUUGGUCACCAAGUGCUAGGGUGAUUCUUGACAAAAAAUGUCGUAUUGUUCAGAACAAUGAUUUACAACUUCAGAUUGGCCAUCCAGUUAAUGAUGAUAAGCACUUGUUUUACAAAGUUCAGUGUCAUAAAAGCAAAAUAAUUUUGUCAACAAAUAUGGGGAUAACUUUAUCAUAAUUACUACUUAUGGAAUUUAAGGAUAAGUUGGGUAAUGUGAGAAAGUUUUGGUCAGAGGAUAUGAGGAUAACUUUGUUGCAAUUGCUAAGCUACACGUCCUAGGACUACUAGGAGAAAAGUAUGAGCAACAGAAUGAAUUUACAGUCCAUCCCCACUAGCUGCAUGGAGAGGUUGGGCUUAUUGCUGCUAUGGUGGAGGUCACCUUCUUGUAGACUUUGAAAUGUGCAAAUGAAGAGGCAGAUUUCUUAGAAGAAUGGGUAGGAUUCAGCUUGUGGUAGAUAUUGAGCUUAUCGCCUCUAAUUUCAUGUCUUCUCAAUGUGGAUUUGAGGUUUAACGAGAUUUUUGGGAAAUCAUUAAGAUUAAAAGUAAUCGAAGACUUUCACAUUAAUGAGGUAAUGAAUAACCACUGAUACUUCUUCACCCCAAAGUUCCUUCACAAAAAUUUGGUGAGUGAAGAACUAUUACUGAGUUGUGAAGCACCAAUUCCAGCUUCAUUAUCUUGAUCUUCAGAAAGAGGGAUCCAACUUGAUUUGGGAUUUUAUACCUGUCAACCCAGUCACUGGUUUUUAGGAGAAUACUUCCAAUUUACCCUUGGGUUGCUUUAGAAAGUUUCUUAAUAGUGCCAUCUCUCUAGCUUAAGGGGCUUUUGUUAAUGGAAGGCAAAUUCUAGAUGUGGUUAUCAUUAGUAAUGAAAUCCUAGAUAAAAAAUUCUGUUCUAAGGACGAAGGGAUGGUUUUUAAAAUAGGUUUUGAGGAAGUUUAUGAUCACAUAGAUUGGGGUUUCAUGUAUGAUACAUACUUUGAAUAGGGAAGGCCCUUGAACCUGGAUGGCACAAAGGGACUGGAUAUUUUGAGGUUGUUUUUCAAACUGCAGACUCUUUAAUGGUUAUUGAAGCUGAGUGAUUAGCACUCGAGGAAGAUUCGGACAUGGUUGUUUGCCUGGAUGUAAUGAACCUCCAUAUUGAAGGGGAUUCCUUUGUUAUUGUCUUAGAACCUUCUUUGAAGGCAAAGGUCCUUAGUGGAUUGCUCAUCAGAUGGGGUGGCUUCAUAAUCAUGCUAGAGACAUUGCUUGUUCUUCUCUAUUGAGGCCCAGAUCAGCUAGCCAGGUGCAUGGCUAUAUUUUUCUUAUAGGGAUGCUAAUAUCUGAAAUUUUUUAUUGAGAACACUUACCGCUCUUUGAUUGGUUUGAGGCAUGGAGCGGCUUUUCUGUUCUCUUCUUGCCAUACAUGCAUAUCAUCCCUCUUUUUUUAUCUUGUUUAACUCAAUAAAUUCUCAUUUGUUAUAAGGAAAAAAAGAGAUAUUAUGUUACAUGAUGGAAGGACUUUAUUCUGUUAUGGAGUAUGCAAAACCUAGAUCUAUUAGCUAGAGCUAUACAGUAGGCUGUUGGGUUGUUCAGUAUUGUCUCUUUUUUGGAUAGGUUUGGCCAAUGCCCCUUGAUGUUACUUUUUGGUGAUGUAAUUUUCUUUGAUUUUUCUUGAAAAUUCCUCAUUUUUCAAGCUUGCUUGUAUAUCUUUUCUUCUUCCAUUAAUGAUUGUUUGAUUCCUUACUAAAAUAAAUAACAAAUUAUGAUGGAAAGGAUUAUGUUUAUGGAAAAUUUUGAGAUUUUCACCAGAUUAGAGUCUCCGAAGCUGGUAUUUGUCUUUACACAGAUAAUAGGAAUCAUUUUCCCCCCAAACUACAUAAGACAUGUCUGCUACUUGGUAAUGUUCCAUUGGCAGUUAUAAACUCUCCUGUCAAAUGUGAAUCUGUUGUAGCAUUCCGAAUGGUGUUGUGUCGUACAUAGAUUGGUAAUUGAGGACUUUAUUAUGGAUUUCGUCCUGUUUUGGUUGUGCCAACAAGUUCUAUCCUGUUCUUUGUCUUGCUGAUUUGCGUGGUUGUGCAUCAUGUUCCUACCAGCUGUAUAAUUAUGCUUCUGGAGCAUAGUUAUUCUGGUUUUACCAUCCAGAUGAUGGUACUAAAGUAUUUGUAUUCUAGAUUGCACAACUCCUUAUAUGGGAUAUUUUUGCAUCAAAUGCUUAGUGAUCAAGAGAACUCUCAUAUUAAACACAUUCAUCUUCUAUUAAACUAAAUUCCUUAAGUCUGCAGUCUCACAACUACAUCAUACCAUUCUUUUCCUUUUUUCUUCCUUUCUUGCUAUUACAGGUUGGUUGCCACUAAUAUAGUAGAAAGCAAAUUACACGACCCUGCUUCCAUAAGACCUUUCUUAUUCCAUAGGUUGAAAUAGAAAAAACACUCGAUGGGACUAAUGCUUCUCUUUGCAAGCAAGCAAAUUAAAAUGUUUUGAAACCCAUGCUGCCAUGAUCUAGCUAAUUUGCAUUUUAUAUGUCUACUCCUUUCUAUUUACUCAAAUUGUGUAUUUCUUUUGCUUGUAUUUAUUUCCUGAUGAGUUUAUUCUGAUUCUUUGAUCAGGAUUUCUGCAAUCACAUUGCUUGCUAUUGAAUUUUCAAGGGCUUAAUAUGAAUUAUUAAUAAAGAAGUUGUUUAAUUAUUUCAGCAGCUUAUACUUUGUAAUUUCUUUUAACAACUCUUAUCUCUGAUGUUCAUUUGUAAUAAAUAGCUGGAGAAAGGGCCCAACGUGAACGCCUUCGGGACUUAGCUGUGUUUGAGAGGUUACAUGGAAAUCCUGGGAAAACAUCUCCAAGCCUUGCUGUCAAAAAGGUAAACCCUACAUCUCAUGCCUCUAUACCGCAUCUUAGCUUCUCAUCUUGCAUCGGACAAUGAUACUCUUAUUGAAUCAUCUUUACCAUAUCAGCCAUCAACAUGUGCACUUAUUGAGCACUAAUUCAGGCACUGAUACUUGUGCUUUUGUUUUGUUUUAUCUUCUCUUGUCUUGUUUUGUUAUGGAUGUGAUUGUGUUGGAUGACCUGUAUCUGUGUUAGACACCAAAGCCUAUCUUAAUGGUACUGUAAAGUAAGACUAUGCUAAUAAGCUAUUGAUCUGUUACAGGGUUUAUGCCAAACUGAUUUUUUAGUUUCUCUAGUAGAAAACUUGUUUUUUCCCCUGUUAUAUCGGUGCUAUUGUUGGAUUUGUGUUUGUUGUUGAUCAAGCAUUUGCUGAAACUUUUUUUUUUUUUUUUUUUCCUUUGCUUCUUGAUGUGCAAAGCAUUAUUGUUUGAAUUUUAAUGAUCCCAUUUGAUUCACUAUUCAAUAUUUUUAUUUGAUAUUACAUCUAUCUCAUUUGUUUUCUUUUCUUAGUUUUUAUUUUUAUAUUUUAUAUUUUUAAUUUUUUUUUAAUUUUUUGAAUUAGUGACAUUUGAAUUUGAUGGAGCCACCAUUAAUUUAUUUUUCCUUAUUAUUGUGGGGUGUGCUUUAUUUUGUUCAAUUGUUGUUGCACUAUUAUUAUCAUGUAACUUUUUUUUUUCUUUUCUUUUUUUUUUGUUUAAUCUAUUGUUCCUAUGAGCAUUAAAUGCUCCUAAAAUGUAUGGAAUAGGCUAAACCUUUCUAUAGUUUUUUUAAAAAAACUCAUUUAUUAUCUAUUUUCUUGUGCUCAAAAAAUUAUAUUUUUUUAGUAAAAUUGAAAAUUUAGGGAGCGCUUAGGCCCCAGCGGCUCAACCCCUUGAGGGUUUAUGCCUAUUGUAGCAAGAUGUGGACCCCCUUGCCUCUUAUGCUUUUACCUUAUGAAACUAUACCAAGAAAAAAACGCCACAACUCCCUGCUGCCAUCAAAGGAUACUUCAAAUUUUGCUUGAUAUCAAUUUUAAGGCUAAUUAUCAUAGGCUUGUCAUCAUGUCACUAAAAUUGGUAUUGUAACCAAAGUCCUAUUGCGAAAUCUUCAAGUUGCAGCUCCUUUUUUUCUGUUGGCUCUUGUAUUGUUAGGUGGCCGCAACCUGUUGCUUUACUUAUGCUUUAUGAACUACUCCAGUUAAAAUAAUGCUUCGAGUAGAUGCUUUUUGGAUCUUGACUCUAGCAAGAGGCUUAUAUUGCAAAUUUUUUUUGUGGAGUCCUAGAUAGGUUAACUAGGAAGACAAUAGCUUGCUUAAAAGGAUUGCCACCUCUCCUGUUGGGUUUGUAAAAAUUUUGCUUCUCCCUUGACCUUGGGAGUCCUGUGGUUUCAAUUUUGGGUGUGCUCUAGGUUGUAGCCUGUGUUAUGCUUUCUAAAUGGUAAUCUUCUUGUUUUGGUUGGGAUGCUUUUGUUUAUUUUGCUUGUUUGCUUUCUUUGUUUCUUUAUAAUUGUGGCUAUAGGAUCACCAAUCAACUUUAUAUUUUUUGCAAAAACUGUUUAUGUUUCAUAACGAAAAAGGAAAAAACAAAGGCAAGUUAGCCUACAAUAGGUUCUAUCUUGUUUCUUCUUUUACCAUUAGUGUGGAUUCGAACUCAGGAAAAGGCCUUCAAGCAAGUGGCAUUUGUGUUUUUUAAACAUAUAUCUUUGUUCAAUCAUUGUUAAGUGUUUGUUGUCUUGUCUGUUCUUUUGGUUGUUUUUGUCUUUGUCAAAGUGUAUAACUGUAAUAUCCUACAUCGUAUAGAAGAAAAAGUUUCUAGUGCUAUAUAUGUAUGAAUUUCUUUUAAUCUUGUUGAUUCGUUUUUAAGCCGUGAGGGUCGCUUAGGCUCAAAACAAAUAAUAUCCACACAACUGGGAGCAGGUUGUUACAAAUGGUAUCAAAGUCAAUGCUCGACCUUGGUGGGAGAGUUUGUUUGGCCUGAAAUGGGUGUCCGUUUAUUUGACCCUACAAUCCUGUUGGACACAACAAGAACGUUGUGUCUGCAUGAGAGAGAGGGUGAUUGUAAUAUCUUACAUUAGAUAGGGGGAAAAGUUCCUAACGUUAUAUAUAUAUAUAUGUCUGUAUGUAUGUAUGUAUGUAUAUAGACUCCUUUUAACCUUGUAAACGUAUUUUAAAGUCAUGAAGGCCCCUUAAGUAUAAGGUGGAUAAUAUCUAUACGGUUGAGUGCAGGUUGUUAAAAUAAUUACUUUUAACUUUCCUUCCAUAUGUUUAAUUGCAUAACAUUAUUAUAGCAAAAUAUUAAUCUAUCAUAAUGCAACGUCUUGUAAAGCUUAUGUUAGGUGUCAUGAUUUUAUCUCUUGUCAUUUUUAUUAUUUUGAUUCAAUAUCAUCUUAGCUUAUAAUCAUUUAUACACUUGAUGCAUGAGAAAUGAAGAUGCUAUAAAUUGUAGGAUUCUUUUUCUCCAAUUUGUUCCUUGAUAUUUUAUAAUGCCAUGAAAUGUCUAUAUUUUGAUGCAGAAAGCCGUUCACCCUCCAUCUCUCUCACUAGUUUUGCAGAACCAUUGCCACUAAGCACAUGCAGGCGUCAGAUGUGCGGCCACUUCCAGUGUUGGAAGAGACUUUGAACUACCUAUUAAACCUGUUGGAUGCCACGGAACAUCCUUUUGAAGUGGUUCAUGAUUUCGUCUUUGAUAGGACAAGAUCAAUAAGACAAGAUCUUAGCAUGCAGAAUAUCGUUAAUGAUCAAACAAUUCAUAUGUAUGAAGAAAUGGUAUGAAUUUCUUGAAACAUAAUCUCAAUUACCUUUUUUUUCUGAGCAUUCAUCUCCUCAACAUACAAUAAGUUAGCCAACCCAUUGCUAAACACUCACCUAGUUGGAGAAAAUAAUCAAAGUAUACAAGAUAUAAAAUGUUGAAUAAUUGAGUCAUUAUCCUCUCCUUUUGCUUUAUUGAAUAAGAUAAUUUAUUCAGUGGAGUCCAAACGAGGUGAAACUGUGAUCACACUACUUGAAGCCUACUUUACAAUGGAUAAAUGAAUGGUCUGAUUCUAAAUCUUUCUUGGCACAUUAGUUAUUAUCCAAUCCGUUCUAAUUAAAUUAUCCACUAUUAAGUGUCUAUUUCCAGUCACCCUCCAAGUUAUGAAAGACCCAUAGAACCAAAGCAACUCACACCACAUGUGAUGGGAAUUGAUGCUCUCUUCCAUAAUGUCAAGUUUUCCAGUACACUUGCUGACUUUGUAGAAUAUGCCUACAAAAAGGGCUGCCACCUCCUAAUUCCCAAUCAUAGAAGUUUCUUAACCAUAUUUCAAAAGCUGUAUUUCCUGUUCCCCCUCUUAAAGUUUUUUAAACCUAUAUCUCUUUAUCCUAGUAAUUUGGAAAAAUGAGGAAAUUAUUUAACAAGAACUCCAUCAAUUUGUUCCUUAAAAUUUUCUAUAGUUUCUAUCUCUCUCACUUUUGAUUCAAAUUCUUGAAGCAAAGGAACAAAUUCAUGGCCAGUAACAAUUUUAGCCAAGCAAUAGAAUGCACAACAAACAUGCAUAUGAAUGACUUGUGUUUUUUUAUGAUAAUUGAUUAGAUAUUUUAAUCUCAUCCUAAAACCUUGGAGUUAGCUAAAAGCCGCAUCUUAUGUUCUGACUUGUGGUUUGUUUCAUAAUAUAGGUGAAAUUUCAUAUUAUAUCCCACCACAAGCUUCGCAGUUGUAGUAGCAAGCCAAAUUUUUCUUCAGUUCAUUACCUCAAUAUGGAGCAGCUGAAAAAGUGUCUGAUAUCUCUAUAUGCUCUAUACGAAGAAAAUCGAAAUUCAAAUUCUAUUUACAAGAAUGAACCUGAGUUUUGCUCAUUUCACGUUCUUCUUCAUCUUGGCUCUAACAACCAACCAUUGGUGGAUACUUGCUUCCAUUGUUUGUUUGAGUUCAUCUUUUUCAGUAUCUCUUGUAGCCUUGUACUGGUUUCUGAAUAUGUUACUAUUUCUGUUCUGAAGGGAGAGUCACUCUCUUUAUGGUUGGGUCGUGUACCUUCUCUCAUUUUGAAGUCAAAGGAAAUGUGUUUUGCCCGGAGACUUUUAAGGUGACCACAAAGCUAUUAUAGAUUCGAUUUUCAAUUGAUUUUUUUCUCUUCUUUUAGUACCCAAUGUUCAAAUUUUUGUUUUCAUGAACUGAAAGAUCUGUCUUUUCUUGUAACAGAUUAUUUCGGAUGGGCAAUUAUAAGCGUUUCCUUUGUACUACAGCAACUGAGGCAUCUUAUUUGCAGUACUACAUUAUUGAACCUUACAUCAAUGAGGUUGCUUAAAUAUGUUGAUUUUGCUAGAUUUUUCAGUUUGAAAAAUAUAUGCUUCUUUGUUCAUUUAUUGUUUUUCAGUUUCAUUUCUGAGAAUAUAUCUCAAAUCUAGACUCGAGUACUUGUGCUUUUGGGUUUUAUUUUUCUUUCAUUUUUGUUAGUAGUUGUACUUCAUUAUUCUUAAAUUUCUCACCAACUGUUUCUUUAUGUGGUUUAUUGCUCCUCACUUUCUUCAUUCAUCUGAAGUGUUCAAAUUCAAUUAGCUUGUUUCAUAAACUAGUUCUUAUUUAGAAGUUCUUCUCAACUGCCUUUUUUUAGUGCUUCUAAAAGACAUGCCUGAUUUAUAUACAUUUUUGUUGGUUUUCUUUUGACCGUAAAAGGUUCGAGCAUUGGCAUUGUCAUGUGUAAAUUAUUGUGGCUACAAACUUCAUCCAUAUCCAAUUGCACACUUGUCCAAACUCUUGAUGAUGAAGGUAUGAUUGCAUUUACUAGCAUUAAAUUGCUAAAAUUUGUCAUCCAAAGUUCCAAUUUCUUUUGAACCUUGAAGACUUCAUUUGCAUUCUUGUAGGAAUUAGAUGUGGAAUCAUUUUGCAAUGCUUGUGGUCUUGAGACCAGCACUGGUGAGCGGGGAAAUAAGUUCUUAUCAACCAAGCAAACAAACUUCCAUUAUCCCAAGGAAGUCUUUCCAAGCUACUGCCUUCUGAGUUUGGAACACUUUUAGAGGUAACAAUCAAUUGGAACUAGUUACUCUUUCAAACUUCUUAUUGUACAAAUAUAACCUGCAUGUGCAACCAUUUCUGAUCCCAUAAUUUCAAGAAUUUAUGACACCUUCUAGUGGUUAGUUUUUCUGGGAAUAGAGUAAAGCAAUCUAUUCACUCCCAGAAACUAUCGUCAGAGGAACAGUAGAUAACCCCGCAAGACCAAAUUUAUGUAUGUUGCAUGGAGAUGCAUGUUUUCUGCAUCCCAAUCAUGCAGUGUUGUGUCAAAUGGAAUAAUAGCAGGUGAUGAUAAGUGGUAUUUCUAAAAUCUUCUAAGAGUAUUCCAUCUAUUGUAAUAUUGUUUUACUUAAAAUUGUCUUUUUGAGUCUUAUGUGUAAAUAUUCGAGUUGACCUCUUGUAAGCUAUCAAUUGAUGUUGUAACUUAACUUGAAAGGGAAAUUCUAUAAAUUUAGCCUUGGUUUGGCUCUUGGAAAGCAAAGAAAAAUUAGGUUAGUGAGUUGAUUUCUUCCCUUCCCAUGGAUGUAAGCACAUUCUUGAAUCACGUUAAUUAUUUUUUGGUUUAUUUUGUUGUUUUGUUGUUUAUUGUUCAAUUGUCUCCGCAUAACAAGUGGUAUCAGAGUUGUUUCCGACACACUAGAUGAUUCUUGUGCUAACACAAUGUUUGAGGCUAAAUAUAAGAUAGUAAAAGUUUCUAAAAUAUUUCCCUAUGACAGCUGCCAAUAAAGAAUGUACUUAACAGGAAGUUUGUAAGGUGUUACAUGGCAUGUUGAACAAAAUAUCUGAAAUAUUUGGGGCCACCGAUCCAACAAUAGCAGAUUAUAACACAAGAAGAGACCCUCUAAUCACCAUUUUUGCUUUUGAUUCUUCUUUACAAAGCAUCAUCUACUUUAUACAAAAAGACAACCCAUGGCUGAGCCCACAUUAUUCUCUACAUAUCCCAAAAAAGCCUUACAAAUUUUAGGGCAUGACGCUCUUUUUGGGGGUAUUUUUGGUACUAAAUUUGUGGUAGUCUCUCCAAUACCUAAACUAACCUCCAGAUUUUAAGGCAUGGCCCACUCUUUAAGGUGGUGUUUUGGGUACUAAUUUUUGUUAGGAGAGGUUUUAGUGUGGAAACUGGAGGGCUUUAGACAUGUCGCAUGUAUUUUCUUUUGCAUGCAUUACACAUAGAUCGGAGUUUUUGCAGUUACUCACACUUUUUGUGCGUCCAACAACACUAUAGUGCCACGUCACCAUAUGAUGGGCUCUUUAGUCUUUUCAAACCCAAAAAAACACCAAAAAAAAAAAAAAAACGAAUACUAAAAGGAGUGCUAACUAGCUAUGUGAAGGUGAACUUUUAUAGCUAGCUUCUUAGAGGGACCAUGAUCGCUUAGGCCAAGGAAGUUUGAGGUGAUAAUAGGUCUGUGAUGCCAUUAGAUGUUUUAAGCACAUGUGCGUUACACUAAUGUAUUCAACGAGUCUAUAACCUUGACCGACAGGUCUGGGUAAUCUUUGAAAUUUCAUUGUGAUGGGAAGGUUCCAUGCGAACAACACUUGCACAUGGGUUAGUCAAUCUUAAGAGACGGGGGAAGCCCGUCUAACAACGCACAAUGUGCGAGCUUUGAAAGGCAAUCGGGUUAACAUUUCUGAAUUGGGACAUGACAAUGACAACAACAUUAGGUAGUCUAGAGAUGUUGUCAUAUUAAUUGUUAUCAAUAUUUUUAUUUAUUCAAUAGAAAUUGAGGAUUAAAAAAUACCACAAAAAUUAGAAAAAACAAAAUUAAUUACAUGGCUUACAUUUCAGAUAUUUAAUAAAAUAUUGUAUGAAAGUUGAAUAUCAUACACUAUUAAAUGGUUGGAUUCUCCUCUUUAUUUUUUUUAAUUGUCUCAUCCUAUUAAAUUACUCAUCUAAUAUUAAUUUAUUUUAAAGGUAAAAUUAAUUAUAUUGUAAAAACCUUUUAAUUUACUAGAGUUUGUGCACAACAUCUAAUAUAUACUUAAAUACUUUUCCAUGCUAUAAUCCUCCAACUAAGAAAUGAAAUCAAAACUUAAAAAUCAUUUAUAUAUAUAGAUAUAUGUGAGUAAGGGAGGAGAUCCAACGGAUCUGUGCGCGAGCGAUGGUGAGAAAGAUUUCGUUGGCCUGGAAGCUCGUACCAGCCGGUGGAAGAGAAGCUUCGAGGUGGAGUCGAAGACUUUUGAGAUCGAGGUUGAGAGACAAAAAGGCAAAACGCAAGUCUUCAUUGAGGAAAGGAAAAGAGGGGUUUCCUCGUGGAUUAAGAUGGGGCCGGAGAGCCUAGGGUUUGUUGUGGAAGGGUUGGCUUUGUGUAUUAAGGAUACACGAACAGGCAGAUGGGUCAGAAAUUGGAGGGAGAGAGGGAGGAUCUUUUCAUUGCUGUGGGAUGAGAAUAAGGGAGGAAGCUUUAUCCGUCUGGGUGUAGAGGAUCUGGAGAAGAAGAGGUUUAAUAUUUUUAUCCCCAAAGGAAAUGGAGGGAAAGGGGGAUGGAUUGCGAUGUUGGAAACACUUAAGGCGCUGGUCGUUACUACGGAGAGGAAGAAAUGUCAGAAGGAGGAGAAGAUGCCGGUGGCGCCAUGUUUGGGGAGUAGCUACGCGGAAGUGGUGAAGGGACAGAAAUGUAAUGGCCGGUCAGUGGCUAGGGUAGAAGUAAGCCACAAGGACCUAUGCCAAAACCUAAAAAGGCUGGAUCAGUGCAUUGUUGGAUUGUGGGAUCCGAAGUUAGUCAAGGGGGAGGAUUUGAGGAGUUGGGGGAACCAAUUGGCUCGAUUGUGGGGGUUGAGGGGUAAUUUAGGUUUGGCUAAGUUGGGAAGGGGUAAGGUGUUGUUAGAGUUUGAGAGGAGUGUUGAAGCCGAAAAAGCCUUAAAUAUGGGAGGGCUUUUGGUAGGGAAGACACUGCUGCGACUGGAGAAGUGGAACCCUAGGACGGGGUGUCUGUUAGAAGGAGAGGAGAAGAGUGAGGCCUGGGUGAGAAUUGUGGGGCUUCCCAUCUCGUUGUGGGAUCGGGACAUCUUUAGAAAGGUUGGGGAGAAAUGCGGGGGUUCUUAGUGAUUGAUUCUCAGACGGAGAGGCUGGAAGAGUUGCAGUGGGCAAGAAUCCUGGUGAGACUAUCCGGCGAGGAGCCCCCUAGCAUGCUAGAAAUUGGGGUCGAGGGGGUGUGUUACUCGCUUGUCCUAUGGUGGGAGGUAAGGCCGGUAAUGAGAGUGCUGCCGGCAGAAAGGAGGGGAAAGAACAACGGUGAUGCUGUAGGAGGGGUUGAGGGUGAUGUCGCUACACGUGCAGGUAAGCGCGUGGUGGAAGUGGUGGAAGGUGUGAGGUCGAGACCCACAUGCAGUCUGCUGAUGGGACGAGGGAGCAGACAGGUGGGCCGGGGUCCCUUUGGGCUCGGUCCCGAGGCCCAAAAGGGCCGGGUCUGGGGGACCAAGUAGGCUUGCUUGGGAUGCUUGGCCCUACUGGGCCUCCUCGAGGCCUUGACUUGGGUGUUAGGCCCGAUGGGCUCGAUUCGCCUAAGGUCGGGCCGUUUUUCAGUGGGUCUUCGUCAUCUGAAGGGCCUUCGUCCUUAGAGGGCCUUAGGCCAAUGGAGUCCAUUAAGUUGGGUAGGCUAUCUGGGAAGGAAGAUUGUCAUGAUCCAUCUGGAGUGGCUCUGCCUCUGGUGUGGGCUGGCCCAAGUCAACUGAAGGAGUCAGAUGCUGAAGGCUUCCCUUCCUGGGUUUAUGAUGGCAGGCGGAGGCAAGCUGAAAUGGAGCCCUGUCUCGUAGAGAAGUCAAGGACCAACUGCGCCCUAAUUGAAGAAGCAACGAGGUAUGGGUGUGUUCCUAUCCCUUGUGGCUUAAUGGCAUCUGGACUCUCUCCUUCUCCUCUCUUCUUUUUUGGUCGGACCCCGUUGGGGGAUUUUUGCGACAUUUCUAGGGAUGAUAGGGUAACCUGUUUGAGAGAAACUCCCUUACAUAUGCUUCUCCCCUUGGGACCCCCAGAAGAGGAAAAUGCUUGCCGCUGGGAUUUGAGGGAGGGCCCAAGCGCCUGCAAGGAGAGCAGUGGUAAGGAGCUGAGGCUAGCCCAUUCGAUGCCACGUGAUGGAAAUGGAUGGGAGGAGGAAAGUUGGGAGGAAAGUGAGUUGGCCAAAUUUAGUAAGUUCUUGGGAUUUUCUACAGAAGGUCUGGAGAAAGAAAUUUUGGAGUUUCUGAUUAAAAUCCAAAAGAGAAGGGAAAAGGUCCACAGCAAAAACCUUCUAGAAAAAUCCAAGUUUGAAAGGGAAUUGAAAAGGCUGGAAUGCUCUAUUAACUACGAGGGGGGGAAGACGCAGAAGAGUGGAAUGAUAGUAGGAGGGUGUCAGAUUAUGGUGGUCAAAUGAAGCUGAGAAUCUUGAGCUGGAAUGUUCGGGGAGCUAACGACAACUCGAAAAGAAAGGUGAUUAAGGCCAUGAUCAGGAGUCAAAGAGUGGAUCUGUUCUGUUUCUAGGAGACCAAGAUUCAGGCAAUGACAAAGGGGCUGGUGAGAAGCUUAGGCAUUGGCAGGUUUCUUAAUUGGGGUACUCUGGAUGCCCAGGGGUCCCGCGGGAGGGAUUCUGAUCUGCUGGGAUAAGAGGACCUUGGAAAUAAUGGAAAUGGAGGUGGGGAGAUUCUCAAUUUCAUGUAGGAUGAGGAAUGUGGAAGACGGACUAGUCUGGAUGUUUACUGGGGUUUAUGGGCCAUUUUCUAAAGAGGACAGGGAGUGGAUGUGGAAGGAAAUAGGAGCAAUCCGAGGCAUUUGGGAGGAUCCAUGGUGUAUAGGGGGUGACUUCAAUGUCACCCUGUCACUGAGGGAAAGAAGUAAUCAGGGAAGACUAACGAGUGCAAUGAGAAGGUUUGCUCAAGUUGUUGAUGAGCUAGAACUCAUUGAUCUUCCAUUACAAGGAGGGAUGCUUACUUGGAGUGGGGGGAGGAAUAAUCAGGCAUGGGCCAGAUUGGAUAGGUUCCUGGUGACCCAGAGUUGGCUUGACCACUUCAGUGAGGUUGUGCAAUGUAGGCUGCCCAGACCGACCUCAGAUCAUUUUCCUAUUGUGCUGAUGGGGGGAGGGUUAAGGAGAGGUCCGUCCCCGUUUAGGUUUGAAAAUAUGUGGCUUAAAGCUGACGGGUUCACGGAUCUUCUUAGGGGCUGGUGGCAGGGAGUUGAGGUUAGAGGGAGGGCCAGUGUCAGACUAGCCACUAAAAUGAAGGUGCUGAAGCAUAAGAUUAAAGUGUGGAACAGAGAGGUGUUUGGUAGGCUGGAAGCUAACAAGAACUCAGCCCUGCAACAAGUGGAGUUUUGGGAUGGGGUGGAAAGGGAAAUGAGCUUGUCUGAAGGUGAAACUGAACUGAAAAAAGAAGCCAAGGAUUCCUUUAAAAUAUGGGUCUUAUUGGAGGAGACCCACUGGAGACAAUUGUCAAGGGAAUUGUGGCUUAAGGAGGGAGAUAGAAACACUGGAUUCUUCCAUAGAAUGGUUAAUGCUCACCGAAGGAAUAACUCUCUGGAUAGAAUAAAAAUUAAUGGAGUUUGGAUGACUGAGGAGUAGGAGAUGAGGGAGGGAAUAGUGAGUGCUUUUCAGCAGGUGCUUUCUGAGGAACCAGGCUGGAGGGCGGAUAUUGAGGGGCUGCACCUUAAUUGUCUAAGUUCCAGUGAAGCUAAAACUUUGGAGGUGCAAUUUACUGAAGAGGAAAUUUACGCAACCUUAAUGGGUAUGAAUAGGGAUAAAGCUCCGGGCCCGGAUGGGUUCACAAUUGCUUUUUGGCAAUCAAGCUGGGAGCUAGUGAAGGAGGAGAUUAUGGAAUUGUUUAGAGAAUUCUAUGACCAGUGUUCUUUUACCAACAGUCUUAACUCCACCUUUAUAGUCCUCAUUCCGAAGAAAGGAGGGGCUGAAGAUUUGGGUGAUUUCCGGCCAAUCAGCUUGUUAGGGGGUUUGUACAAGCUUUUGGCUAAGGUGUUGGCGAAUAGGCUAAAGAAGGUGUUAGAUAAGGUGGUGUCCGGGGACCAAAACGCCUUUGUGAGGGGUAAACAGAUCUUGGAUGCGUCUCUUAUUGCCAAUGAGGUGAUCGACUUCUGGCACAAGAGAAACGAGAAAUGGCUGAUCUGUAAAUUGGACAUUGAGAAAGCCUAUGACAGUAUUAAUUGGAACUUUCUCAUGAAAGUUCUGGUCAAAAUGGGUGUUGGGUCGCGGUGGUUGGAGUGGAUUUGGUGGUGCAUCUCUACCGCCAAAUUUUCAAUCAUGAUCAAUGGGGUCCCGACUGGUUUCUUCUCGAAUUCUAAGGGGCUAAGACAAGGUGAUCCCCUCUCCCCGUAUCUUUUUGUGUUGGGGAUGGAAGUUCUUAGUAAUCUAAUUAGAAGGGCGGUUGAUGGGGGUGUCUUAUCAGGCUGCGGAAUUCGGGGGAGAGGGGAAGAGGAGAUGAUAGUUUCCCACCUGCUCUUUGCUGAUGACACGAUCAUCUUUUGUGAAGCUAGCAAAGAGCAAGUGUCCGCUCUAAGCUGGAUUUUGGCUUGGUUUAAGGCGGCCUCCGGUCUUAGAAUUAAUCUUGAUAAAAGUGUCCUUAUUCCAGUUGGUGAGGUGGAAGAUAUUGAGGAGCUGGUUGUGGAACUUGGUUGUAAAGUGGGAGUACUGCCCACUAUUUACUUAGGGCUGCCCCUUGGAGCUCACCACAAAGCUGUCUCCAUUUGGGAUGGGGUGGAAGAGAGAAUGAGAAAGAGAUUAGCCCAGUGGAAAAGACAUUAUAUUUCAAAGGGAGGGCGUAUCACCUUAAUCAAGUGUACUAUGGCCAGCCUUCCUAUUUACAAUAUGUCCCUUUUUCGAAUGCCGAAGAGUGUUGUAAAGAGACUCAAAAAAUUACAAAGAGACUUUCUUUGGGGAGGGGGCAGCUUGGAGAGGAAGGUCCAUUUAAUUAAUUGGGAGGUGGUGUGCACUCGAAGGGAGAAGGGUGGCCUUGGCAUUCGGAAGAUUGACUCCUUGAAUAAAGCUUUGUUGGGUAAAUGGGUUUGGAGAUUUGCCGUGGAAAAGGAUAAUCUCUGGAGGUUAAUGAUUGGGGUGAAAUAUGGUCAGGAAGAGUUUGGGUGGAGAACUAAAGAAGCCCGUGGUACUUAUGGAGUGGGGGUUUGGAAGGAGAUUAUGAAGGAAGCUAAGUGGUGUUGGGAGAAUAGAAAAUUUAAGGUAGGGAAAGGGACUAGAGUAAAAUUCUGGUUUGACUAGUGGUGUGGGAAUGAGAGGCUGUCCCAUUCUUUUCCCCAACUUUAUGAGAUGGCGGUCAACAGGAAUGCAACGGUUAAUGAGAUGUGGGAUCAUAGCAGUGGUCCAGGAGAUUGGAAUCUUAGAUUUCAUAGAGGCUUUAAUGAUUGGGGGAGCUGGAUUUGAUUAGAGGACUGCUUAUUGUGCUUAGGGACUUCAAGCUAUCUUCAGAGGAGGAUGUGGUGCUUUGGAAAAGGGGGGGCCAUGGGAAGUAUGGGGUGAAGGAUGCCUACAAUGGGCUGGUUGUUAUCAAUGCUUGCGACUUUCCGUAUAGAGGCGUUUAGGUGGACAAGGUCCCAACCAAAGCGGCUUUUUUUGCUUGGGAAGCUGUGUGGGGGAAGAUUCUCACCUUGGAUAGGCUUCAAAAAAGGGCUGGCAGUUUCCUAACCGGUGUUUUUUGUGUGGUUGUGAAGAGGAGAGUGUAAAUCACAUUCUUUUACAUUGUAUAGUGGUAAGGGCCUUAUGGGAAAUCGUUUUUGCCCUUGUGGGGGUUCAGUGGGUGUUCCCAGAGUUUGUGAAGGAGGCGCUAUUCAGUUGGAGGGGCCCAUUUGUGGGGAAAAAGAGGAAAAAAAUUUGGAAUUCUAUCCCAUUGUGUAUUUUUUGGACGGUAUGGAAGGAAAGGAAUAGGUUAGCUUUCAAGGGAGGGGUGUUAAAUAUUCAGAAACUCAAGAAUUCUUUUGUUUGUACCUUGUGGAGUUGGGCUAGGGUGUAUAUUGGAGAGGAGUCCUCUUCUCUCUUAGGUUUUUUGGAGUGGCUAGCGGCCACUUAAGGGAGGGUAAGGUGCUUGUUUUUUUGUGCUCUCGUUUUGAGGCAGAUUUGUAUACGUCCUGUAUGCUUGGUGGCCUUUGCCCUUUAAUAUAUUUGUGAUAUUUAUAAAAAAAAAUAUAGAUAUAUGUUAUUAAGUUUAGGUAGUGAAACAAUUAAUGUGGAUAUAAAAUUAAUGCCAAAACUUUUGAUUGAUCCUUCACAUUCUCCACAACCAAACAAAGGAUAUAAGAAAAAUAAAGAAAGAAAUUUAGGGUAGCUUGAUUUUUUGUUCUCAUCUUGUUGUGAAGUUAAUAGAGGAAUGCUUAGGUUGGUGCUCAAUAGUUAAGUGACACCAGGGUAUAAUGAUUCUUCCAAUUGUGUAAACAUUAUCCGCUUUAAUUUCAAUGGAUCAUCAUCACUUUAAAUUGCAUCCACAUGGUUAAGAGCAACUCAUAUGUAUAUAAUAUCAUGAAUUUCUUCUUAUUCGAUAUGGAAUAUCAAAUUAGGUAUUGUAUAAGCGUUUCAACUCAAAUGACUUGGCUUAAUGUAUACUCAAAGCCAUGACAAAGGAACGUACAUGUAAUAAAGUGAAAAUUAAACCUUGUCGCCCUUCUAUCUCUAGUAUGAAACACAACUCCAUUAGCCCUUAAACAUCUGCAAAAAAAGAUAUACACAUCUGUUACAUUAAUUAAAAUAAAUGAUGCAAAAAGAGACUCUACAUGUCCAUGUACAUAAUUUGAUUAGAUUUGUUAUAUAUAUAGACAGAGAGAAAAAAAAACUGCUUAGAUUAAGGAUCUCAUUAAUUAAUACCUAGAAAAUAUAAAAUAAUAAGAAAAGAUUAGAAGGUGUGAAUCAUAAGAUAAAACUACAUUUUUGAAUUAGAUUCAUCGAAAGAUGGCAUAUUGUAUGAACAUUUGUACUCUAUAUAUAAAAAUUCAUAUUAUGGUUGAGAUGUAUUAAUUUGUCAUAUUUUUGGAAAAUUAAAGUAAUGAGUAAUUACACUAAAUUAAAUUAUUGACCUUAUUAAUCAAUACCUCAAGAGUAUAAAAUAGUAAGAAAUGAUUAAUACAAACUUCAUUGAAAUAUUUUUAUACACAUUGUGUAAAUAUUCUUAUUUAAUAAAAGUUUAUAUGUCAUUAAAUAAAUAGAGAAUUUUAACAUUAAUUGCAAUGCUAAGUAGAGGAGAUCCCAUAUUUAAGUUGUUGAUUAAGGCUUAUUUGAUAAAACUUAAUAUAUAUUACUUAAUAACUUAAGUUGACUUUAAGUUAGAUAAUAUUUAAGUUAUUUCCUUAAAAUUUAUUAUUUAAUAUUUACUUUCAGUGUUAAAGUUAUUUGAUAAAGCUAAUUUAAAAAUCAUUUUAAAUUUUCAAAUUGUCAUAUUUACCUUCAUUAAUUUGAUAACUAGAUGCAGAUAAAUGAAAAAAAGAAAUGAGAUUAAGAAUAAGUUAAUUAUUUUGAUUUAACACUUAAAAUUAAAAGUAACUUUAAAAUAUAAUAUUAAGUUAUUUUAUCAAAUAUAUUUAAUAAUUAAAUUAAGUUAUUAAGUCAAUGACUGAUUACCAAACACCCUAUAAGACCUAGAAAAUCGAAUGAGUUUUAAUAGUAUUCAGGAUGGGUAUGACUAGGUGGUGGUUCAAUGUUGAUUAAUCAUAAUUCAAUCAAGGCAAAAUAUGUAACAAAUACAUGUCAAACUGCACCAUCCAAAUGGGCGCCAAGAAUGUUACAUUUGACAAAUGACAAAUGCCAUUAAACCUUUACAGCUAGCAAUUAGAAGAUCACUCUCUUCUUGUAUCUCUCUUUUUCUCCAAACUCCAGGAGGAAAAACUCGAACUCCAUUAUUUUGAUCACAGAAAACAUGGCAAAAAAGUGUGUUGUACUUCAUCUUGAAGCUCAUUAACUUCAUCUUAAUUUGAUCCAAAUUGCAGAAACAUUCGAAACUCCAUGAAUCUAUGGUGCCUUGGUGGCCUACAUUCAUAUAACUGGGGACACUUUGGUUUGCACUACAAUGACCCCCAAACAUGGUUUGUAGAGACUUUAUCAAAAUCACUAGCUUCAAAAGACUAAGGAAAGAAAAAUGUUCUCAAUGAAAACUUGGAGUCGAAUUGCAGAUAAAGACCUAAAACUCCCACUCAAUGUGUUUUAGGAAUUGUUCUUUCAUGGGGAUAAGCUGUUUGGUUUGUACAUGUCUCCUUGGUGAUACUUAGAGAUUGGUGAAGUAUACGUUUCCUUUGUGAUCUGGUUUGUAUCUGGGCAGAUGAAUGUUCAUGCCAGGUUCAUAUAUGUUUAUGAUAUAUGUCACCCUGGAAGGAUCUAGAUCAAGGGGAUGAGUUUGAAAAGCUUGAGUAGGUUUAAAAUGUUCCGAGAAUUGGUGAGCAUGAUAUAUAUCAACAUAUUGCAGAAGACAACAGAGCUUCUGAAAUAUGUCAGAUUCAAUAGUAGGACAUCUUAUCAGCUGUCACUUACUGUAAUUCUAUGCUCUCAAUAUUCAUUUGUUGAAGAAGAAAAAAAAAUUGCUUUAACACUAUUCAAUUACAGGAGAAUGUUCAAUUAUAGAAGAAAAUAAUAUUCGCUAGUCUCUUUCAACUGAAUCAACAUGCAGAGAAAGCAGUCAGGUGACCAGUUAUUCACAUAAUAACUUACAUACAUUGUCUCUCUACCUCUACUUGUUACUCAUCAGCCAAGCUUACAGUAAUAUAAGCUUGGGUUCAUCUCUCUAUGCCACUGAUGAAAACUCCACAUGGGCUUUGCCUUUCUGGUGAUUUUGCAUUUGGAUUCCAACCCUCUCCAAGUGAAGUGGACUUAUUCCUUCUUGCUAUCUGGACUGCAAAUGGAAGUUAACCGGUGCCAAGAGGAUCAAAAGUUGGGCUUACCACCAAUAGACGGCUUGUUCUCUAGAGGCUAAGAUAUGUGGAAGACAGACUGGUAAUGUGAGCAGCGAACCAGUGCAUGGUGCCAUGCUUGGAGAUGGAAAUUGCAUACCAGUGUAUGGGAGAGCUUCAAGCACCCGACUAAUACCAUAUUGCCAACCCAGGGAUUGGUGUUGGAGCCUACUGUGCAGUUGCUAUUUAUGAGGACCUGAGGUUUCCAAAUGGAACUGGAAGCUGUUGGAGGAAAAGACUUACCUCUUUCAAAUGGGAGGUUGGAUCAAACUGCUGUUUCCAGAAGUGCUCUAAUCAAGAUAUUGAAGUCCAGUGAACUAACUUCAGGCAGAGGCAACCAAAAUAAAGCAAUUCUAAUACUCUCAGUCCUCUUAGGCCCCUCUGUGUUCUUCUUCUUCAUUUCUCUGGCUGCAAUUUCUCUAGUUUUCUACUGCUUGAACCUCAAAAAUCUGCAGCUUUAUCACAGAAUCCUGAGUACAAGCGAUGGUAGAAGCCUUUGGCACUGUCUAUAAAGGGAUAUUACCAUCAGGUUCUGGAAAUUCUGUUGCUGAAAGAAGUUGGAGAAGGUGGUGGGAGAAGAUGAGAAAGAAUUCAAAGCAGAAGUGAAUGUGAUAGGCCAACUCACCAUAAGAAUCAAGGACACUAGCUGCGUUACUGUUGUGAGGGUGAACACUGAAUACUGGUGUUUUUUUUUUAUGCACAAUGGCUCUUUAUCAAGGUUCCUUUCUGGAGGCGCCCAAGGACUUGUGUACCUACAUGAAGAAUGCAGUAAACAGAUCAUCCAUUGUGACAUAAAGCCCUCAGAACAUAACUCUUGGAUGAUUCUUCUACAGCCAAAGUUGCAAACUUGGACUGGGAAAGCUUCUGAUAAGCAACCAGACUAGAACACUCACAGGCAUCAGAGGGACUAUGGGGUAUAUUCAGACAACUCGGGCAGCCUAUGUCUCUUAUAAUAACACAUUGUGAAGCAUCAGCUCAAUGCCGGGGUUCAAUCUGCAAAGCAAGGGAUUCAUCAAUGUUUCCUUCAAACUAAAUGAUAAGGAACAGAAAUGGAUCAUUCUGCAUUUUCAGUGGUGUUUGUUAUAGCAUUUAUACAAGAACUCUAGGGGUUUCUAUGUAUAACUUCAUUCCCAUUUUGUAUAAUCCAAAUCUCUUCAAUCGAUUAAAUGUAUAAAUGAAUCCUAUUCAUUGUUUGGAGUAACAACAAAAUUCUGGAAGACUGGGAAAGUUUCAACACUGGAGAGAAGACAAAAUGACAAGACCAUAAAUUCUGGAAGAGGGCUUUGCUUUCUAACCAUUACCAUAAUUUUUGAGCUCAACCCGGAUGAGUAAAUUAUAUUUCAGAAUGUUCAGGAGAUAAUUCUAAAGUGAUGAACCUUCUACUCACAGUUUCUUGUUCUUCUUGAACAGAGCAAUGAACAUCAAUAGUUCAGCACCCAGGAAUCUCCCCUUCCUCCAAUUCCCCCACUGGGAAAAGUCACCUUUCCAGUUAAGAAAAUCAUCAGGAUUAAUUUGAGCAAAACAUCAGAGUAUACAUCAAGAAAGCCUUGAUCAAAAUCAAAAUACAUCAAGAGCUGCCAUUUUCUUCUAUUUCCUCUUCCCUGAAUGGAAUGUCUUUUGGACUGAGGUGAUCAAUGGUAACAGUCUAACAUACUCCUUAAGCUCCGAUUGAGGUCAACGGGGAUUGGCACAUUUCAUGAUUGGCAAACAUGAAUCUCAGGAUAAUCAACAAGUCAACAACUAUCAAUCAGUAAGGAAAAGGAAAUACCUUUGGAUAUUUACAAAUAAAAAAUUUGAGAGAGUCCAGCUGCUCUGUACAGAAAGGCUUGAGCUUAUUCCAUGGCCAGGCUUUAGAUGGUUCUGAAUUAAGGAUGAGAGGGUUGAGUUUUCUUUCAUUCUGCAAUAAGAUUAAAAACAUCAAUGAAACGCUAAAAGUUUAUAUAUAGAAGCCCUUCUAAAGAUAAGAAUUGGUAAGAGAGCCCACCCAUGGUCUAGUAAAGCAACAUCUGUUAGAUAAGUAACCACCAUUCUAUUGUCCAACUAAUGCAUUUAGAUCUAAGAUAAGAUAUGGAAAAAUAGUCGAAAAUAGUUAAAGACAGUCCAAAAACUCAUUUGACUAAUAAUUUUCUAAAAACAGUAACAUAAAACCAGGAUGAAGAAUCCACCCCUCUACCUGACACCACUUCAAUACCAAAUAAAAUGUUAUGAUGACCAUUUAUGGUCUUAAGAGACAGUGGAUGUUGUUUGGGCUCAAGACCUAAGACAAGCCAAAAAUCAAGAAGAAAACAACAUCAAAAUUGGCACAGAAACAAGUACAUCAACUAUCUAAUAAAGAGAUUUAUGCAUGUAACAAAUGCAAAUGAAAUAUGAUCCAAGAUUUUCAUGGAUUAAACAAAAAUUAUUUGAAAUAUGAUCCAAGAUGGCAAAAUAGAAGGAUAAGGUCACAGACAGGACAAUAUUAAAAGAAAUUAUUAUUUUUCUGACCUGAAAAUCGAGGCAUUCAGAACAGUACAAGUUUGUAAGUAGUCCAUGGAAACCAGGGAACAUAUGCAGACGUUGUAUUCUAUUGCAUAAGGCAAACACUCAAUACUUACAAGCAUAAUCAUGCCCAGAAAGCCAUGAAUCCCUUUCUGUUUUGCUUUUUUACCUAUUCUCAUCUCUUAUGGCCAGAAGUGCCCAGGAUGAUACAACCUCACCAAAUAAGUUAGAAACCAGCCCAUUCAGCAGGUUGAGUAGCCAGCUUGCCCUCAAUCUUCUUUGAGUCAACAAACAGCUGGGCAUUAUUGCCUCCAAUGGAGGGUCUGGAAAUAUUAGAGCCGGCAGCAGGGGUGGCUGUAAAACUCUCUGUUCCAAAACCCCAAGUUUCAGGGCCAGAAGUUCCUUCUGUGGCUGGUUUGUUGUGAUGGCCAUUUCGGGUCCUAACAGACUUGCUAUUGUUGUCUGGGCACCUGCCUCAGAGAAAGCCUGCCAAAGAUUAGAGUCUGGGCCAGGGGAAACGGAUUUUCUUUGCUGGAGUUCCCAGUCUGUUGCUUCAAUCUUUUCUCUGUGCUGUUACGAGAAGAAAACCUAUCAGACACAUGAAUGGGUACAAAGAGGUAAACUUCAGGUUUUGGUUGUAUUGAAAAGCACAGGAAACUUCACAAGAGGCAAAUUAUACCCCAGGCUUAUUGAAGAAAAAUAAAGUACAAUUGACUUACCCAAAUGUCUACUUUCUCAUUUAUAGGUUUCCUCCUAAACAAAUCCCCACAUCUAGGACAGGAAAAGGAAGAAACUGGGAGUCGACAUUUUUUCAACCAAAAGCACUAACUUAUCAAAAAACAUAGUUUUCCAUUCAACCUCGGGAGCUGUACUUUCUGAUAUUGUCUUCUUCAAUGCCCAUUUCUUCAGGCUUCUUAAAGUGCUUAUGAUUGGUGGAGGUGCUUCCAAAAUCACACAACUUCCAUAAUCCAUUAGGGCCCAAUGGAAGAUUCUCAGCAUUUAUAUAAGAACUUCAGGGUUUAUACAUAUGAUCAUGUUACAGUAUAAAUCAUAGUGAACUGGUGGAAUUUGAUCAUUAGCCAACCUCAUCAAAAACUGUUUCACAGUUGAGGGGAUUGUUAACCUUGCCAUGGGCCAAGCAGCAAUUUCUGAAGAAGCUGGGUGACAAAAAGUACCAUCAUUUGGACUAGUUUCAAUGGAAAUUCCUCUGUUUUUAUACAUGAUAUCUUCAGCUUCAGCUUUUCCUUUUGCUUUUGACAUGGCUGAAACUGAUCCUGAAAUCAAAAAUCCCACACAAGUAGAUAUUUAACAGAAGAGGAUCCCAAUCUCUUCAAUUGAUUAAUGUAUAAAUGAAAUAAUAAAAAUAAUUAUAGGGAGAUGAACCUUAUACCUCUUGAGUUUCUUAGUCUUCUUGAACAGAGCAAUGAGCAUCAAGUGUUGAGCACCCAGGAAUCUCCCUUCCUCUACAGGGAAAAUCUGACAAUCUAUCUUUCUUCAUAUUCCACUUCCUUGCAAAAGUCAAAACAUGAAGAAAAUAUCAUCAAAAUUGAGGCAAAAAUAAGUGCAUCAACUGUCUCAAGAAGAGAUUUAUGCCUAUUGCUUACCUUUUGCAGAAUUCCACUUGGUUAGAGCACAUUUUACAUGGCCGCCCAAUCACUGCAAGCUGCUGAACCAAAGGAGAGUUCAAACAUCUAAAAAAUUUGACUAACUCAAGUAUCAUAAAAUACUUCACAUGAAUUCUAAAUGAUCUCAUAUCUAAAAAACUUUGGCAUAAAAUUAUUGUUGUUUACCUUACAUGUUUCUUCCAUGGUCAUAAUCGAAACUUUGUUUAUCAUAAGAAAUCUUCUAUGCUCAUCCUGAUUACUUACAAUGAACACUGAAAUGAAAGAAAAAAAAAACACAAAAAAUUUAAAUGUAUUUAAUUCCAAUUAAAUGAGUUUAAUCAAACACAUGAAAUUGUGAAUAAAAUUAUUUAAAAGCAUUGAAAUUCAUGUCAUUAAAGUUGUCCAUAAAAUUUGGUAUAUUGAAGCAAGAAAAAAACAAAGCAAUUUGAAUGACUUGCUAAUAAAGCAGGUAACUAGAAUAUGCCCUAGAGUUGUUCCGUGCCUUGUAUAUAAGAAAUUUAAAAAAAAAAAUCCUAAAAAGAAACAAACAAAAUAUCCAUGGUUCUUACGUUAUUUUUUCUUAAUUUUUCAAUAGUUAUAAAUGGUUCAUUUAAUUCUUGCAAACCACCAAAUCAAAGCAGAACAUGAAAAUGUAUUCAAUAUUUGUUUCAGGCUUGAAGCUUCAAGAAAAAGAAAAUCUUAAAUCAAAUAAAUAGGACUAGCAAAUGAAUUGGAACUUGAAAGAAAAGUUCAAGCGCAAAAGAAUUACCUGACUCUAUAUUGGCGGAGUGGCACUUUGAUUAAUAUAACACAUAAUUGAUCGUUAUUUUUGGAAUGUGAGCUAUAUAACGCCAUUCUUCCCCUUUCUCAAAUUGACACCGUUUUUCCAGUAAAGGACAUUUGUAGAUGUACAGAUCAGAGAGGGAGUCUGGAAGUCUCUCUUUUGUCAAGUAUUUGAGCUUACGACAGUUAUAGAUCCCUAAUGUUUUAAGAGAGGUGAGGUGUUGAAGACCCACUUUUGUCAAGGAUUGGAGCAUUGGGCAGUAAUUGAUCCCCAAACUUUCAAGAGAGGUGAGGUGUUGAAGACCCACUUUUGUCAAGGAUUGGAGCAUUGGGCAGUUUUCGAUCGACAACAUUUCAAGAGAGGUGAGGUGCUGAAGACCCACUUCUGUCAAUGAUUGGAGCCUCGAGCAUCCAUCAAUUUCUAAUCGUUUUAGAGAGAUAAGGUGUUGAAGAACCGAUCCUGUCGAGAACUGGAGCUCUGGGCAGUUUCUGAUCUGUAAUUGUAGAAGAGAGGUGAGUUGUUGAAGACCCCUGCUGUCAAGAGACUUGAGAUUCGAAAGCUCUACAAUUUGAAGAGAAGUCAGAGAAGAGGGCAGCAAACAGUCCUUGGGAAAUAAUUCAAUGUCUUCACAUCCACCGUUGAUUGUGAAAUGAGUAAGAGAGGUCAGCCUUUGCAAAUCGCACUCCACCUGGGGCGUGAAAUCGGUAAUUUCAAGUUUACGUAGGUUGGAAGGCAAACCCUCUCUCUGAAACAACAAUUCUGGACAAGACCCUAAAUUCAACUCCUGUACAGAUGAGUGUGCGUGUGCCAACGACCAGAGCUUGGAGCACCUAUAAAUCGAACAAGACUCCAAGUUGAGAGCGUGCAAUUCGAUAGAUUCAAGAUCAGGGCAACCAUCUAGAAACAGGGAACAUAAUGAUGUGGGAUCACCCUCUGAAACCAAAAUGGAGAGCUUCUCAAGCCCCUUAAGAUUAAGGAUUCUGAAAUGAGUCAACUUGGGGAAGAUGCCUAAUGAGAAGGAUAACGAGAGAGAAUCAUCGAUAACACCACGAUUGAUGAUUAGACUUUCAAGGACUGGGAGAUGGCAUCUGAACAACUCAGGUACGAGAAUCUCUAAUUUCGAGCACUCAUAGAUGACUAGUGAUUUCAGUGUAGUGGGUAAACCAACUUUGUGUAGGGAUCUAGAAAAACUACAGUCAUAGAUUUUCAGAUCAUGUAUGUUGGUUUGCGAGAUUUCCUCCUCUAGCAGAGACUCCACAUAAUCACAUUUUCUAAUUGAGAGCUGGUGUGGUGCCAUUGGAAGUUGACUCCACUGAGACACAUCUAAAAUUUCAAUUUCUGAAGUUUGAAGAGCUGUGAAGUCACAACCUGCCAUUUGCAACUGCAGUUUACCAAAAUCCAUCAUCCUCAAUCGACAAAUUGCAGGAACUGUGAGUGAAGCCAUAAGCAGUUGCGGACAUCCAUCAAUUUGAAAUUCCACCAAUGAAAGAAGUUGUUCUGGUAAUUUCCCAGAGAGUUUGGGACACCUUCGUAUAAAAAGCUUCUGGAGACGAGGGAAUUCUCCACGACAUAACCAUUUCUCCCAGUUCUGCAUAUCCUCAAAUGAUAGUGUUUCUAGGAAUUGAAAGGAAGCAUUCCCAUAGAACUCAUCACCCACACACUCUACUCCAUUCAUCCUUGAGAUUUGCAGAUAUUUAAGGUGGGUUAGCUGUCCAAGUGGUGGCAAUGUUGAGCAAUUGCCACAACCCCGAAGCUCAAGGGACACGACAUUCAACACUGAAGGAUCUCCAAGCCAAUUUGGAAAUCCUUCACCAGGAUAGUUUGUGAUGGAGAGUUGUUUUAAAUUUGGAUGAGGUUGUAACUUGUUGAGUAUAUCAUGCGUUGUUGCACCACUUUGUGUAACACCAUUGGUACACUUGUCACCCCAACCAAAGAUUAACUCAUCAAGAUAACUUUUAUCCUUCAUAUUAGCCCUUGAUGCAUCAUUAACACUCACCACAUUCUCCAUGUUUGAAAUAUAAAGUUUUCCUCGAAGCUCUGACAGCUCCCCCAAUUCUCCAAUUCUUAAUCCAUUGUUUUGGCUCACAAUAAAUCGAGUCAACCUUUGUAAAUUUUUUAAUCGACCAAUUCCAUGACUUGAUAUUUCUCUCAAUGAACCACAUCCAUCAAUAUCAAGAUAGCGCAAAUUAAUCAAUUUUCCCAUCUUUGAAGGCAAUUCAUUAAGUUUUGAACAUUUUCUUAGCAUCAUCGUUUGUAAAUUGCAUAAACAACAUACUGAUUCAGGUAAUUUUUGAAUCAAUGUUAAAGACAAAUCCAAGUAACGUAAAUGUUUCAAAUUACCUAUCGAUUUAGGCAAAUCAGUUAUUCUAUAUGCACAUAAUGAUAACACACGUAAACACCACAUUUUUGGUAAUAUAUCUUGCAAAACUCUUUUACUCAAAUCAUAACGAUAAAAGUCUUCUUCUGUCUUCACUUCUAAGAAUGUCCGAAGAGAUUCAGCUUUAGUCAUAGCCUCAAAAUUCUUAAAUGCAACCAACGAGGUAUAAUCAUCACUUUUAAAGUACAAAAAGUGGUGAGCCUUCUCAGAUACUUUUGGUAACUUAUCAUCAUCUUCCACUCGAGCACAAAAAUCUCCAGACACGUGUUGAGCCAAUUCAUGUAUUAGAUCAUGCAUUACAAAGCAUGAUCCUUUUAUUCCAACAGAUUUUUGAAAGAAAGACUUGGCAAGAAGCUCAUCAAAAUAUGACUCACCGAUCCCUUCCAUUCUCCUUCCUUCGUUUUGUCGUGGAUGUAAAAGACCUUCUGCCAUCCAUAAUAAAAUCAGCUUCUCUUUGUUGAAUUGGUGGUCCUGGGGAAAAAUAGAACAAUAAGCAAAACAAUGCUUCAGAGGUAAAGAAAGAUGAUGGUAGCUUAAUAUCAAAGACGGAAGAAUUUCGGAGCCACUAUGCGGAUGCCAUAUAUCACUUUUCAACACAUCGUCCCAUUCCCUUUUUUCAACCUUAGAAUACAAGAGACAGCCGAGUGCUUUCACAGCCAAAGGCAAUCCUUGGCACUUGUCCACAAUCUGUCUGCCUAUGCGUUCAAGCUCAAGGUAUGCGUUGGGGUCUUCAUCUUCAAAUGCAUGCUUUUUAAACAGGGACCAACUAUCUUCAGAGCUUAAUUUCCAAGAUGAUGAGUAGGGACUGCUCGCAUGGUUGUUGCAACAGAUUGAUCACGACUGGUCACGACAAUCUUGCUUCCCUCUGCUGCAGCGAGGAGUGGAGUUUGUAGAAUAUUCCAACCUUCACGAUCGCUAAGCUCCAUAUAACCUUCAUCACGAGGCUUUAAAUUCCAGACGUCAUCAAGGACAAGCAGAAAUUUCUUGUUACUAAGUUGCUUUUUGAGUUGAAGCUGAAGCAAAUUUAGGUUGUCAGCGGAAGUAGGUGGAGAACGAAUUUCCUCAAGAAUUGUUUUGGUGAGUUUGAUAAGGAGAAACUCAGUGGAAACACAGACCCAUGCUUGCAAGUCGAAGUGUUUCUUCACUUCCUCAUCGUUAUAGAGACGCCGAGCAAGCGUGGUCUUGCCGCUGCCGCCCAUGCCCACUAUGGACAUCACCCCCAUUUUGUCGCCUGUUGUAUUGUCAGAAAGCAACCACUCCAUCAUCUCCUUCUGAAUUUCAUCCCUGCCGACAACAAUGGAGUCAUCCUCCAAAGAAGUGGAUAUUGGUGAUCUUGGUCUUGGUGACCGUUUCUCGCCCCCACCUUCUGCCAGCCCCAACCCAACUUUUUCUAGUGCGAUUUUUUCCAGUAGAUCAAUCAUGCCCCUGACCCUGGACUCCAUGCUUUUGAUAGCAAAUGGAGUCUUCACAGAAGCAGAGAACUUGUUCCAUUUCCACGCCUUAAGAGUUCCGCCGGUUUGGGAGUCAGCAGCUUCCAUCUUGCAACGCAAAGCGUCGGUAGCGAUCUCGUCCAACAGGUCUUCCGCAUCAUACACAGCACCCUUGACAUGGACGAGCCACUCUUUGACAUUUGGGUUUGAAAAUUGCUUCACCUCCGCAUCAUCGAGCACAUUGAGAACAACCACGAGUUUCCUCUUCAACUCGCUGAGGAGUUCAUCGCUAAGGUUCCGUCGCCGAAUGAAGUUUAUGAGCUCUGGAGAAGCCAACCUUUGGAAUAGAACUUGAAGCGAAGCUGAGAGGAGGGCAUCCGCCAUAUCUGUGUCGACUGUUGCUUUGCAAUAGGAAUUCAGAGGAUUGGUUUCUGUUACCGCGAUACCACCAAAGUGCAAAAGACUGGGUUUGGAUUACCACACUGCAGAAUGAUUGAAGGAAUCAUUGUUGGUGGUGGACCCAGCUGCCAGAUAUUGGUGGUGGACGCAGCUACACUGCAGAAUGCUUGAAGGAAUCAUUAUUGGUGGUGGACCCAGCUGCCAAUAUUUGUCAAACACCAUAAUUGAGUGGUGAGAAAAAGAACAGGAAAAGCAAGUGGGAGGUAGAUGGGCUUUCCCCAAGGCGAAAGCAAGUGGAAGCUGGAUGGCGCUUUCCCAACAACAACAACAUUCGGGAUUUUUCUUUUUCAUCUACGCAUUUCUUCUUUCUUUAAUUUCUUCUAGUAUUAUUAUUAGUAGACAUAUACACACAAAUAUUUGUUUAUAACAUUAUCAUUCAUAAUAUUAUAAAAUUUAUUAUUAAUAAUAUUUAUACUAAUAUUAUUUUUUAAUAAUUAUAUUAGUAUCAUGAUUUUAUAAUUAGUAUCCUUACUUUUAUUGUUUAUAAUAAUAAUAAUUAUUAUUAUAUUAUAUUAAGUAUUUUCACAUAAACAAUGAUAUAUGCAUAAGACAUAUUAAAAUUUUGAAUAUUAUGGUUAUUAUUAUUUAAUAAUAAUAUUAUUAUUUGAUUCAAAAAAGUUUAUAAUAUAAUAAUAACAAAAAUAAAUUUUUUUUAAUAAAAUAAAUUAUAAAAAUAUAAUAAUUUUAUUAUUUAUAAAAUAUAUUUAUUUUAAUGUAAUUAAAAAAAUUAAAAUAAUUUUAAAAAAUUUAAAAAUUUUCAAAAAAAGUUAAAUGGGAUAGGAUUAGGAUGGAAUUGAUCCAUCUCAAUGUCGUCUUGUUGUCAUCCCUAACUCACCUAGUGGUAAUUAAGGCCAUUUUUUAUCAUUGUUUUUUUAAAAUGGUCUUUUAUCCUUAAUAUAUAUAUAUAUAUAUAUAUAAUAAUUAGAAAAUAAAACAUAAUUUUUGUUUUUUAAAAUAAAAAAUAAGGCAUUUUUAGAUCAUACCCUUUUAGUUACUUUUACUUAUUUUUAAAAAAUUAUUUUAAAAAGUAAUUAUAUAAAUAUAAAAAAUAAAAUAAUUUAAAUAAAAAUUAUUUUUAAAAUAUAGAAAAUUAGUUAAUAACACUUUAUCUUCUCAAGCUCUUGUUUUAUAAAAUAUCAUAAAAUAAUUUUCUUUUGUUUUCACUAUUUUGACAACCGCAACCGGAAUAAUGCACAACAAACAUAAAUAAAUAAAAAUAAAAAGGUCCAAAGAAAGACAAACGUGUUGCAGUAAUGCACUUAAAUUUAAUGAACCUAAAAGCCAAAUGUGCAGUGUUGACUUUUCAACCGAGAGCUCACACAUGCCCAUUUUUUUAAUUAAAGCACUAUUAAUAUAAAAUAUAUAUUUAAAUAAAAAUUAGACUUUUAAAAAAAUUAAAAUAUAUUUUUAAAAUGUUAAAAAAAUAUUUACAAUAUCUCCUUAAAAAAAACAUCUUCCAAAAACAUUUCUUUAAAAAAUACUUCCACAGAUAACAAUUCAGACACACUUGUGAUUUAAUCGUUAAAUAUUCUUUCCAAAAGGAAUUCAACUAUCGGUUUGUAUUACCACGAUACCACCAAACUACGAAAGACUAAUUUUGGAUUACCAAAAUGCAGAAGAGCUGAAGGAAUCAUCGAUGGUGGACGACCCAGAUGUCCACAUUAUUUGUCAGACACCAUAAUUGAGUGAUGAGGAAAUGAAAAAAAAAGCAAAUAAAAAACAAAAAAGGUGAUGUCAAACAUGGUCUUAUAAGGUGGGUGGAGAGAAAGCAACAAAGGAAACUAGCAGGAUUUUUCAUUGCUAUUCCAUGCCUCAAAGGACAAAAUUUGAAUUACCAAAAUACAAAAGACUUGAAGGAAUCAUUGAUGGUGGUGGACCCAGACGUCCACAUUAUUUGCCAAACACCAUAAUUGAGUGAUGAGAAAACAAAAGAAAAAGCAAAAAAGGUGAUGCCAAACAUGGUCUUGUAAGGUGGGUGGAGCAAAAGCAACAAAACAAACUAGUACGAUUUUUCAUUGCUAUUCCAUAUCUCAAAGGACUAAUUUUGAAUUACCAAAAUAUAGAAGACAAAGGAAUCAUUGAUGGUGGUGGACCAAGAUGUUCACAUUAUUUGCCAAACACCAUAAUUGAGUGAUGAGAAAAUGAAAAAAAAGAAAAAAGAAAAUGAAAAACAAAAAAGUUGAUGCCAAACAUGGUCUUGUAAGGUGGGUGGACCGAAAGCAACAAAGUAAACUAGCAAGACUUUUCGUUGCUAUUCCAUACCUCAAAGGAUUGAUUUUGAAUUAUCAAAAUACAGAAUACUUGAAGGAAUCAUUGAUGGUGGUGGACCCCGAUGUCCACAUUAUUUGCCAAACACCAUAAUUGAGUGAUGAGAAAAUGAAAAAAAGAGUUAAGAAAAAACAAAGAAGUGAUGCCAAACAUGGUGUUGUGAGGUGGGUGGAGCAAAAACAACAAAACAAACUAGUAGGAUUUUUUGUUGUUAUUCCAUACUGAGAAAAUAAAAGGCUACUCUAAAUAGAUAAAAACACCCAAGAGAGGAAGUGAAUAUAAGUUAAAAAAUUUCUUUUUAAACACAAUAAAAUUAAGCACAAGAAGUACAAAUAUAAAGAAGUAAAGUUAUAGAAAGUAAACUUAAAUUUAUAGUGGUUCGACACUUUCUUACUUACAUCCACUCUCCUUAAGCUCCUAAUCGAGUGAGGGUUCCACUUAUACUUGAAGUUUCAACCAAACUUCUAAUCACUUUUUACACUUGGAUUCCAGCUCCAAUGGACUCUUACACAAUCUCUUCAAGUCUUUACUCACUUGAAGGUUUUAACACUCAAUUAACAAGUUUGAAUCUCUCAACCUAGCUCAACAAUGACUCAAAUACAACUCAAGGCUAGGAUGAAUCACUAAGGUGCACUAAAGAAUAUGUAAAUGAAAAUUUAAUGCACUAAGAAAAUAAUGAGAGCUUUUAUGACAAUAAUAAGUAGGUAAACAAAUAAAUGCAAGUGUUCUCUUACUCAUAAAUGAGGUAGACCUCUCAAUUUAUAGGUUUCUAACCUCAGGAGCUAAAAAGCCAAAAAACAGUCUCGAUUGAUUGAGUUGGGGUUGACUAGUUCACUAGCCGUUGAAACAUUAAAUGCUUGGUAGGUGACCGUUACCCUCGACCAAACCUUAACCGAGAAGGCAAAUCCAUCAACCAGGAAAGAAAGGCUACUAGAAGAGAGAGAAUGUUUUUUACAUCUCUCGACCGGACCUCGAUAUAGAAGGAGUAAUCGGUAGAUCGAUACCCUAGCUGAUUGGCAAGGAAUUUAGAUAAAUUAAUAUGUCAAUUUUGAAAUGUUUUGCAUAAGGUUCGUUUGAUAGAACUCGGAUUUUGAUGGAAAUGUAACUUUAAUGCAUAAACCGAGUUUUAAAGAUGUAUGAAAUGAUAUGAAUAUCCUAAGUACACUCAUGCAUUCAUCUUACGUAUGUUUCCUAUGAUUAAAAGGUCUUUCAAAAGUCUUGAUCUUGCAUUCAUUAGGUCUUUUAAUGAAUUUCCAAAUUAACACCUGAAAUUCUUUAUAAUUCAAAUCAAUUAAUAACUUAACCAUGAUUUGUUAUCAUCAAAACAUAAUUAGGAGAAUCAUUGGGCUAACACAUACCUCAAAGGACUAAUUUUGAAUUACCAAAAUAUAGAAGACUUGAAGGAAUCAUUAAUGGUGGUGGACCAAGAUGUCUACAUUAUUUGCCAGACACCAUACUUGAGUGAUGUGAAAACGAAAGAAAAGCAAAGGAAUAACAAAAAAAGGUGAUGACAAACAUGGUCUUGUGAGGUGGGUGGAGCGAAAGCAACAAAACAAACUAGCCCAUACCUCAAAUGAUUGAUUUUGAAUUACCAAAAUAUAGAAGACCUGAAGGAAUCAUUAAUGGUGGAUGACCCAGAUGUCCACAUUAUUUGUCAAACACCAUAAUUGAGUGAUGAGAAAAUGAAAGAAAAGCAAAGGAAAGGAAAAAAAAUGUGAUGCCAAACAUGGUCUUGUAAGGUGGAUGGAGUGAAAGCAACAAAGCAAACUAACAAGAUUUUUUGUUGCUAUUUCAUACCUCUAAUGACUGAUUUUGAAUUACCAAAAUACAGAAGACCUGAAGGAAUCAUUGAUGGUGGACAACCCAGAUGUCCACAUUAUUUGUCAGACACCAUAAUUGAGUGAUGAGAAAACGAAAGAAAAGCAAAGGAAAAGCAAAAAAGGUGAUGUCAAACAUUGUCUUGUAAGGUGGAUGGAGCGAAAGCAACAAAGAAAACUAAUAGGAUUUUUCGUUGCUUUUCCAUACCUCUAAAUCACCAUAAUAAUAAUAAUAAUAAUAAUAAUAAUAAUAAUAACACCAAAUUUUAAGGUUAUUUUUUGUUAUAAAAAAAAUACUAGGAAAAUAAAAAAAAUAAUUAAGGAAAAUGAUUUUUUCAUAUUUGGUUUCACUAUAGAAAAUAUAAAAGAAAAUCAAAUAUAAUUAAAAUUAAUUUGAAAUUUAUAUAUUUUAACAGUAUUUAAUCUUUUUAUAAUUUAGAAAAAUAAGUAAAACGAGUUUGAAGAAAUGUAUAAAAAUAAUUUUUUAAAUUUAAAUUUAUUUCUUAUUUUCCUUCAUUUUUUCUUUUUUUCUACUUUUUCUCUCUAUUUUCUUUCCUUCUCAUUUUCCCUCAAAUUUUCCAAGAGCCAAACAUAGCUUAAAGGUUUAGAAUCUUAUGCACAAGACUUUCAAUUUUUUUUACAAUAUUAUUUUAUUAGUUAAGAAUUAAAAUUUAAUGUACCAUAUCUAACACUAACAAAAAAAUUUAUAACAACCAGUCUUAUCUUUUAAGAAUGUAUUGUUUAAAUGAGAUUAAAAAUUAAAAAUAAAUUUUAAUUCAUUUAACAACUAAAUUAAAAUGAAAUUUAUAUAUAUAUAUCAUAAAUUUAUACAAUUUUGAAUCAUUUUAUAUGGAGGAUUGAGAAUGGAGAGAUUGAAGAAUUGUUUGGUGACGAGGAGAUUGAUUGAAGAUUUUAUAGUCUUAAGGUUCUAUGGGAUGAAAUUUUUUGUAAAGAGUUUAAAUUUUUGUAAAAAAUAAAAUUAGUUUUAUGUUAUCUGAUUUCAUGGAAAUAUAAAGUUUUAAUUCAAAGAUUAUGUUUUAAAAAUAUUAUUUUUAAAAUAUAUUUAGCAAAGAUUUAUAAAAAUUUAAAAUUAAAAUUAAUUAAUCUAUCAACUAAAUUAAAAUAAGAUUUAUAUGUGUAAAAUCUUUAAAAUGCCUCAACUUAAAAUAUCCUUACAAAAUUUCAUUAAUCUACUAGCAAUCCGCAUAUUGUCUCUACAUAGAGUCGAUUUGCAUUAGGAUGAAUACCAUCAUAAUAAUAAUUACGCUCCACAUAUGACGUAUCUUAACAUCCACUUGGAGGUUAAAAAAUAAUUAAAGUAAGGGAAACUAAUAUAUUUAAAAUUUAAAAAUCAUUAUGAAGAUUUGGACAAUAAUUCAAGUAGGCAUCUUUGAAAUUUGACUUCCAAAUCCCUUUGUCAAUUUACACCACCCUAUGACAAUUAAAUAAAUUAGAAGAAGGAAAAAAAAUGUUAAAGGAAUGACAUAAGAAUUAUUUAUGUAUGACUAGAUUUAAAGUUUAAUUAUAUGAGGAAUCCUUCGUUAUGAAAACAUAGGGAACAAUUAUAUUUAAGGAGUGGAUGGAGUUGAUAAUGACUAAAGGGUACAAAUUUUGCAUAAUUGAACUAAAAAGGUAGAAAAGGUUUGUAGAUUGUUGUGGAAGAUAUAAACCCACUUUGUGAGUCAAAAAUGCUCAAAAUACCCUUAAGAGUGUUUUUAAAAAAAAGGACAAUUAAGUACUCAUCAUAAUUAAUAUAUUAAGAUUUCAAGAAAAAUUAAUAAUAAAUAAAAUCUUCUUCUAAAUCUAUUUAACAAUCAUAUAGUUUUUAUUUUAUUUUAUUUUUUCAAGUUGCAACUAUUAUCUUAAUUUAUUUUUCAUUUUAAGGUUCAAUUAUUAUUAUUCUUUAUUUUGAUUAAUUAAAUGAAACUGUAUAAGACAUGUUUAUAUUAAUUAGCUCAAAAGGAUAGAUUUUUUUAGCAAUACGAUUAAAAUAAAUAAAAACAAGGAAUUUGAUUUUCUUUAUAAAAUAGAUUGGGAAAAGCAUAUUUCGAUACAUUCGUAUGAAAAAAAAAAUCAUAAAAUGGGAACUCAAGUUUAUAAAAUACAAAUUUUAAGCAUCCAUCUAAAAAUAAUUAUCAUUUCAUGCAUUUUUUUGGUUAAAUAUAUUAUAUUUGACAAUUUAGGUAUUAUCUUUUAAUAAUAUAGGUACUACCUUCGACCUGCAUAAAACUUGAAUUAUUUUUAGAUAGUAUCUAUUGUAUAAUUAGUUAAUCCUUUGAUAUGAAUAUCAAAUAAUUUAAAAAUAUAUCUUUUUUUUUAAGAAUUUUAAUUAUAUUUGGCUUUCUUUUGUAUUUUCUAUGGUGUAAACCACAUAUAAGAAAAUCAUUUUCUUUAACAUUUUUUUUUUCUUUCCUUAAUAAUUUUCGAGAACCAAACAUGGCUUGUAGGUUUGGAUUAUAGGGUAUAGAUGCCAUAAAUACCGGAAUGAGUUCGGGUUUUCCAUGCUAAAUGUCUUUAUUAUUAUUUGGUAGCGCUUUUCCAAAAUUGUUCCACUCCCAAAACCACUUAAUUUGCUUAAAUAUUUUUACCUCACGAUAUCAUAACAUUAUAAUGGAAUAGAUUUUGUUGGUGUUCAAAUCAUGUCAACUCAAUUUCCAAACCAUUUGGAUUGUCAUUUGGUGAAAAAUAGAAAGAAAUUUUACUUUAUUGAAAAGCAUUUCAUUUUGAUUUGAAUAUGGUGCAAUGAAAUAGUUACUAAACCAUGGGGUAGCAGAAGAAGUAAUCGAGAAAAUGAAGAAGGAUGUUCAAGAAUUCUUUAUGCCAUUGGAGGAGAAGAAUGCUUACACACAGCUACCAAAUAGCAUUGAAGGUUAUCACAAAGAAUUACUCAUUUUAUCAAUUUUUUAGAGUUUUCUUUUCAAUAUUUUUAUGAGUUUUGAUAAUUUUCAACAUUUUAAUCCUUACUUGAUGGCACUUUACUCGAGUUUCCACCUUGUAUAUCAGGGCAAUCUUAGAUGAGUAUUGAUCAGAGCUCCAAAAGGUUUCAAUUUGCCUAUUAAAGUUGAUGGCCAAGAACCUUAAGAUCAAUUGAUUCGACUCAUGGUAGCUUAGCUGUAAAGGCGUAUCAACAAAAUUUAUACCUUAAAUACUAUUACUAAAGUAGCCAAGCUACUAUAGCAUAGUGGUUCUAGGAUCGUUCACUGGGAAGGGUUUUCGCAAACACAAGUGAUAUUCAAAUUAGGAAAAUAGGUGAUUUUCUUAUGGAUGUUAGCUUUAAAAGAAGAUGUAAAUGUUUUAGAAAGAUUUAAACUAAUCUAAGCUAACAUUAAAGACUAAAAUGAAAGGGUGUAAAAACAAGUUUCUCAAAGAUAGGAUAGUUAUGCUCUAGCUCUUAUGCAAAUUGGAAAUCUCAGGAUAGGCUCCUCGCGUUGGGGUUGCAACUAUGGUGAUGCUUGCUUCCCGAACCGGUAUGGAUUUAGCAAAUCAAGUUUUAAUCCUUUAAAAUGGCAAAACAAAUGAUAGUGAAUUUCAUCAAUGGUUAUUCACCUUAGACUUCCUUUGAAUGGCUUGUAAGAGAUAACUAAUGGUCUAAAGCCAAAAGCUUACCAAAUAUUGGCACCUCAAAGUCAUUCCAGGUGAUAAACUCACCUUUCAAUGGCCAUUGAAAUUGGUUCUAACGGAUUAAUACAAAACUUGGAAUUGAAAACCUCACCUUCCAAUAGCUCAUAGGUUUGCAAAUAAAGAAAAAUGGUAAAUGGAUAAUAAUUAAGCCUGUUCCUGUUGCUUUCAUUUAUGAGCAGAUAGUAAAAAAUGGGGAAUAUACAAGCAUAGAGCAUAGAGCAUAGAAAACCUUACCAAGGAGAAUGGAGCAAUCUAUAAACCUAUGAGCAAUGAGGAGUUUUCAAGAUUUCUCCUGAGUAGAAAACUUAAUGGUAAGAGUACAAUAAGUCAUAUGAAAUUGGAGAACUGAAAGAGCAUAAGAACCAUGUUUUAUUAAAAGACCUGUGAAAGUUUAAUCAGUCAUGGAACUAUUAAGAGGGGAUGAAUUAACAGUUUUCUUAAAUUUUGUCCAAAGUUUAUGAAUUUUUAUUUUUUUUAAUUUUUUUUUACUUAAAUUGAAACUUAUUAAUCAAGGUAAGAUUUCAGCCACAUCGAGAAACAAUUUACGUGAAAAGGGACUGAUAAAAUCUUGAGUUUACAGAUGUAAAAGCCAUAAGGCCAAAGACUGUAGAACUCCAACCCACUGAAUCAAGAAUAGAAACACAAAUUUAUCUACCAACCUACACUAAUCUCAUAUCUACAAUGCAACACCAUCGUACUCUUAAGUGACUUGAAAGGAUGUGAAUAUUUCUCACAAACUUCAUAAUGAAAUUCAAAUUAGCUCUGAGAGUUUUGGGUUAGGCACAAAGAGUAAUAAUGCAUAGCUUUUGUGUGUGAGUUUUUAAGUGAACUUAAGACUCAAUUUAAAGCAUGUAUUUUACAAAAAAUAAAAAAAUAAAUUUAAGAAACUUCAAGAAUUUUGGAAAGAUAAAUUUUAAAAAAAAAAUUCAAAGAGAGUCAGAAAAUGUUUCCUUUUUAAAUUCUCAAUUUAAUUUAUUUUCAAAUUUAUUAAGAGUUUAAGAAAUAUUUUCUUUUUAAAUUAUCAAUUUAAAACUCUCUUUUAAAUUAAUUUUAUUAUUAAUUUUCAUGCAAGUCUACUCUAUACAUUUUACAUCGUUAUUCUCAAUUAACUCAACAAUAUUAGAGUGUAACAUCCCCAAUUGAUUUUGCACCAACCUUAAGUCUUCAAAGACAAUGAUUGAGGCAUUUCUUCUCCUAUUUUCUCCGAUGUAGAAAAAAAACUUGAAUAAGGUUAAAGCUGGUCUAUAGCAAAAAGUCUUAAUUUGAGUUAGCCUCUUUUUUUUUUUUCCAAAUGAUAUGCAGGUCCAUCUAGCCUUCAACUCAAAUUUUUUAUUCAAAAUCACAUGUGGAUAUGUGAACAAGUAAAAGUUGAGUUUUACCUAACAUAUCAUUUUGAAAAUUAGGAAAUUUAAAAGGUAUUAGUUUGUUAAACUCACCACCCCUAUCUAUUCUACAAAACAAGAAGAUUAGCAAAGAAAAAGUAUUCAUAUUUGUACUACAAAAUAAAAAGAUUAGCAAAGAGAGAAAUUGUACCCAUGAGUGCAGAGUUUUGGGUUAAAACAACCCUUUUGAUGGGAAAAAUAUUAAAUUUAACCACUUUGUCAAACUAAUGUGUAAAAUGAUCCUUUUAUAAUCACAUAGGAGUCAUAUCACUAAUAUAUAUAUAUAUAUAUAUAUAUAUAUAUAUAUAUAUAUUUAAUUUAAGUUGAAGUCUCAAUUGUCAAUUAAGGCUUCAAUUAUCAAUUACAACUUUAUUUUUUAACCCGAAAUCUUACUUGCCAAUUGAGGUUUCAACUAAAAAAAAAAACCUCAAUCGUCAACUAAGACUUAAUUUUUUAAUUGAAGCCUCAAUUGACAAUUGCGGUUUUAUUUUUAAACUGAAAUCUCAAUUGUCAAUUGAGGCUUUAUUUUUGUGGAAGGAUUAUGUGACACUCACGUUACUAGAAAAAAGCCAUACUGAAUAUAAGUUUCAAAAGUGGCUUAAAAGGUAUAAAUUUUAUGAUCAAAGAUGCCAUUUUGACCCAAAAUCCCAUGGGUGCAUGAGACUCUAGUUAAUCAUAGAUUUCAUAGAUAAAAAUCAGAGUUAGGAUGAUUCAACCCCUAAGCAUCGAGAAUUCUCAACCCCUAAGCGUCGAGAAUUCUUUAACAUAAUGUUAGAACAUUUUCCAAUUUAAAUUCGAGAGUUGACUUUAUUUGAAUAUGCUUUUGAUUUUUUUUUUUUUUUAAAUAAGCUUCAGUGUUUUUUUUAAAAAAGAAAUAAAAAUAAAUAAAAAUAGGGGCUUCUAUAUAGAAAGUAAAAAUUUUAUCCAACAAAUAUAAGGCUCACCUUAUAUCCUUAUAAAAUAAAAAAUUUAAAAUUUUUUAAUACCUUAAAAUUUUUAAUCAAUAUUUAAAUAUCAUUAUAUUUUCAAUAUGAUCCUUUAAAAGUUAAAAUUACUUAUAUUUUUUAUUUUCAAAAAAAAAAAAAAAAGAAUGAAUUUUUAUGUUUUUUAAUUAUUAAGAUGGAUGAAAUAAUCCCAAAUUUGCAAAAAUAACUUCUUCCAUGUUUGAAUUUGAAAAAUAACUUAUUUCCAACAUAAAUACUCUUCAAUAUUUGGAUUAUUUUAAUAUAAAUUUUAGAAGAAAUGUUAUUUUGACUGGAAAACAUGAAAGACAUUUUUGUUAAAAAUUGAUCUUUUUUUAAGGCUAAAAUAUAUAUAGGUUUAUAUUUACAAAUUUGAGACUAUUUCGUCCUCUUAAUCAAAUAACUUAAAAAAGAAAAGAGUUAAUUCCACAAGUGGGUUUAAAAUACUCACAAAAUUGCAAUAUAUAUAUAUAUAUAUAUAUAUGAAAUUACAAAUUUACCCUCGUGUGUUGAGCACAUGACACUUCCAUUCAUUAAAGCUAACAUUGUUAAAUAACAAAUGUACAUUGCAACUAUUUAAGAAGUAUGAAGGGCACAUUGCUUGAUUUUAGUACAUGGUGAGAAACUUGUUGAACAAGUUAUGUGUAAAGUUUUAUGGUUCAUGUAUGAUAGAAAAUACAGAUCUACUACAACAUUGGAUUUGCAAUUUGGGUUAGUAUUUAAAGAAAAGACCAUAGGACAAAAAGAAUUAAACUUUUGGUGGAAAACAAUAAAGAAAGGACUACAUGGAAAAAGGGAAGAGAUCAUUAUAAAGGAAGAUUAUUGAAUAGAAAUAAUUCCAAGAACCUAAGGCAAGACAUAGAGUAUCACUACUACUAUCACAAAAAGGGGUAUAUCAUAAAAUUUAUGAAAUUUUGAAAAAGACCUAAAAAAUGAAGAAAAAAAAAAAAAAAACAAAUCAAAGAAGCCUACAAGUGUAACUAGUGUUCUUAAAGUUGCGAAAUGAAGGUAAUAAAUCAAAAGUAGAUUUGUUAAUAGUUUUUAAAAUGCUUGAAUUAGGAAUUGUCUACUUGUACCAUACAAGCCCUUGUAGAGACUGGUUUGACAUGUAAAUUGUUUGUAAAAUCAUUUUAAUGGGCAAUAAUGCACCAAGUUGCUCCACGAGAAGGGGAGGGGUUUGUGAAACCAUCACUUGUCGUGGCAAACAUCGUCGGGUAAUCACGGAUGAGGGCAUCCACGGGAGGCCAAUGUCUACCCUCGCUCCACACCCCUCUAGUACAAGGCUCUAGGAGGGAGAGAGGCAACAAGUGUGUGACACCAAGGUAAAUAUGCUUGACCUUAUGGCUUUGGGAGCAACUUGCAUUUAAAGACUUGAUGAUUCACAAGAUUCUACAAUUCAUACCAAGUAUUGCAUUUUGCGACGUUCUUCAUCAAUGAGAGAGCCUAGAUAUCCAUUGUCAAGAAUUAUUUAUGUAUGAAAACAAAGGCGCCUAACCGACAUGCCCAAGAUCAAGGCAACUGGAGCGUGUUGCUUCGCCCAAGUUACUUAGCGCGUUUUGUGCCAAAGUUUGUUGUUCGCUCAAGAGGGCUUUUGUGAAUCUUUGUAAUAAAGGGAUAAUACAAAGUGGGCCGUAAUUUAGCAUCUUACACGCUUAGUUUCUUCCAUUGGUGGCAUAUAUUAUUUUGUCUGUCAUUGGUGAUUAUUUAAUAAAACUAUGAGAGUAUUUCAUGAAAUAUAAAUAAGAGGUUUUUAGGAUAUUUAAUCGAUGGUAAACAAAAGUUGAAAACUAAGUAGGGAGGAAGAUAAAAUAUUUUAGAUUUGAUAGUGGACUUGAGCAUUAGAACAAGAAGUUCACAAAGUAUUGCGAGAAUUCUUAUAUUACUUAACAUCACAUGUAAAGAAAUUACAAAGCAAAAUGGAGUGGUUGAAAAGAUGAAUAGAACACCAUUGGAAUAACUAGGUGGCUAAGAUUAAUCAUUGGGUUACUUAAGAAUUUAAGGGCUAAAGCUAUCAACAUAACUUCUCAUGUAAUUACUUAGUUGUCAAGUUUUACAAUUAUUUUCAAUAUUCCAAAAGAAGUGUCAAGUAAAUCAAUUGACUUUUCAUCUAUUGAAAUAUUUGAUUGUUGCACUUAUCUUCAUAUAUAGGUGAAAAAAAAAUUCAAUCCAAAAUAAAAAAGGUAUAUAUUCCUUGGGUUUGAAAAAAGGAUUGAUUAAAGACUAUAGACUUUGGGAUCCAACAAUUAAAGAAAAAAAAGUCGUGAGUAGAGAUGUAUUCGAUGAAAAACAUAUGUUAAAGAAAGAUCAAGGACAAAUGAAAUUGUUAUUGAAAAAAAAUUCAACUACAUGACAAAUCAUCGAGAUGAAAUUUGAGAAAAAUGUCAUUAAAUAUGAAAUCCCUCCUAAUUGAUGUCCCUAUUAGAACUUUAUAUGGGCAUCUUUCUCUAUUGCUCUAAAGAAUCAUCGUAUUGGGUAAGGACAUCAAUUUUAAGAUUUUAAUUUUUUUUUCAUUAUUUAUUGGAAUAGGAGAUCUUUAAUUUUUUUUGGGGUGCAAUUAGGAAGGAUGAUAGUUAUCAAUGUCUUGGUGCUAUGUCAAAUGAGAAUCCAAUGCACAUGUUGACUAAAGUUGUUCUUAAGGAUAAGUUCAAGCAUUGGUUGAAUGUCAUUAAUUUUUCAUUUUGUAGAACAUGGAAGGUCAAUUUUAUCGAAAAGCCAGGUCAGUCAACUUCUAUUAGGACUUCUAUUGAUUCUUGAUUUGACUAGAGGGACUCCUAGCAGUAAACUUGUAUGAAGGGGCCCUAUGGAGAUGCAAGAGAUGCAAGAGCUGCCAAUCGGAUCAACCAAUAAAUGAUAGGCCCAUGCAGAGAUGUCCCUGAAAUAGGGGAUUGGUUGAUUGGAAAGCUUAGGCAGAGUAUAAAGGAGAACAAUUUAGCAUUUUGGGAAAAGCACAUAUGAAGAUGUUUACAAGUUUGGAAAUUUGAGUUAAAGAAGAAAUGGUCUAAAAAUGUUUCAAAUUUCAAUUUUAUGUUUUUCUAAGUUUGAUAUAUCCUAUUUGGAUAUUUGGGAAGUCUUCUCUUGUUACAUAAGAUAGUCAUAUGAUGAGAUUUGUUAUGAAAAUAGGUUCUUCCUCGUGUGAAAUAUUCCUAUGAAAUUAAGAAGGAAUAUAGGAAGAGUUUUGAUUGAAAUUAUGAAUCUUUUUUUAUGUAAUUAGAACUAAAAUAUGAGAGUUUUAGAAUUGUAAUUACACCUUUGAAUAUAAAUAAUUGAUAAUAGUGAAUUAAUUUACCUUCUCCCUCUAGAUGUAGGUAAAUGCUAAAUUAUGUUAAAUUUUGUAUUCUCAUAUGAUUUUUUUUUUCAUUUAUUUUUCAUUUUCUUGCCCAUUUCUAACUUGCUACUACAUAAUAACAGGUGGUAUCAAGCUUUUUGUGUUUGCACAACAAAUGGUCUCAGUUUUUCCAGAACCACAAAAAUGAUAUUUUACUUAAUUGCUCCUCAGUGGAAAAGUUGGAAAGAAAAAUUAAAUCAUCGACUAUACAUUUUUUUUUUUUUCAAAACUUUUCUUGUCUUUGGCAAGAAAAUUAGUAUAUUUUCUCUUUAGUAUUUGGUUCUCUUUUAUAUAUAUAUAUAUAUAUAUAUAUAUAUAUAUAUAUAUAUAUAUAUAUAUAUAUAUUCAAAUGGAACCUUAAUCAUCUUUUAUAUGAAGUAUAAAAGAAUUAGAAAAUAUUCAAAUUUUAAAUGAUUUUUAUUAUACUUUAUCCACUUCCUAUUUCAUAUAUCAAAUUACAAUAGAAUUUAAAAUUCUUUUAUACGUUUUUUCUCCCUUUGCUACCACAUAAAUGCAAAGACAUUAUGUGAGUUAAAUACCUUAAAAGAAAAAGAAAUUAAAAUGUGAUAGAAAACAAAAGUAACCUCUUUAAAUUCAAGGAAACAAAACACUAAACUUUUUCAUGUAUUUUAUUCCAUUUAUAAAUGCAACAUGACAAAAACAGACAAAAAUAUAAAUGGAAGCCCUUUGGGUCCUUCAUUUUAUAUUUUAUCAACUUCGACCAAUUCUAUUUCUAUAGCACAACCGAUACUAUAAAGUUCAAUGAGUACAUAAUAUAUAAAGAUACUAAUCAAUACGAAUUAUUCUUUCUUUCAAAUGGCUACUUGUAUUAAAAAUUAAAUGUAAUUCCUCCUAAACAAUAAAAUAUGUUGACACGAUUUCAAUGAAUAUACAGUACAUAAAGAUAUGACCAAUUAGUACGAAUUAUUCUUUCUUUUAAAUAGCUACUUAUACUAAAAUAUAAGUAAACAUAAUUCCUCCUAGAUAAUAAAAUAUGUUGACACAAGGAGGAAUAUAUUUACUAAUUAUAUCAUUUGCAAUAGCCUCAAUCUCGUGACGUUCUUCGAACCAACCAUAGACUUUAUUGAGAUAGGUUAACCAAGGGAGCUUCCACUCUCAUAACUCGUAUAUGAAAAUUUCAUCUUGUACAACUCAAAUAGAAACCCAUAAAUACCAGUUGAAACCAAAAUGUAGUAAAUAAAUAAAAACAUAUUUCAAUGGAUCCAAUUAGUAUUUUUCCGAUCUCGGAUAAACAAACAAAUUUUUCUUCAUUUUGUUUUUUUUUUUUCAUUAAUCUUUGUAAGUAAAUUAUAUUUUAAUUUAACAAAGCACUAAACUUUACUUUAAUUUUCAUGCAGGAUCAACUAGCUUAUCAUAAUAAAAUUUAUCAAUAUAGCUGAGCAGAGAUUUGAUGUAAUAAUACCAUACAAAAUUCAAGUAAAAUUAAAUUAAUCAAAUAGGACACUACGGUUAUAUUUGGAUACAUAUUCUAUUUUUUAUUUUUAAAAUUAAAAUUUUGAUAUAAAAUAUGACAACCCUUUGUAUAAAAAAUAAAAAUUUAUCCUAUAAUCUUAAAACUACUUUUCAAUAUUAAAAAAAAAAUGAGGACGUGUCCUAAAAUUUUAAACAAAUUUAAAAAUAUUUUUAAAUACCAAGAUAUCCACUUUUUUCUUUUUUAAUAAAAAUUCCUAUAUUUGAUAUAAAACUCUAUUUUAAAAAAUGAAAAAUAAAAAAUGUAUCCAAACAUAAGCAAAAUUGUUAGAUUUCAUUGUGAGAUUUCUUAGAUUCUACAAUUCAUAGUGAAAUGAAGACGAGAGAUAACUGACUGAAUUAUGAAAAAAAAAAUUAACAUGGAUGAGAUUCAAAAAUGCUAGUUAAUGAAAGAGUUUCUCCGCCAGGAUGACUAAGAAAAAUGCUGAAAAAUGUGUCAUGCCCAAAGCAAUGUUACAAUGAAGAAUAGAAUGAGAGCUAACCCGAAACAAAAUCCGACAAUCGCCAUGAAAGGCUGGAUGCAGAGGAAAUGUAACUAGAGACAUGUAAGGAAUCAUUAAGCAAGUGAGAACAAUAUCAAAAUCUCAUGUACGACUUACUUACCUUUCCCUGAGAUUCAAACUUGAAUUUUACUGUAAACCAUGACAAUCCUCUAUCUACAAUAGGUGCAAGUGCAAGGGCCCUGCAUGAGAAGCACCUCUACAAAAAUCACAGAAAACCCAAGGGAAAAUAAAAAAAGAGUAAAAAUAUAGAAACUAGUCUACCAGAAACCAGGAGGCUGCAGCAAAUAAUCUCCAAAUGUCAGAUUUAAUAUUUAUUUACGAAUGCCGCUAAAAGGCCUUUUCAUCAGAGAAAUCUAGAAUAAAAAAGGAUAAGGAGCCAUUUGGAUUACAGAGGUCAAAGAUUGGGUUGGAUAGGAGCAAGUUUAACUUCCUCAGUAAAAAUGAAAAUGCAAGGCCCAUCAUCAAAGCUAGGUUCAAAAAUUGACACCAUUUCUUGAAGACUUUCUUUUUUCAUUCUUCAAUUGUCAUUUUGAUUCAAAGAAGCAGCAGCAUGAUAGACUAAAUAAUCAUCAUAAACCCAGUUGAAAGUUACAAGGAUAAGAAAGAAAAUGAACAGAAAACAUAUUUGAGAGAAUUGAUAGGCCUAAAAACUCAUUGUCGAAGGAAUCGAGCAUAAAUCUCUGAACUAGGGAAAUUCACUGAUUUUGGGUUAUUUUGUGUUGAGAGCAUUGCAAUAUCCCAAUAAACUGUUACGCUAACUAAAGAUUUAAAACAGAAUUUAGCUGCUUACCCUCCAGCUCUGACAAGUUUAGUGACCUGGCUGCCUGCCCACACCAUAGCCAUGAUUUUGACAAAUCUGCCAAUUGGAUUCCAUAUGUCAAGAUAUUUUCAAAAACUUGUGCAAAAAGAAACUUUUUGGAAUAAGUUUUUACCUUUCAACUGCCGCCAAAUAACCCAUCCUUCCUGGUGCUGGAGCAAUAUAAAACCUAGAAGCAGCAUAGUGAAUUCAGAGUUAUACUGGUUAUUUGAAAUCUACUCUGAACACCUAUGAUAGAGACUGCAGGAUGUGGUAAAACACCAAGGCAUAUUUCAAACUACAUUAUAAGGUAUUUGAUUAGAAAAUUAAAUAAAUAAAUAAAAUAACAUAACAUAAAAUACAAAGAAGAAAAAAAAAAUAGCAAACUGAAUUUGCCCAUAUGCAACAAUAUGCAAUUGUUAGCCAUGAAUCCCAGUUAUGUCGGUUUCCAGUAUUAAUAAUUAAGCAUGAUUUUUAUGAACUAGACCAGCAUUCUAAUAACUCUAGAUUGAGGGGCAUGGAUGUCACAUUUGUAUUCCAUCAUGUGCAACUAACAUCACAUUGAAAUAAUAUCCACUAAAGCAAGUUAAGACCCAGUAUAUCAGAUUAAAUUUUUUCUACCAUGAAUAUAAGCUUGAUAAAAAUGCAGAUGGAAAUGAAAUACUUCUUUAUAAUACAUAAUGAAGGGAACCAGAUGGAAAUGCAAUAUUCCAGAUGCAGAAAGCCAAGUUAAAACCUUUGCCAAAUAAAGAGAUCCACCAUAAGUUCAUUUUUAGACAUGCUAUAGUUGAAUAUGCCAUCAAUAAGUGAUCAAAAGCCAAUUCAGAUGGGAAUAACAGCCAAAAUGCUGGGAAGGUCAAUAACAAAAGCAUUGACUUGAAUGUUGGCAGUGUCAUUUACACUGGCCAUAAGAACCAGAGGUAAUGCAUACAGUUGGUAAGGUGGGGAGGAGGGGAUGAGAAAUUGCAAAGUCUUGAAUUUAAUUGUUUCAUGCAAUUCCGUUUUUCAAUACUCUAUACGAUAAUAUACAUUGUACGGCACAAAAAUAGGGUUGUUUUAAAAUUUUGAACAAAUAAAAAUUUCAUAUCAAUAUCUAAUAUUUAAUAAAAAAGAAUGAAAGAAGAGUAAGUACAUUCUCUUCUCCUUAACAUGGUAUUAAAGCAGUCUCCAAACUCUUAACUCCUAGUUGCAAACUUGAUUUCCACUGGAAGUUGCAGUUUGCUCAUUUUGUUAUUCAAGUAAGUUACUUCAAUCUAUCAUAGUUUAAAUGACUUGGGAUGGUAGUUGUCAUGGGCACGAAUUUUCCCACAAAUUUUUCGCAUCCACGCAGCGCUUAGAAGCCCUCUGAGCCAACAUACUCAAACCCACAUGAGAUUGCAAUCAAGAAAAAACUCACAGAGACACACAAGGCUAUGGAGCUCAAUCCCUAACUUGUAUUUUAUUUCUUCUCUAAAUAACAAUACAAGACAUAGCUCAACAAGACUUCCACAAUCUCUUUGGUGAGUUCAUGCUCUCUCUCAAGCUAUGUUUUAAGAAAGUUCUCCUUCUCAAUAUACCUCUGUAUAUUCUCUAUGAUCUCCAGAUUGCACGAUAAUUCAAAGGGCACUCCAGUCCUCCUUUUAUAGGUGUGACACCAACCACUCCCUAUUUGAUAAGGAGCAAGGAAUCCUAAUUCUACUCAAACUACAAUUAAAAUAAGAAUCUGAACUCCUAUUCAAACUCAAAUUACAAUCACAAUUUGAAUUCAACUCUGAACUUCCAAAUGUCUUCGGCCCAUUCCUCAUUCAUUUGAAACUCCUUGUGCUGCUACCUCUUGUAUCAGACCACGUAUCAGCCCUUCAAUUCCCUGGUUUGUGGUGCAAUACAUCUUCCUUAAGCUUGUCCCAAUGCCAAGACAUCUUUGUUGUGUUCUGUCUGAAGUCUACCCACUCUUGUGCCUUGAGUCAGUCCAUUCAUGCAUUUGAAUCAGCUGAUGCAUCCGAUCAGCUUGCUAUAGAGUCUCUAGGCAGCCUACCACAUGUGUCUCUAUGCAACUAGUGUGCAUGCCAAGCCCUCUCUUAGCCUACAGAUCUAGCAAUUUUCCUUGGUGCCAAUCUUUCCUUUGGUUCUAGCUCCUUGUUGUUCCUUGAGCGUGUCAGUCAUGCUCAUAUGUGUUCCCGCAUCUGGAUCACGUCCAUGCCGAGGCAACCUGCCCAUGUUUGCUCUGCCUAGUUGUUGCUAUGGCAUCAUGCCAUGCCCAAGCCCUCUUCUUGGUGCAGCAACGAGUCAUGGCAUUGCACCCAUGACUCCUCAUCUCUACGCACAAGGCAUUGUGCCUUUGUGUUAAGCAUUAGGCAUCACAUCUGAGUCGGCUUCCUUAUCUCUGCACAAGCCUCAAGGCAUUGUGCCCUUGUGCCAAGCCACCUCAUUGCACAAGGCAUUUCCCCCUCAUGCUACCGUCGGGAAGGGAAGACUGCAUAGCACCCCAAGUCGUUGCAACCAUGAGUUGCACACCAUCACAUGUCAUGGAGCCCAUGUAUGGCUGCUAGCAAGGCGUUGCCCAUGUGCCUUGCUCAUGUCUGAGGACUUGCACUGAAGCCCCUAAAUGUGGCCAUGCCCAUGCCACCUCGUCUCCC
rnacentral:lncRNA from 1 species